rnacentral:lncRNA from 1 species
UGGGAGAAGGUGGAGAGCCUAGAGGGCAGCGUCCUGUUCACCGGCACGCUCACGACGAUGAUGAAGAAGACCGGCGCCAGGUGGAUGCGGAACAGGAUCUUCCUCCCCAGGCUCUUUGAUUGGCCCGAGACCAUCCCUGCUGACCUUGUUCAAUAUGACGGCGAACUCGCAUUUGUGCCCAAGCAGGAGUGCACGUGGCCUGCUGUGAGAGAUGAAACCUAUGUGACAAACAUGUGGAGUUAUAAACUGGGACAAAGCGGUGAAGAAGCAAGACAAUUUUAGGAAACAGAAAAACUAGAUUAUAGCGUCUGGGUUGAUUUUGGUAGUACUUAGCUUCAUUGUUACUCACUUCGAUCCCUAUUAAUUGUCGAUGAUGUAGUACUAUAUAUAUGUUGGAUAAUAUUUACAUUGAUGCUUUGCAAUGAUGCAAGGCCAACCCCAUUGACAAUCUAAUACAUUAUUGUUGGAUAAUAAAAAAAAUUAAGACAGUAAUCCUAAACCUAAGGGCCAUAAGCUACGGGAGAGAGCUUACAUGCCGGCUUGCUUGGAGUGUUAUGCCCGAGGCCUUCGGGGAACUGGAACCCCUCUUCGGGGGCUGAUCUUCUAAAUAUCUUACGAGCCCAACGGGGCGCAUUUCCUAGGAUCGUGUGGCGUAGCAUCGGGGUGUUGUUAUGAUCGUUAUAGUCCAUUAGAAACAAGAUUACUAUUGAGAAGAGUUUUCCUUUUCGUCUGGUUGAUGUUGUCUUCAAACGUCAGCUCUUUCUUCAGACCUGGAUGCCGUUGGGGAAACAUCGCGGCGUUGGGCUCAUGCAGGAGGCCAUUGAGCGGAUCAGGUGCAUUCAUGUCAUAUUUUGUUGGAGUCUGCAAACUACUUGGUGGAACCGGGGCCACUUGUCCCCUGUCAGCUGCAUUUUGUCUCUUGCCAGCCAGUUUCCGGAUGCCUGUAGUGUAUUUUGUUUCAGUCGGUGUUUGUAGUUUCGUUGUAAACUUGUUCGGGUGCUGCAUGUGGUGGGCUUUAUUAAUUUAAGUCAGGUGUUUCUUGCGUCUUCAUUCUAAAUAGAAGAGUUUAUAUGCUACGUGUCUUGGUCUUAUUAAUCAAUCACCCUCCCCGCCACUAACCAACCAUGGGUUUACAUCUCAGUCCGCAACUACAUCCGUACAAAUCAGCCCGUAAGUGCAGCAUUGUUCAUCCAAUGAUCUACAUUGAGCACGAUGACAAAACAUGCAAUAAUAAUACAUCUUCUAUGAGUACUUUCUUUUUGCGGGAAGCCUUUGUAUUGAUGGAUUAUGGAUGGGCUUAGGCCCAUAUAAGACACUAAUCCCCGGUUAAUCUUGAGGCCCAUGUAUGAGAUGGCAGGUGGUGGAAAGUUUAGUCCCACCUUGCUAGUUGAGGAGAGUUGAGACCCCUUUAUAAGGGCUGCUCUACCACUUGUCAUUGGGAGCUUGGGAAGAGGAGUGGUACACGCGCGCUCCUCCUCCGCCAUCCGCCUCGACGCACGUGCGCCGCGGGUUGCGGGAAUGAGCCGAGCCGAAGCUUGUUUUUGCCGCUCAGGAAUGAAUUAACGAGUCGCUAACAGGUGGGCUACUGUACGUUGGACUGUGGGCUGACUUGCGUUGUUGGCAGUGCGACCCUUGCCGGGAACGACGACUCCCUUGCUGGGAGUGGGUCGACUCGGUCGUGGGCCUCCGCCAGGCCCACGACUUUCUCCCAAACGGACUAUAUAAGAAGGCUCUGCCCAGUGGAGUGACCUAGUUCGGUUUACUCUCUCCCUCUCGUAACCUAGCCAUCAUCUACUGUUUCUCACUCUGUGCUGUCUCCGGCGACCCCAUCCCGACGACCGCGUGCAUGACUGGUCGGGAGAGCAGGUGCCUCCGGAACCCUGUCGUUCGAGAUCCUGCCCCGAAGAACGGCAAUAAGGUUUUUGGGAAGCGUCUCGACGCGACUGCUCCCAACUCCGUCUGCCUCUGCUUCCACUACUUCCCCUGCAUCGACACCAAGGCCGACUACGCCGCCGCCAAGAAGAAGGCCACGGACGACGUCGAGACUGCCGCUGCCGCCGCCGCGUUGGCCUGGCCAACCGGAGGGUAUGAUCUGUUCAUCCCUCGUUUACUCGUACUUGUACUAGCCGUAUAUGUGCUGCUCAUAGAUGGUUCGCUUCUAUGUUUUGUACGUGCUAGUAUGCUUAGGUAUAGCUAUGAGAUGCAUACCUUUUAUGCCAUGCUUACUGUUUACUCAUGGAUUAGUCUAAUCGGAAAAGUACUAAUAUUUCCAACAAUCCAAAAACCUUAUUUUAGGCCCUUUUCAAUUCAAGGCUUUGCUGCUACUCUGAAGCCGAAAAAGUUUACCGGGACGCAUUUUAAGCGUUGGCAGACUAGGACCACCUUGUGGCUCACAGCGAUGAACGUGUUCUGGGUUGGUGGUGUGUCCCUCACAGAAACAAUUGCUCCUGAACAGGAGAAGGCGUUUACGGAGGCAAUCACAAUCUUUUUGGGAGCAGUUCUGAGUGUGAUUGGAGACAAGUUGGUUGACGCAUAUAUUCAUAUGGGGGUUGCCAAAAACUUGUGGGAUGCGCUCGAAGUCAAAUUCGGCGCAACUGAUGCUGGCAGUGAGCUGUAUGCCAUGGAGCAGUUCCAUGAUUACAGGAUAGUUGAUAACCGUUCUAUAUUGGACCAGGCUCAUUGUCGGUGUCAAAACCGGUGGAUCUCGGGUAGGGGGUCCGGAACUGUGCGUCUAGGAUCGAUGGUAACAGGAGACGGGGGACAAUGUUUACCCAGGUUCGGGCCCUCUCUAUGGAGGUAAUACCCUACUUCCUGCUUAAUUGAUCUUGAUGAAUAUGAGUAUUACAAGAGUUGAUAUACCACAAGAUCGUAAUGGCUAAACCCUAGAAGUCUAGCCUGUAUGACUAUGGUAAUGAGCAUCCUGAUCUGGACUAAGCCCUACGGUUUAUAUAGACACCGGAGGGAUCUAGGGUUACACAAGGUCGGUUACAGAGAAAGGAAUAUUCAUGUUUGAUCGCCAAGCUUGCCUUCCACGCAAAGGAGAGUCCCAUCCGGACACGUUGAGAGUCUUCGGUCUUCAUAUCUUCACAGCCCAUCAGUCCGGCCCAUGGCUAACAGGCCGGACGCCCGAGGACCCCUUAGUCCAGGACUCCCUCAGUAGCCCCUGAACCAGGCUUCAACGACGAGGUGUUCGGCGCGCAAAUUGUCUUCGACAUUGCAAGGCGGGUUCCCCUUUCCGAACUCCAAGAUAGUCUCCAGACGAGAGAUGUGUCCGGAUCUGCAACAUAAAUACCACACACACAGUCGUAAAGAGUAUAAUAUUUCACGAGUCUAAUCCGCUGACAAAUUUUUUGUAAUGUGACAUCACAUCCACCCAGUCAUCAUUUCGAACUGUUUUCGUCUGCCGUUCCGCGUUCCGAGACGUGAUUUCCUUUGGCACGUCUUGUCAAAGCAGAGAUCGUGUCCCCUUAUUGCGGGAUUCUCACCAAUACGGGUGUGGGUAACCCAACCGUGCCAUUUGCACAGCCCUUGGGAAUAGGCGAGUUUUAAGGCGAGUGGGAAGGCGCUUGAUAUUUACUAUCUUUAUAAGGGGACAAGGAUUCCCUUUCUUCACCCACGCCUUCUCUCUCUCUGCCCUUCCAUUCUUGAGCUCCAGCGCCCAAGUUCUUGCCCUUUCCACCCCAAGAAAGCAUUCCACCAUGUCCGGAUCUGGAGGGCAAGGCAAAUGGAUGGCCUCCUCCAUCAAGGAGAAGGACAUCACCAAGCUUCGAGAGGCCAGGUAUCUGGCGAAAGAAAUCGCCCACCAGCUUCCAGCCAAGGGGCAAGUCGUCCCCACAUUGAAGCCCAACGAGAGGGUGGUGUUCCUCUCUCAUUUCGUCCGCGGACUAGGGUUUCCACUCCACCCUUUCGUCGGCGGACUGAUGUUCUAUUACGGGAUAGACUUUCAUGAUCUAGCCCCGAACUCUUUCCUCAAUAUCUCGGCAUUCAUUGUCGUGUGCGAGGCUUUCCUCCGCAUGCAGCCCCACUUUGGGUUGUGGCUCAAGAUCUUCAACGUGAAGUCGAAGAUGGUGGAUGGCCAACACACGGAGUGCGGAGGAGCCACGGUGAGCAAGUUGCCCAACGUCACAUGGCCCAAAGGUACGUUUGUGGAGACCGUCAAGGAGUGGCAGAAGCAGUGGUUCUAUAUCACAGAGCCUCAUGACGCCACUUGGGCUGCGGCUCCAGAGUUCAAGUCCGGAGCUCCAAUGCGGCUCACCUCCUGGCUAAAGAAGGGCCUGGACUGGUCUUCGUCGGACGAACUGAUAGCACUGCAAACGCGCAUCAAGAGCAUGGUGGAUAAAAAUAUCAAGCUCGUCAAUGUGAGCCAGGUGAUGCUUGUUCGCCGGAUCCUUCCAUGCCAGAGCCGAACAUGUCCUUUGUGGGAAUUUGAUUCGAAGAAGCACCAGACUUUGGAGAGGCUCUUCGGAACCACACAUGAAGAUGUCUGGAAGUUGCUCUUCAAGGGCACCGAGACUCCGCCGGCAAUAGACUCAGACCAUGGGCACGAUCUUGCCCACCCUGCCAGUGCGGUAAGUCGUUAAUGUCUCAAGGUGCAUCCUCCUCUUAGUUAUUCAGGUAAGAUAUCUAAAAACUUUACUGUUCACUUUUCAGGCAUGGACAGAGAAAGCGGAGCGGAUUCGAUGUCCGGCUCCGCUGCCCGAGGAACUAGUCAUCCCUCUUCUGGAGAAGAUGCUGGUUCCAGUGCCCUACAAGGCGCCGGAGAAGAAGGCCAAGGGGACCAAAGGCGGCCCUCGCCGCAAGGGUACUUCGGACGUGACGUCCGAAGACGACGAGGAUCUCUCCUUCGCCAUCGAAGACGACGAGGAGGAGGAGGAAGAAAGCCACUCUCCCCCAGAUGGGGUGAGAAAGAAAAGGGCGGCCUCCACCAAUCUGGAGGCGGGGGCGCCCAAGAGNNNNNNNNNNNNNNNNNNNNNNNNNNNNNNNNNNNNNNNNNNNNNNNNNNNNNNNNNNNNNNNNNNNNNNNNNNNNNNNNNNNNNNNNNNNNNNNNNNNNNNNNNNNNNNNNNNNNNNNNNNNNNNNNNNNNNNNNNNNNNNNNNNNNNNNNNNNNNNNNNNNNNNNNNNNNNNNNNNNNNNNNNNNNNNNNNNNNNNNNNNNNNNNNNNNNNNNNNNNNNNNNNNNNNNNNNNNNNAAGUACUAAAGACCCGCGUACGUGUAUGUAUCCAGCCUCUCCUCUUUAUGGUAUUAACAUGUUUAGUUAUGCUAUUGCAGUCCAGCCCACGACAGCCUCCAGUGAUCCUCCUCAGGAGGUUCGUAGGAUUCAAAGGCGAUGGCCAGCGAGUCAUCGCCGGCCGCUCACUCUCCCAAGGCCAAGGGUGACAACGAGGUGACAUCCCAAAGGACCUUCUCUGGCCAGGGAGAAGUUCAAGAGGCUGUCAGGGUGGUGCCAGAGGGCGAAACCUCGGUCGCCGGACACAUGGGGAAGGAAAUCCCCAUGGGGACUGGCGAUGGGGGCCAUGUUCAGUUUGGCCCCCAGUCGGAGACGGUUCCAGAGACCUAUAUGGCUCCGGAAUCCGGUGAGCAACCUCCUUUGAGAGAAGGAGGCGCGCCUAUCCCACCGGUGUCGUCUGUCCAACCAGAGGCACCAGACAAUCUACUGGAAGCGCUACAAGGCGCUUCCAUUGUGGAUGAACACCGUAUCCUUAUGGGUACGAUGAUUGAGAAGGUUCAGUCUGUCAAGAGCGGACUGACCAAAGCCUGUAGCAAUCUGCUGACCGGCUUUGAGGUAAGCGACGCAAAAGAAAGAGUCCCCAUAUAGACAGUAGCCCCUGAGACACUGUCUGGUGUUCGGAAAGAAAAAGCCGAAUAGAGGAUCAAAUACCCUACAGGGGACUAAUUAAAUAUGUCUUAUGUGACUGGGCAGGCGUCGCUGCUGGCCGCGAUUUCACAUAUUGCCGAAGUCUCCAAACUGAAGCAGAAACUGGAGCGUGCCGAGGACGAGCUCGGCCAAGCGAGGAAGCAGCUGGAAGACCAGCAAGGUAUGUAAUGACUCGCUAAAUAUUCGGAAAUAAUAAACGAUGUUUUAUUGACCGUAAUGUCAUGAUGCGUGUAGGAGCGGCGACCGAAGUCGAGGCCCUAAAAAAGGCCCUGUCCGAAGCCGAGGGGAAAGCUGUCCAGGAGCAAGCUGCUCGUAAGAAGCUCAAGGCCAGGCUUAACGAGGUUCAGCAAGAGCUCCUGGAUGCUGUUAAAAACUGUGAGACCUUAGAAGGUGAUGUUUCGGCUCGAGACGCCGAACUCGUCAAGGCUCGCCAAAGCGUAGAAGAGGCCCGGGUUGAAGCACAGGGCGCCCUCUAGGAGAUCCAGGAGGCCAAGACGAUUGCAGCGGGUAAGGCGUUUAGUAUUGAAAGCAAGUAUGUGAAGAAGAAGUAUUUCUUACUAACACAGAUUCAGAGUUCUCCAGGGGCGUUUGCGGAUCUGCCAUGCAGUGCGUCCGACGCUGCGGAGUUCUUCCGGGCCAAAGAAGGGAGCUCAACGGAGAAGCUGUUCUGGUCGCAGUACCUUGCACCAAAACAUCCAGUGCCCUUUAGCGAUCAGCUAAAACAGCUGGUCGAGCUGCAUAGGACGGCCGAGCUGGCCAUGAAGGAUUUGAUAAUCCGGUUGUGGCCUACCAAAGCUAUACCCAGUAGCUACUUCGGUCUCGUGAAGCGGCUGGUGAAUGCUUGUCCUCGGCUGGACGUCAUCAAGCGAUCAGUCUGCAUCGAGGGCGCACGCAUGGCCUUCGCACGAGUCAAGGUAUGGUGGGUGAAGAUGGACGCCAAGCUUGUGACCGCGGGGCCGCCUGUGGGCAAAGAGCACUGCAAGCUCGAACUGUAUUUUGAUAGUGUCCUGGAGGGAUCCCGCAUUGUGGAGGACCCAUGUGCCAAGGAUAUUGUUUUUGAAUGAAUACUUUCAUAUUAUCCCUGCUUUGUAUGAAAAAACAGAGCCGUUAUGUAAUAUAAUGCUUGUAUUUAAAAUUUUGUUUUACCUCCUGCGCGGCCGUUUUUUUAUUAAAUCUGAGAGUUGACCAGUCGUCGGCUUCAACCCCCAUGUAGGAAGUACAUGGGUGUUCGGUUGGCGCCAAAACACACUUGAUCCAAAGAUUUUUGGUCCGUUAAGGAGGUGUUAGCGCUGCGAACCAGGCAAUCGGACUAUACGACUUUACCACCCUCACUUAGCCAUAGGAGUUUGACAGAUAAAAAUUUAGGCGCAGCCCCUAGUGUUCGUAAGUCCGAACUUGGGAUCCUGUAGACACCUGAUCGGGUGAAAAUCGAUCCUUCGUGAAAUGCGGGAAAAACCUCUAACGAUUUGUAACCUCUCGAACAGCUGACCGGCUCACGCCGCAACAUGACAGUCAGUUUUUGGCUUUCUCUAUUGAGGUGCUCAGCCGGAUAAACAAGGGCACAAUCACAGUAGUUCUCCCUUUACUACCCUAGCCGAUAUAGCGGAACGUAAGGUAGUAAGCACAGGAGCCGGGCAACCAAACUAUUGACCAAAGACAUGAUUCGGAGCCGAUGCAUAUAAUGCUAAAGAUCGGGGUGCCAAACUAUACUGUAAAAGUGUUUGGACUUUGUUGCCGUAUUAUGGGGCAUAAUGAAAGCGUACCAGAGUGCACGGGUGCAAUUGAUAAAAAUAUCACGAAAAAGAAAAAAAGGAAAGGGACAGUAAGCCAGUGCCACAAAUAUUGAGACUGCGAACUAGUUUCCAUAAUAGCAUAAUUAAUAUGUCAAAGCGCAUUUGUACAAGUAGUGCAAUAAGCGAUAGGGCUAUUUAACAUGCCACAACCAAGGCAAAGCCGCGUGCGGGUACCGAAAACAGGUAGAGUGAUUGUUGAAGGGGCCGCCUAGAGCCUCCCUUAUGCGUCCGAGCUGCUUGCCGCCUUGUUGUAUUUUAUCCUUCAAAAGGGCAGUUGAUUAGGCCUUCAGGGAGGGCCUGUGGAAAAGGAACCUAAAAAGGAGAAAAGAGGGUAAAAGUGAAUGCAUGCAUGUAUCCGGGGUCGGUCGAGCCGUACUGUGGAUCAUGAGCUAGCUAUGCCUCCGUCGAUGCCCAUGGAAUUUUGAGUGCAUAGUUAUGUACGCGCGGUACUAAUGCCGCCACCUGAUCGGGACCGGGACGGAGGCCGAAUUGCUAAUCAAGCUCUUGACGAGCCGAGCUGUCGUGCUGCAGAAUAGUCCGGACCCUUUUGAGAGUGUCCGGGAGCUUGCCGCCGAAUUGGAGUUCUGAUUGAAAAGGCCGCUCUGUACUUCUGCUGCUAAGGCAACGGUAUGCUCUUCGGUACGAAGGGAGCAUUCGUAUUUCUAUUGACUGUUAUGACGCCGCGUGGUCCGGGCAUCUUAAGCUUGAGAUAAGCGUAGUGAGGUACCACGUUGAAUUGAGCAAAUGCGGUUCAUCCAAGCAGUGUGUGAUAGCCGCUGUGAAAGGGGACGAUAUCGAAGAUUAACUCAUCGCUUUGGAAGUUUUCCGGAGAUCCGAAGACAACCUCUAGUGUGAUUGAGCCCGUACAGCGGGCCUCUACACUUGGUAUGACCCCUUUGAAGGUAGUCCUUGUGGGUUUGAUCCGGGAUGGGUUUAUGCCCAUCUUGCGCACUGUAUCCUGAUAGAGCAGAUUAAGGCUGCUGCCACCGUCCAUGAGGACUCGCGUCAGGUGGAAUCCAUCGAUGAUUGGGUCGAGGACUAGUGCGGCUGAUCCGCCAUGCCGGAUACUGGUCGGAUGAUCCCGACGAUCAAAAGUGAUCAGGCACGACGACCAUGUAUUGAAUUUUGGGGCGACUGGCUCUAUCACAUAGACGUCCCGGAGUGCGCGCUUGCACUCCCUCUUGGGGAUGUGUGUAGCAUAUAUCAUGUUCACCGUUUUGACCCGAGGGGGAAACUUCUUCUGUCCCCCUGUGUUCGGUGGCCGGGUGUCCUCGUCAUCGUCCUCGCUUUGCGACCCCUUCUCCUUGUUCUCGGCAUUUAACUUGCCGGCCUGUUUGAAGACCAAACAACCUCUGUUGGUGUGGUUGGAUGGUUUUUCAGGGGUGCCAUGUAUUUGGCACAGACAAUCGAGUAUGCGGUCCAGACUGGAUGAGCCCAAAUUGUUCUUAUUGUAUGGCUUCUUCCGCUGACCGGACUUGGAGCCGCUGAAUCCGGCGUUGACCGCCGUGUCAUCGGUAUGAUUGCCAUUGAUUCGACGCUUGUGUCUAUUGCGUCGGGGCUUGCCGUUGCUAUCCUUGGCUUCAGAGGCGCCGGGUUCGCUUGCCUUAUUAUUGCAACGGGCUAGCCAACUAUCUUCGCCCGCACAAAAGCGGGUCAUAAGUGUCGUAAGGGUUGCCAUGGACUUUGACUUUUCCUGCCCGAGAUGUCAGGUGAGCCAUUCUCCGCGGAUGCUAUGCUUAAAGGCCACUAGGGCUUCGGCGUCAGGAAAGUCGACGAUCUGGUUCUUUUUAGUUAAGAACCUAGUCCAGAAUUUCCGGGCUGAUUCUCCGAGCUGUUGGACUAUAUGACUUAAAUCAUCUGCAUUCGGAGGCCGGACGUAUGUUCCUUGGAAGUUGUCCAAAAAGGCUUCUUCCAAGUCUUCCUAGCUGCCGAUAGAGUUUUCUGGCAGACUGUUCAACCAGUACCGAGCUGGUCCUUUGAGUUUUAGUUGGAGAUAUUUGAUGGCGUGGAGAUCAUCGCCACGAGCCAUAUGAAUAUGGAGGAGGAAAUCCUCUAUCCAGACCGCAGGGUCUAUUGUCCCAUCAUAUGAUUCGAUGUUUAUGGGUUUAAACCCUUCUAGGAAUUCAUGGUCCAUUACUUCAUCAGUGAAGCAAAGAGGGUGUGCGGCGCCUCUAUAUCGGGCCACAUCGUCACGUAGCUUCGAUGGAGUCUGUCUGUGGAGUUCGGCCCGGGCGUGACUGGGCUUAUUACGUUCAAAUAGGUGGUUGUCUUCAUGCGUCGGGGCACGCCCUCGCGAUACAUAGAUCGAUCUAGUAUGUCCCGCAUUGUUGUCCAGUUUUUGCCGUAGGUCAUAGGUAUGUCCCCGAGCUGUUUGAUCUCUACCUUUACAGUGAGGUGGAGCGGGCUGGUGUUCGGUUUGAGUUGCCGCCUUGUCUCGACCCCGUGGUGGUCGAUCAACCGCAUUGCAUGAUGAUGGUAUGGGCUCCAACGCCUCAUCAUCGAAUUGAGGUAGCAAUUGACGAUGCGGGUAACUUUUGGCUGGGCGUUUAAGGCCGUACUCUUCGGCUGCCAGGACAUUAGUCCAUUUAUCGUUGAGCAUAUCUUGAUCAUCUUGAAGCUGCUGCUGCUUCUUUUCCAGGCUCCUUGCAGUGGCUAUUAGCUGGCGCUUAAAGGCGCUCCUGCUCGAGGGGUUCCUCAGGCAUGAUGAAGUCUUUGUUGCCGAGGCUCACCUCCUCCUCAGAGAGCGGAUGAUAACUACCUCCUCCGAGUCUUCAUUUAUGGCCCAUUCGUCAGGGCUGACUUGCCCAUCCUCCCGAUUGUCCUGUUCGGCAGUUUGUUCGUCGUGGUCUUCUACGUCUUCGGCACCAUCCGGAGUGUUGUCGUCUCCUAUGCUGGUGUUGUUGUCCUUGCCGCGGCGUGGUUUAGAGCGGCGCCGCUAACGCCGGUGCUUUGGUUGUGUCUUAGGGGGGGUCACCCUCCACUAGGUUUUCCUUGUCAUCACCGCUAUUAUCUUUUGGCGUAUCCACCAUGUAUACGUCAUAUGAGGAAGUGGUCGUCCAUCGUCCGGUGAACAGGGUGGCUUGGGCCUCCUCUUCUCCAGCAUCGUCGUCCAUAUCGUCGAUGUCUUCGGAGUCGUAAUUGAGUGUGUCGGUUAAGUCAUCGACAGUGGCUAUAAAGUGGGUGGUUGGUGGGAAGCGAAAUUCUCUGUCAUCAGCCUCCAAUUCGAGCCAGACAUAAUUCGGCUGUGAGUCUUCCGCCAAGGACAGAUUUUUUUAAUGAGUGUAACACAUCACCGAAAGGCAAGUGUCGGAAGAUGUCUGUGGCGCUGAAUUCGAAGAUCGAUAACCCAUCGAGCUCGGCAUCCGCGGACGCAUAUGGUUCGGAGCUUGUAGCCGGAAACGAGUCUGAAGUUCCGGUGACACAGAUAUCACAUGAGGCUAAGUCUGUGUGCGGCUCCAACGCCGCAGAAUCGGUGGCCUCCGUGGCGGGGUUGAGCUUCCCAUCCUCGGAUGGCGCGAUCUGCUCCGGAUCUAAGGCCAGAGUAGUUACAGGAGCUAUCUCCCGGAUGUGGUCCGAUGACAGAUUUAAGUCAUGUUCAUCGAGUUGACAGGGAGCGGCUGCCGCGGUCUCGAAUCCGUCAAAGAUCACGUCUCCGCGGAUGUCCGCGACAUAAUUCAAGCUCCCAAAUCUGACCUGAUGGCCAGGAGCGUAGCUUUCGAUCCGCUCCAGAUGGCCAAACGAGUUGGCCUGCAGUGCGAAGCCGCCGAAUAUGAAGAUCUGUCCGGGGAGGAAGACUUCCCCCUGGAUAGCACUGUUGUAGAUGAUUGAAGGAGCCAUCAAACCUCUUGACAGCAGCACAGUGGAACUCUUAAUGAAAGCACCAAUGUCGGUGUCAAAACCGGCGGAUCUCAGGUAGGGGGUCCCGAACUGUGCGUCUAGGAUCGAUGGUAACAGGAGAUGGGGGACACAAUGUUUACCAGGUUCGGGCCCUCUCUAUGGAGGUAAUACCCUACUUCCCGCUUGAUUGAUCUUGAUGAAUAUGAGUAUUACAAGAGUUGAUCUACCACGAGAUCAUAAUGGCUAAACCAUAGAAGUCUAGCAUGUAUGACUAUGGUAAUGAGUAUCCUGAUCCGGACUAAGCCCUCUGGUUUAUAUAGACACUGGAGGGAUCUAGGGUUACACAAGGUCAGUUACAGAGAAAGGAAUCUUCAUGUUUGAUCGCCAAGCUUGCCUUCCACGCAAAGGAGAGUCCCAUCCGGACACGUUGAGAGUCUUCGGUCUUCAUAUCUUCACAACCCAUCAGUCCGGCCCAUGGCUAACAGGCCGGACACCCGAGUGUUGGGGAACGUAGUAGUUUCAAAAAAUUUCCUACGCACAUGCAAGAUCAUGGUGAUGCAAAGCAAUGAGAGGGGAGAGUGUGUCCACGUACCCUCGUAGACCGAAAGCGGAAGCGUUAGAACAACGCGGUUGAUGUAGUCGUACGUCUUCAUGGCCCGACCGAUCAAGCACCGAAACUACGGCACCUCCGAGUUCUAGCACAUGUUCAGCUCGAUGACGUCCCCCGUACUCCGAUCCAGCAGAGUGUCGAGGGAGAGUUCCGUCAGCACGACGGCGUGGUGACGAUCUUGAUGUUCUACCGUUGCAGGGCUUCGCCUAAGCACCGCUACAAUAUUAUCGAGGAGGACUAUGGUGGAGGGGGCACCGCACACGACUAAGAGAUCAAGAGAUCAAUUGUUGUGUCUAGAGGUGCCCCCUACCCCCAUAUAUAAAGGAGCAAGAGGGAAGGGGGCGGCCGGCCUAGGAGGGGGUGCGCCAUGGGGAGUCCUACUCCCACCGGGAGUAGGACUCCCUCCUUCCUUGUUGGACUAGGAGAGGGGGAAGGAAAGGGAGAGGAGGAGAAGGACAGAGGGGGGCCGCCCCCCUUGCCCUAAACCAAUUCGGUUUGGGCCUUGAGGGGGGCGCUCCCAACACUUCCCUUGCUGCCCUCUAUUUCCACUAAGGCCCAUGUAGGCCCAUUAAGCCCCCGGGGGGUUUCGGUAACCUCCCGGUACUCCGGUAAAAUCCCGAUUUCACCCAGAACACUUCCGAUAUCCAAAUAUAGGCUUCCAAUAUAUCAAUCUUCAAGUCUCGACCAUUUCGAGACUCCUCGCCAUGUCCGUAAUCACAUUCGGGACUCCGAAAAACCUUCGGUACAUCAAAACUCAUAAACUCAUAAUAUAAUUGUCAUCGAAACCUUAAGCGUGCGGACCCUACGGGUUCGAGAACUAUGUAGACAUGACCGAGACUCGUUUCCGGUCAAGAACCAAUAGCGGAACCUGGAUGCUCAUAUUGGCUCCUACAUAUUCUACGAAGAUCUUUAUCGGUCAAACCGCAUAACAACAUACGUUGUUCCCUUUGUCAUCGGUAAGUUACUUGCCCGAGAUUCGAUCGUCGGUAUCCCAAUACCUAGUUCAAUCUCGUUACCGGCAAGGCUCUUUACUCGUUAUGUAAUGCAUCAUCCCGUAACUAACUCAUUAGUUACAUUGCUUGCAAGGCUUAUAGUGAUGUGCAUUAUAGAAAGGGCCCAAAGAUACCUCUUCGACAAUCGGAGUGACAAAACCUAAUCUCGAAAUACGCCAACUCAACAUGUACCUUUGGAGACACCUAUAGAGCUCCUUUAUAAUCACCCAGUUACAUUGUGACGUUUGGUAGCACACAAAGUGUUCCUCCGAUAAACGGUAGUUGCAUAAUCUCAUAGUUGUAGGAACAUGUAUAAGUCAUGAAGAGAGCAAUAGCAACAUACUAAACGAUCAAGUGCUAAGCUAACGGGAUGGGUCAAGUCAAUCACAUCAUUCUCCUAAUGAUGUGAUCCCGUUAAUCAAAUGACAGCACAUGUCUAUGGUUAGGAAACAUAACCAUCUUUGAUUAAUGAGCUAGUCAAGUAGAGGCAUACUAGUGACAUUAAGUUUGUCUAUGUAUUCACACAUGUAUCAUGUUUCCGGUUAAUACAAUUCUAGCAUGAAUAAUAAACAUUUACCAUGAUAUAAGGAAAUAAAUAAUAACUUUAUUAUUGCCUCUAGGGCAUAUUUCCUUCAGUCUCCCACUUGCACUAGAGUCAAUAAUCUAGAUUACACAGUAAUGAUUCUAACACCCAUGGAGCCUUGGUGCUGAUCAUGUUUUGCACGUGGAAGAGGCUUAGUCAACGGGUCUGCAACAUUCAGAUCCAUAAGUAUCUUGCAAAUAUCUAUGUCUCCCACCUGGACUUGGUCUCGGAUGGAAUUGAAGUGUCUCUUGAUGUGCUUGGUCCUCUUGUGAAAUCUGGAUUCCUUUGCCAAGGCAAUUGCACCAGUAUUGUCACAGAAGAUCUUCAUUGGUCCCGAUGCACUAGGUAUGACACCUAGAUCGGAAAUGAACUCCUUCAUCCAGACUCCUUCAUUUGCUGCUUCCAAAGCAGCUAUGUACACCGCUUCGCAUGUAGAUCCCGCCACGACACUUUGUUUAGAACAGCACCAACUGAUGGCUCCACCGUUCAAUAUAAACACGUAUCCGGUUUGCGAUUUAGAAUCAUCCGGAUCAGUGUCAAAGCUUGCAUCGACGUAACCAUUUACGACUAGCUCUUUGUCACCUCCAUAAACGAGAAACAUAUCCUUAGUCCUUUUCAGGUAUUUCAGGAUAUUCUUGACCGCUGUCCAGUGAUCCACUCCUGGAUUACUUUGGUACCUCCGUGCUAAACUUAUUGCUAAGCAUACGUCAAGUGUGGUACACAACAUUGCAUACAUGAUAGAACAUCUUUCAUUUUCUCUCUAUCUUCUGCUGUGGUCGGGCAUUGAGUCUGACUCAACUUCACACCUUGUAAUACAGGCAACACUACAAAAAAAAUACACUUCCGUGAUGAUACGUGUUUGUCACAGUAGGUCGCGUUUUUUGCCAUGCAUGUACAUCCAUGACAAUUUUAUGACAAAAUCAAGAUAGUCAUACCUGUGCUGUCGUAGAAGUGUUCCAUGACAUUACCAAAAUUAUCAUCACGGAAGUGUCCACUUCCAUGACGAUAAAUCGCGCGUCACAGAAGUGCUUUCGUCAAGGGUGACCGACACGUGGCAUCCACCGUAAAGGAACAUUGUUAAGCUAUCAGGUCGGAUUUUGGAUCCGAUAACCCGUUAACAGCCCCGACCAAUGGGGAUUUUCCACGUGUAAAAUCAUCAUUGGCUGGAGGAAACACGUGUCAGCUCAUCAUUGGGACAGAUGUCAUCCACUCAUUGGACGGAAGGCGCCUAUGAUACGUCGACACAUGGCACGACCCAAUAGAGGCCCAUUCCUAUGAAAAGGUCAGCCCAGUAAAAAUUAGCAGGCCAGCCCAUAUAAGGCCUACUUGUGUCAGGUCCAUUUAAGCCCACGGCCCAUACGAGAUGUGCCAAUUCGGCCCGUCAAAGAUUUGACACCAUUGCAGCCCAUCGUCAGUUUGAGCCCGUUAACAGCCAGCUAUAUAUUUAGGCUCAAUAUCGGCCCGAUGAGAUUUUGGCCUGUUAACGACCCAUUUAAUCGAUGGUCAAUUUUCAGGAUGUACAUCUUUCGGCCUUUUAGCGACCCAUUUAAAUGUUGGGCUAAUUUCCGGCCUGGUGUGUCUUUCAGCCUGUUGACGGCCCAUAAAUCUGAUGGGCCAUUUGUUGUCGGACCUGAGUUUUAGCCUUUUAGCAGCCCAUUUAAGUGUUGGGCCAAUUUCUGGCCCGGUGUCACUUUCAGCCUGUUGACGGGCCAUAAAUCAGUUGGGCCAUUUGUAGUCGGACCUGAGUUUUGGCCUUUUAGCGACCCAUUUAAGUGUUGGGCCAAUUCUCGGCCCUGUGUGCCUUUUGGCCUGUUAACGGACCAUAAAUGAGUUGGGCCAUUUGUAGUCGGACCUUAGUUUUGGCAUUUUAACGGUCCAUGCCCUUCAUGGUCCAAUACCAGCCCGGUUUCUCUUUCGGCCUGCUAAAGGCCCACAACACAGUUGGGCCAUUUACAAUAUGACCUGACUUUCGGCCUCUUAGCAGCCCAUGGUCUUCGUGGUCCAGUAGAAGCCCGCUGUCUCUUUCAGCCUGCUAAAGGCCUACAGUAUAGUUGGGCCAUAUGUAGCCCAAACUUAGUAACGGUCUGUUAAUGGGCCGUGAAAUAAAUUGGGGCCACCUGUUGCCCGCUUCGAUGUCGGCCUGUUAACGACCCGGGAGGUAAGAGGGCCGACCAUUAACUUUCGGCCUAGUAACGGCCCAUUAACUUAAUGGGCCCACUAAAGUUCGUACAUGUCUUCAGGCCAAAUUAGAUAAUUUGAGCCCAUUACGACGAGCAAUUAUGCACAGGACCAAAACCGAUCAAGCAAAGGUACGGCAUACAGGGAAUAAUGUUGCACAUCCAGCAUAUAUUACAGGAAAUUACAUCCACUAGGCAAUCAAAGAUUGAUGCCAGUGCAAAUAAAUGAGCAGAACCUAACCAUCUACAACGUCACAAUCUGCAACCUCAGCACAGAUGAUGCCCAUAAGCAUGUGGGCAAGUUCUUUCUGCUUUGCUACACUGUCUCUGAAAACAUUGAACAUUUGUUGUGUCGCACGACUCUGCACCUCUGAUUCAUCCACCAUUUCCAUCAUUGCUUCAGCCAUUAAUUGGUUCACAAACAUACAUUUAUUCUGUUGCAUUCGAGACAGAGGAUACUGAACAGAUUCAGAUGGCGAUUUUGGCAGGUUUGUAUUAUUGAUAGUGGAGAGUGUCUCGACCACUGCAUCAUAACAUAAAUUAGGACGGGAACCAAACAGAUUAAUCAUGAGUUAUUGCCAUAUUACCUGGCCUAGAUUUACUGGAAAGAAACAAUGGGGUUGCCUUGCUGUUUUCAGAGUUUGUCUUCUUAUCUUCAGCAGCCUGCACAAAUUUAACACACUAGCAUUGCUAUCAUUGGCCAAGUCAGAUAAUAGGAAAGCAACAUUGACACAAUGAACGUUUGGGCAACCAACCUACACCAAAUUAACACAAUAUGGCACAGCUAUCAUCAGCCAGGUAAGGUAGUACGAAAGCAACAUUGACACAAUGAAUGAAUGGGCAACCAGAGAAGCACUACAAUUCAGUAAUGUGCGUGAUAUGAGAUAGUACAUUAAUGCAGCUCAGUAUGCAAAACUACCAGGCAGUUUUCCUUACAAAAAUCAACAUUGGCGCCUUUAACAUUUUGCUACAACUAAUUUUAGAUCAGAUAAAGGUUAGAUUCACGCUGAUUAACAAAAUACAUGUUGAUGUAAAAAUAUAGUGAUAUACAACAGGUACUUACAUCAGCAUUGGAGCACAGAGAAUUCCCGCAAGAUAUUUUCCUCGAAUACGAUCCCAAUGGGGGAAGUCUUCUAUCGUUUAACCUUAUUUUCUAAAAGAGAGAUGGGUAAGAAACAUGUAGAAAAUAUGAUCAGAAUGCUAUAAAAUUUCAUGAUGUGAGGAUACGCACACGCUUCUUAGAAUGGAGUUGACAUUCUUUUGCUGGACUGGAGCGGACUAGUUCUUUGGCCACUGGAAUCUGCUUAUUAUCAAUGGGAGUUGGGUUUCUCUGUGUUGGUGCAGUAUCUAUGAAAAAUGGAGUUGGUUUAUUAUCUCCUGGCGUUUGGAUCUUUUGCAAAGACCUGGUUUGUAACCCUUCAGAUUCUAACAUAGCCGUCUUCCCCUUGCAUGCCUUAUGUAGAAGAAUGGAGAUUCAGUUAUAAAACAUGCUACAACAGAGAUGGAAUAGGUACUGAAGAAUAGAAAGACAUGACAUAUUGACAUGUAUUCCCUCCAUCCAGAAAUAAAUGGACGGGUCUUGGCAUAUUUCAGUUCUAGAUACAUCUAGUUUUAUCCAUUUCUGCGACAUUUAAUCUGGACGGAGGGAGUAUGAUGUAAGAGCUAGGGAUACGACAGGACAACACAGUAAAAAAAAGCCACUGAAAAACCCACUGCAGAACCAAAGUAUUCAAACCCACUGAUAUGAGAUAGUACACUCAUGCAGCUCAGGAUGCAAAACUACCAGGUAGUUUUCCUUACAAAAAUUAACAUUGUGGCCUUUAAUCAUACAUUUUGCUACAACUAAAUUUAGAUCUGAUAAAUGUUGGAUUCACGCCGAUUAACAAAAUACAUGCUGAUGUAAAAAUAUAGUGAUAUACAACAAGUACUUACAUCUACAUUGGAGCACAGAGAUUCUUGCAAGAAUCUUUCCUCAUAAACGAUACCAUUGCAGAAAUUCUUCUAUAUUUUAAGCUUAUUUUCUAAAAGAGAGAUGGGUAAGAAACAUGUAGAAAAUAUGAUUAGCAUGCUAUAAAAUUUCAUGAUGCAAGGAUACACACACGCUUCUUAGUAUUGAGUUGACAUAUUUUUGCUGGACUAGAGCGGACUAGUUCUUUGGCCACUGGAAUCUGCUUAUUAUCAGUAGGAGUUGGGUUUCUCUGUGCUGGAGCAGUAUCUAUAAAAACUGGAGUUGGUUUAUUAUCUCCUGGCGAUUGGAUCUUUUUCAAAGGCCUUGUUUGUAACCCUUCAGAUUCUAACAUAGUCGUCUUCCCCUUGCAUGCCUUGUAUAGAAGAAUGGUGCUUUAAUUAUAAAACAUGCGACAGCAGAGAGAUAGAAUAGGUACUGAAGAAUAGAAAGGCAUGACAUAUUGACAUGUAUUCCUCCAUCCGGAAAAAAAUGGAUGGGUCUAGGCGUAUUUCAGUUCUAGAUACAUCCUUUUUUUAUCCAUUUUGGCAACAUGUAAUCCGAACGGAGGGAGUAUGGUGUAAGAUCUAGGGAUACGACAGGACAACACAGCAAAAAAAACACUAGUUGAGUGUAAAACUAUAUGCUAGCGAAAUACGUACAGAAAUAACUAAGGCAACAUACACGUGUAUGAUUGGGAAAAUAUGAUGGCAUUGCAACAGAGCACUAGAACAACACUUCAAUGUAAAAAAACAUGGUAUGGCAGAUAGAUGAAGUACAUACUGAUGAAUAACAAUGCAUAAGAAUUCAGAAGCAUGAUGUCCAAAUUAAGCAGAUGGCAUUGCGAUAUAGUAGAAUGACAGUACUUGAAUUUGAAAACAUGUUAUCAUGAAUGGAAUAGGUACUGAAAACAGGAAGGCCUCACAUAUUUACAUGCAUGAUCAGCAUGCUAAGCACAUGGCAUUGCAACAGAGUAGAUACACUCCAGGACAUUAUAUGCAUGUUGUACCCAUAUCACAGGCCAAGUUAGAGCAAGGACCUUGUGGGGUGAAGAGGAUUCAUCAUCUUUCUGCAAGUCUUAUGAAGAACUGCCUUUACAUGUUCCAUCAUAUUGGGUAUCAUUGACAUCAAGUUUAUUGGCCUUUACAUUGCUCCGUGAGGUUCUUGUGGAUAUAUCAGUGUGUGCAAUUAUAUCUGACAUGCAUGGAAGACAACUAGUAGUUAGAUUUAUGUAAAUGAGUGCCCGUAGGAGACGACAUAAAUAGUAGGAUUGGGGUUAACUAGCAGCAACAGGUCUCAUAAACUAAAGGGAGAACACAGAUGAAAGCUACAGAAUAUGUAUCGUUUGUACUCGAGAUUAACUAGAUGGCACACAAAAGUAUUAAAGAACAACAUAGGUAAUACUAGAAGUGGUGUAAUACUAUAAUCACCAGCCUGUGGGAUAGCAUUGGCUGAUGGAUGAUAACUAUGGAACAGCGUUACCGAAAGAACAGGUAUCUUAGCUGAACUAUGGAACAGCGUGAACUCCUGAACAAGACCCGUAAGAGAUCAACAUGAAUAUACAGUGAAAUGUGAUGAUCUAUUUUCCGUGCUUAGAUGAAUAACAAAGCCAUAAAUGUUGCACACAAGUAAGAUGACGGUACAACCUAUCUGGCUGCCAUCCAUAGGAGUGAGCAUCAUGUGCUGACUUGUCGAUGGCCCUGCAGUUGUUGUGGCUGUCCAUGUCGGGCAUGCACAUUCGAUGCAGGGAACUAUUGAGUGGGGACCGUAGCUCCCUUCUGGUGUAUGCUUCCCUUGUUGGAGCAGCUGCGGUGAGUCGGAAGACGGUGUGUCUGAAGAUGCAGAUAACGCAUAAUGUUAAGAACGACAUAUCUCUUUGAUCUGAAGAAAUACACUAAGAGAUCAACAGCAAGGUACGAGAGUGGUCACACGUCUGUUGACUGAAGACUUCACAUGAUUUUAUUUUAUUUUGGUACUGUCCGAUCUACGCCGGAUGGCUUGAUGGCCGUCUUGUGCCUCCCGGCUGACACUGUUCGGAAUCUUCCCCAAAGAGCCAGUGACCAAUGGCAGAGCAGCCUGCCUCCGCCGUCCGUGGACCCGGCCAAAACCCCGCUCCCCACCCCACCGCACUACCGUGGUUGCGCCGCCCCCGGGCCAAUCCACAAAGACUCCCCGUCAUCCAGAUCCGGCGGCAGCAGUACCUUCAACCCACGCAACUCUAAAAGAUAGCCAUCUAAGCGCUGCUUCCGCGGCGAACUUGCGGCCCCGCUGCCAUGUGUAUAUUUUGAAUGAUGGGGCAGUAAGUUGGUGCAGUUGCAAGCAAAGCGUCGUGGCGGGAUCUACAUGUGAAGCGGAGUACAUGGCAGCCUCGGAGGCAGCGCAUGAAGCAAUCUGGAUGAAGGAGUUCAUUACCGACCUAGGAGUUAUUCCCAAUGCGUCAGGGCCGAUGACUCUCUUCUGUGACAACACUGGAGCCAUUGCCCUUGCCAAGGAGCCCAGGUUUCACAAGAAGACCAGGCACAUCAAGCGUCGCUUCAACUCCAUUCAUGAAAAUGUUCAAGAUGGAGACAUAGAUAUUUGUAAAGUGCACACAGAUCUGAAUGUCGCAGAUCCGUUGACUAAACCUCUUCCACGAGCAAAACAUGAUCAACACCAGAACUCUAUGGGUGUUCGAUUUAUCAUAAUGUAACUAGAUUAUUGACUCUAGUGCAAGUGGGAGACUGUUGGAAAUAUGCCCUAGAGGCAAUAAUAAAAUGGUUAUUAUUAUAUUUCCUUGUUCAUGAUAAUUGUCUAUUGUUCAUGCUAUAAUUGUGUUAUCCGGAAAUCGUAAUACAUGUGUGAAUGCAUAGACCAUAACAUGUGACUAGUGAGCCUCUAGUUGACUAGCUCGUUCAUCAAUAGAUGGUUACGGUUUCCUAACCAUGGACAUUGGAUGUCAUUGAUAACGGGAUCACAUCAUUGGGAGAAUGAUGUGAUGGACAAGACCCAAUCCUAAGCAUAGCACAAGAUCGUGUAGUUCGUUUGCUAGAGCUUUUCUAAUGUCAAGUAUCAUUUCCUUAUACCAUGAGAUCGUGUAACUUCUGGAUACAUGUAGAGUGCUUUGGGUGUACCAAACGUCACAACGUAACUGGGUGGCUAUAAAGGUAUACUACAGGUAUCUCCGAAAGUGUCUAUUGGGUUGACUCGAAUCGAGACUGGGAUUUGUCACUCUGUAUGACGGAGAGGUAUCUCUGGGCCCACUCGGUAAUGCAUCAUCAUAAUGAGCUCAAAGUGACCAAGUGGUUGGUCACAGGAUCAUGCAUUGCAGUACGAGUAAAGUGACUUGCCAGUAACGAGAUUGAACUAGGUAUUGGGAUACCGACGAUGGAAUCUCGGGCAAAUAACAUACCGAUUGACAAAGGGAAUUGUAUACAGGAUUACUUGAAUCCUCGACAUUGUGGUUCAUCCGAUGAGAUCAUCGAGGAGCAUGUCGGAGACAACAUGGGUAUCCAGGUCCCGCUAUUGGUUAUUGACCUGAGAGUCAUCUCGGUCAUGUCUGCAUGUCUCCCGAACCCGUAGGGUCUACACACUUAAGGUUCGGUGAUGCUAGGGUUGUAGAGAUAUUAGUAUGCGGUAACCCGAAAGUUGUUCGGAGUCCCGAAUGAGAUCCCGGACAUCACGAGGAUUUCCGGAAUGGUUCAGAGGUGAAGAUUUAUAUAUAGGAAGUCCAGUUUCUGCCACCGAGAAAGUUUCGGGGGUCACCGAUAUUGUACCGGGACCACCGGAAGGGUCCCGGGGUUCCACCAGGUGGGGCCACCUAUCCCGGAGGGCACAUGGGAUGAAGUGGGAGGGGAACCGGCCCUUGGUGGGCUGGUGCGCCCCCCUUGGGCCUCCCCCUGCGCCUAGGGAUGGAAACACUAGGGGUGGGGGGCGCCCCACUUGGCUUGGGGGGCAAGUCCCCCCCCCUUGGCCGCCGCCCCCCUUGAGAUUCAAUCUCUAGGGGGCUGGCGCCCCCCUAGGGCCCUUAUAUAAAGAGGGGGGAGGGAGGGCUGCGCACACCCUGCUCCUGGCGCCUCCCUCUCCCUCCGUAACACCUCUCCCUCUCGCUAAGCUGGGUGAAGCCCUGCCGAGAUCGCCGCUACUUCCACCACCACGCCAUCAUGCUGCUGGAUCUCCAUCAACCUCUCCCUCCCCCUUGCUGGAUCAAGAAGGAGGAGACGUCUUCCCCAACCGUACAUGUGUUGAACGCGGAGGUGCCGUCCGUUCGGCGCUAGGAUCAUCGGUGAUUUGGAUCACGACGAGUACAACUCCAUGAACCCCGUUCUUUUGAACGCUUCCGCUCACGAUCUACAAGGGUAUGUAGAUGCACUCCUUUCUCUCUCGUUGCUAGAUGACUCCAUAGAUUGAUCUUGGUGUUGCGUAGAAAAAAUUUAUUUUCUGCUACGUUCCCCAACAGUGUUCAUCGGGAGGGCUUGGACGGAGCAGGCGAUGGAAACGAGGCCUGGCAUACCGCACAACGGAGGAAACGGACCUCCUACGUUCGGAACGGGGUCCUGUUGAUCGGGAGGGGUGCGGCGUACCACAAAACGGAGGAAACAGACCUCCUACGGUCGAAACAGGGGUCCUGUUGAUCGGGAGGGGUGUGGCGUACUACAAAACGGAGGAAACAGACCUCCUACGGUCGAAACGGGGGUCCUGUUGAUCGGGAGGGGUGUGGCGUACCGCAAAACGGAGGAAACGGACCUCCUACGGUCGAAAUGGGGGUCCUGUUCAUUGGGAGGGGUGUGGCGUACCACAAAACGGGACUCCACGGGAUACUGUUCAUCUCCACCGUCGACCUCCUCCAGCCUCCACGGGCUACCGUCGACCUCCUCCAGCCUCCAUGGGCUCCUGUUCAUCCAGCCUCCACCGCGCGCUACUCCACCGACUACUGUUCAACCACCCCUCCACCAUCUACUAUUCAUCCAGCCCUCCAUCGUCUACUGUUCAUCCAGCCCUCCACACCACGGGGUCCUGUUCAACCACCCCUCCAUGGGCACCCCUCCAUCGUCUACUGUUCAUCCAGCCCUCCACACCACGGGUUCCUGUUCAUCCAGAGGCAACGCCACCGCUCACUGUUCACCCCCCUCCCCCCGCAACGCUCACUGUUCAUCCAAUCGAUCGGCUUCAGUUAGCAGUAGUAGCGAAGGAAUCGCUCGAUCGGGUUCAGUUAACAGCCAUCGACCGACCGCUCGGGUUCAGUAAUGUGUAGCCUGCAGUGCAAUCGCUCGGGUUUAGUUAGAGCCCAACGCCUCGCUCGGGUUCAGUUAGAGCCAACGCCUCGCACGUGUACGAGAUAAACGCGCAUCACUCGGCCCCUGACCUCCCACCGUAACCGGCAACUCCCCGAAAUUUUCCUCCCCCUCGCUUCUACCAUAGUUUUUUCCGUCAUGGACGGCCCAAAGAAUGUCAUGCAGCUGCGUCUCCGGCCCGCCCAGGACGAAAAGCCCAUUUUCUGUCAUGAUUUUUUGUCAUAGAAGUAGGAGCCCACCACAUCUAUGAUGAUACCGGGUUUUGUCACAAUUAUCGUCAUAGAAGUGUCAUAUGUAAGACAGAAAAAAAAUCGUUCGGCCCAAAACAUCACGGAUGUGUCUUUUUUUGUAGUGCGAGAACCCUUUCUUUGCCUGAUCCUUUUUGAACUUUUUCAAAACUUUAUCAAGGUAUGUGCUUUGUGAAAGUCCAAUUAAGCGUCUUGAUCUAUCUCUAUAGAUCUUGAUGCCCAAUAUAUAAGCAGCUUCACCGAGGUCUUCCAUCGAAAAACUUUUAUUCAAAUAUCCCUUUAUGCUAUCCAGAAAUUCUAUAUCAUUUCCAAUCAACAAUAUAUCGUCUACAUAUAAUAUCAGAAAUGUUACAGAGCUCCCACUCACUUUCUUGUAAAUACAGGCUUCUCCAAAAGUCUGUAUAAAACCAUAUGCUUUGAUCACACUAUCAAAGCGUUUAUUCCAACUCCGAGAGGCUUGCACCUGUCAUAAAUGGAUCGUUGGAGCUUGCACACUUUGUUAGCACCUUUUGGAUCGACAAAACCUUCGGUUGCAUCAUAUACAACUCUUCUUCCAGAAAUCCAUUUAGGAAUGCAGUUUUGACAUCCAUUUGCCAUAUUUCAUAAUCAUAAAAUGCAGCAAUUGCUAACAUGAUUUGGACAUACUUAAGCAUCACUAUGGGUGAGAAAGUCUCAUCGUAGUCAACCCCUUGAACUUGUCGAAAACCUUUCACAACAAGUCGAGCUUUGUAGACAGUUACAUUACCAUCAGCGUCAGUCUUCUUCUUGAAGAUCCAUUUAUUCUCGAUGGCUUGCCGAUCAUCGGGCAAGUCAACCAAAGUCCAUACUUUGUUCUCAUACAUGGAUCCCAUCUCAAAUUUCAUGGCCUCAAACCAUUUUGCGGAAUCUUGGCUCAUCAUCGCUUCCUCAUAGUUCGUAGGUUCGUCAUGGUCAAGUAACAUGACUUCUAGAAUAGGAUUACAGUACCACUCUGGUGCGGACCUUACUCUGGUUGACCUACGAGGUUCGGUAGUAACUUGAUCUGAAGUUUCAUGAUCAAUAUACUUAGCUUCCUCACUAAUUGGUGUAGUUGUCAUAGGAACUGGUUCUUGUGAUGAACUACUUUCCAAUAAGGGAUCAGGUACAGUUACCUCAUCAAGUUCUACUUUCCUCCCACUCACUUCUUUCGAGAGAAACUCCUUCUCUAGAAAGGAUCCGAAUUUAGCAACAAAAGUCGUGUACCCAAUAUUCUCUUUUGGGUAUCCUAUGAAGACACAUUUCUCUGAUUUGGGUUCGAACUUAUCUGGUUGAAGUUUCUUCACAUAAGUAUCACAACCCCAAACUUUAAGAAACGACAACUUUGGUUUCUUGCCAAACUACAGUUCAUAAGGCGUCGUCUCAACGGAUUUUGAUGGUACCCUAUUUAACGUGAAUGCGGUCGUCUCUAACCCCAAAACAAUAGCGGUAAAUCAGUAAGAGACAUCAUAGAUCGCACCAUAUCCAGUAAAGUACGAUUACGAUGUUCGAACACACCAUUACGUUGUGGUGUUCUGGGUGGCAUGAGUUGCGAAACUAUUCCGCAUUGUUUCAAAUGUAAACCAAACUCGUAACUCAAAUAUUCUCCUCCAUGAUCGGACCAUAGAAACUUUAUUUUCUUGUUACGAUGAUUUUCCACUUCACUCUGAAAUUCUUUGAACUUUUCAAAUGUUUCAGAUUUGUGUUUCAUUAACUAGAUAUACCCAAUCUGCUCAAAUCAUCUGUGAAGGUGAGAAAAUAACGAUACCCGCCACGAGCCUCAACAUUCAUUAGACCACACACAUCAGUAUGUAUGAUUUCCAACAAAUCAGUUGCUCGCUCCAUAGUUUCGGAGAACGGCGUUUUAGUCAUCUUGCCCAUGAGGCACGGUUCGCAAGUACCAAGUGAUUCAUAAUCAAGUGAUUCCAGAAGUCCAUCAGUAUGGAGUUUCUUCAUGCACUUUACACCAAUAUGACCCAAUCAGCAGUGCCACAAAUAAGUUGCACUAUCAUUAUCAACUCUGCAUCUUUUGGCUUCAACAUUAUGAAUAUGUGUAUCACUACUAUCGAGAUUUAAUAAAAAUAGACCACUCUUCAAGGGUGCAUGACCACAAAAGAUAUUACUCAUAUAAAUAGAAAAACCAUUAUUCUCUGAUUUAAAUGAAUAACCGUCUCGCAUCAAACAAGAUCCAGAUAUAAUGUUCAUGCUCAACGCUGGCACCAAAUAACAAUUAUUUAGGUCUAAAACUAAUCCCGAAGGUAGAUGUAGAGGUAGCAUGCCGACCGCGAUCACAUCGACUUUGGAACCAUUUCCCACGCGCAUCGUCACCUCGUCCUUAGCCAAUCUUCGCUUAAUCCGUAGUCCCUGUUUCGAGUUGCAAAUAUUAGCAACAGAACUAGUAUCAAAUACCCAGGUGCUACUGCGAGCAUUAGUAAGGUACACAUGAAUAACAUGUAUAUCACAUAUACCUUUGUUCACCUUGCCAUCCUUCUUAUCCGCCAAAUACUUGGGGCAGUUCCGCUUCCAGUGACUAGUCUGCUUGUAGUAGAAGCACUCAGUCUUAGGCUUAGGUCUAGAUUUGGGUUUCUUCUCUUGAGCAGCAACUUGUUUGCCGUUCUUCUUGAAGUUCCCCUUCUUCUUCCCUUUACCCUUUCUCUUGAAACUGGUGGUCUUGUUGACCAUCAACACUUGAUGCUCCUUCUUGAUUUCUACCCCCGCAGCCUUUAGCAUUGCGAAGAGCUCGGGAAUAGUCUUGUCCAUCCCUUGCAUAUUAUAGUUCAUCACGAAGCUCUUGUAGCUUCAUGGCAGUGAUUGAAGAAUUCUGCCAAUGGCACUAUCAUCAGGAAGAUUAACUCCCAGUUGAAUCAAGUAAUUAUUAUACCCAGACAUUUUGAGUAUGUGUUCACUGACAGAACUAUUCUCCUCCAUCUUGCAGCUAUAGAACUUAUUGGAGACUUCAUAUCUCUCAAUCCGGGCAUUUGCUUGAAAUAUUAACUUUAACUCCUGGAACAUCUCAUAUGCUCCAUGACGUUCAAAAUGUCAUUGAAGUCCCGGUUCUAAGCCCUAAAGCAUGGCACACUGAACUAUCGAGUAGUCAUCAGCUUUGCUCUGCCAGACGUUCUUAACGUCGCCAGUUGCAUCUGCAGCAGGCCUAGCACCCAGCGGUGCUUCCAGGACGUAAUUCUUCUGUGCAGCAAUGAGGAUAAUCCUCAGGUUACGGACCCAGUCCGUGUAAUUGCUACCAUCAUCUUUCAACUUAGCUUUCUCAAGGAACGCAUUAAAAUUCAACGGAAAACAGCACGAGCCAUCUAUCUACAACAAACAUAGACAAGCAAAAUACUAUCAGGUACUAAGUUCAUGAUAAAUUUAAGUUCAAAUAAUCAUAUUAUUAAAGAACUCCCACUUAGACAGACAUCUCUCUAGUCAUCUAAGUGAUCACGUGAUCCAAAUCAACUAAACCAUGUCCGAUCAUCACGUGAGAUGGAGUAGUUUUCAAUGGUGAACAUCACUAUGUUGAUCAUAUCUACUAUAUGAUUCACGUUCGACCUUUCGGUCUCUGUGUUCCGAGGCCAUAUCUUUAUAUGCUAGGCUCAUCAAGUUUAACCUGAGUAUUCCGCGUGUGCAACUGUUUUGCACCCGUUGUAUUUGAACGUAGAGCCUAUCACACCCGAUCAUCACGUGGUGUCUCAGCACAAAGAACUUUCACAAUGGUGCAUACUCAGGGAGAACACUUCUUCAUAAUUAGUGAGAGAUCAUCUUAAAAUGCUACCAUCAAUCAAAGCAAGAUAAGAUGCAUAAAGGAUAAACAUCACAUGCAAUCAAUAUAAGUGAUAUGAUAUGGCCAUCAUCAUCUUGUGCUUGUGGUCUCCAUCUCCGAAGCACCGUCGUGAUCAUCAUCGUCACCGGUGCGACACCUUGAUCUCCAUCGUAGCAUCGUUGUUGUUUCGCCAUCUAUUGCUUCUACGACUAUCGCUACCGCUUAGUGAUAAAGUAAAGCAAUUACAGGGCGCUUGCAUUACAUACAAUAAAGUGACAACCAUAUGGCUCCUGCCAGUUGCCGAUAACUCGGUUACAAAAUAUGAUCAUCUCAUACAAUAAAAUAUAGCAUCACGUCUUGACCAUAUCACAUCACAACAUGCCCUGCAAAAACAAGUUAGACGUCCUCUACUUUGUUGUUGCCAAUUUUACGUGGCUGCUACGGGCUGAGCAAGAACCGUUCUUACCUACGCAUCAAAACCACAAUGAUAGUUCGUCAAGUUAGUGUUGUUUUAACCUUCGCAAGGACCAGGCGUAGCCACACUCGGUUCAACUAAAGUUGGAGAAACUGACACCCACCAGCCACCUGUGUGCAAAGCACGUCGGUAGAACCAGUCUCGCGUAAGCGUACGCGUAAUGUCAGUCCAGGCCGCUUCAUCCAACAAUACCGCCGAACCAAAGUAUGACAUGCUGGAAAGCAGUAUGACUUGUAUCGCCCACAACUCACUUGUGUUCUACUUGUGCAUAUAACAUCUACGCAUAAACCAGGCUCGGAUGCCACUGUUGGGGAACGUAGUAAUUUCAAAAAAAUUCCUACGCACACACAAGAUCAUGGUGAUGCAAAGCAAUGAGAGGGGAGAGUGUGUCCACGUACCCUCGUAGACCGAAAGCGGAAGCGUUAGAACAACGCGGUUGAUGUAGUCGUAUGUCUUCACGGCCCGACCGAUCAAGCACCGAAACUACGGCACCUCCGAGUUCUAGCACACGUUCAGCUCGAUGACGUCCCCUGUACUCCGAUCCAGCAGAGUGUCGAGGGAGAGUUCCGUCAGCACGACGGCGUGGUGAUGAUCUUGAUGUUCUACCGUAGCAGGGCUUCGCCUAAGCACCGCUACAAUAUUAUCGAGGAGGACUAUGGUGGGGGGGGGCACCGCACACGGCUAAGAGAUCAAGAGAUCAUUAGUUACAUUGCUUGCAAGGCUUAUAGUGAUGUUUAUUACCGAGAGGGCCCAGAGAUACCUCUCCAACAAUCGGAUUGACAAAACCUAAUCUCGAAAUACGCCAACUCAACAUGUACCUUUGGAGACACCUGUAGAGCUCCUUUAUAAUCACCCAGUUACGUUGUGACGUUUGGUAGCACACAAAGUGUUCCUCCGAUAAACGGGAGUUGCAUAAUCUCAUAGUUGUAGGAACAUGUAUAAGUCAUGAAGAGAGCAAUAGCAACAUACUAAACGAUCAAGUGCUAAGCUAACGGAAUGGGUCAAGUCAAUCACAUCAUUCUCCUAAUGAUGUAAUCCCGUUAAUCAAAUGACAACACAUGUCUAUGGUUAGGAAACAUAACCAUAUUUGAUUAAUGAGCUAGUCAAGUAGAGGCAUACUAGUGACAUUAAGUUUGUCUAUGUAUUCACACAUGUACCAUGUUUCCGGUUAAUACAAUUCUAGCAUGAAUAAUAAACAUUUAUCAUGAUAUAAGGAAAUAAAUAAUAACUUUAUUAUUGCCUCUAGGGCAUAUUUCCUGCACCGAGGACCCCUUAGUCCAGGACUCCCUCACUCAUGAGAUAUAAUGCAUUGCUAAGGAGCUGGAGCUCCUGAAGUGUGAGUUACCGGACAAGUUCAUCACGGGUUGCAUUAUUGCGAAACUCCCUCCUAGUUGGAGGAACUUUGCUACUUCUCUCAAGCACUUGAGACGUGAAUUCUCUGUCGAGGAUGUCAUCGGUCAUCUCAGUGUUGAGCAGAACUCGAGAGCAAAGGACUCACACAUGAAAGGGGCAGAGGGUUCUUCUAGCGCCAAUGUGGUGCAAAAGAACUUCCACAAGUUCAAGGGAAAGAACUCUGUCCAGCAGAAUACUACCUUUAAGAAGAAGGGUAAGAAGAAAGACAAAAAGAGAGAUGGCUGCUUUACUUGUGGUUCAGAUGAACAUUGGGCAAACAAGUGCCCAAACAAGUACAAGAAGCCAACACAGGACUCCAAGUCUGCGAAUGUCACUCUGAGCAACAAUGAUGCGGCAUCUGGGUAUGGUAAUCUAUUUACCAUACUUUCAGUUUGUCAGUCCACCGAUUGGUGGGUUUACACUGGGGCCAAUAUUCAUGUGUGUGCAGAUGUGUCUUUGUUUUCUUCUUACCAGGCCGCAUGAGAUUGUUCCGUCCCGAUGGGGAAUGGCUCGCAUGCUUCUGUUCAUGGUGUUGGCACGGUAGAUCUGAAGUUUACUUCAGGAUAGAUCGUGCAACUGAAGAACGUGCAGCAUGUCCCCGCCAUCAAGAAGAAUCUCAUUAGUGGCUCCCUUCUUUGUAAAGAAGGGUUUAAGUUAGUAUUUGAGUCUAACAAAGUAGUCGUAUCUCGGUAUGGACUAUUUUGGAAAAGGAUAUGAUUGUGGUGGUUUGAUCCGCCUUUCCCUGGAGGAUUUUUGUAAUAAAGUCAUGAACCAAAUUCAUUCUAAUGUGAACGAAUCUGAGGUUUGGCAUUCACGUCUUUGUCACAUAAAUUUCGGUUGUAUGAUGCAGCUAGCUAAGAUGGACUUAAUCCCAAGUUUCACUUUAGCCAAAGGCUCUAAGUGACAUGCAUGUGUGCAAGCGAAGCAACCUCGUAAGCCUCACAAGCUUGCGAAGGAGAGACACCUGGCACCAUUAGAGCCCAUACAUUCAGAUCUCUGUGAGAUGAAUGGUGUGUUAACUAAAGGUGGAAAGAAAUACUUCAUGACUCUGAUUGAUGAUUCCACUAGAUUCUGCUAUGUGUAUUUGUUAAAUACUAAGGAUGAGGCUCUACACUACUUUAAAGUCUAUAAGGCUGAAGUUGAGAAUCAACUUGAGAAGAAAAUAAAACGAGCCUGGUCUGAUCAUGGUGGAGAGUACUUUCCUAAUGAGUUUGAUUUAUUCUGUGCGGAACAUGGUAUUAUUCAUGAGAGGACGCCUCCCUACUCAGCACAGUCAAACGGGGUUGCCGAACAGAAAAACCGCACUCUAACUGAUUUGGUUAACGCCAUGUUAGAUACAUCGGGUUUAUCCAAGGCAUGGUGGGGGGAGGCUGUAUUGACAUCAUGUCAUGUCCUGAAUAAAGUUCCCACAAAGGAUAAUGGGACUACUCCCUAUGAGCAAUGGGAAAAGAAAAUAACUACACUCUCUUACUUGCGCACUUGGGGCUGUUUGGCGAAAGUCAACGUGCCGAUAACCAAAAAGCGCAAGUUGGGACCAAAGACCGUGGACUGCGUUUUUCUUGGCUAUGCCAAGCAUAACGUUGGCUAUAGAUUUCUAGUGGUGAAAUCUGAUGUACACGACGUGAAGGUCGGUACGAUCAUGGAGUCUAGGGAUGCUACAUUCUUUGAGGAUAUUUUCCCCAUGAGAGAUAUGCAAAGCAAUUCUAGACAGGAAUCUGAUGACACUCCUGAACCUGCUAUUCCGUUGGAAUAUUAUGAACAUAAAAGUGAUAAGGAGUUCCAUGGAGGAUGACUAGGAAGCUCCUGUUAGGAGCAAGAGACAGAGGACUGCAAAGUCCUUUGGUGAUGAUUUCCUCUUGUACCUCGUGGAUGAUGACACUCCCAGUUCCAUUUCAGAAGCUUAUGCAUCUCCGGAUGCUGACUACUGGAAGGAUGCGGUCAGUAGCGAGAUGGAUUCCAUCUUGGCUAAUGGGACAUGGGAGAUCAUUGAUCGUCCUUAUGGUUGUCGACCAUUAGGAUGUAAGUGGGUGCUCAAGAAGAAGCUUAGGCCCGAUGGUACUGUUGAGAAGUACAAGGCUAGGCUUGUGGCCAACGGUUAUACCCAGAAAGAAGAAGAGGAUUUCUUCGACACUUAUUCACCUGUAGCUAGGCUGACAACCAUUCGAGUGUUACUCGCUUUGGCUGCCUCGCAUGGUCUUCUUGUUCAUCAGAUGGACAUUAAGACGGCUUUCCUUAACGGAGAGCUAGACGAGGAAAUUUACAUGCAACAACCAGAUGGCUUUAUAGUAAAUGGUUACGAAAGAAAGGUGUGUAAGUUAGUGAAAUCUUUGUAUGCCCUGAAACAAGUGCCUAAGCAAUGGCAUGAGAAGUUUAAUACAACUUUGACAUUUGUUGGCUUUGUUGUUAACGAAGCUGACAAAUGUGCAUACUAUUGCUAUGGUGGGGGCGAAGGAGUUAUACUCUAUCUGUAUGUUGAUGACAUACUGAUAUUUGGGACCCACCUCAAAGUAAUUGAGGAGGUCAAGGCUUUUCUAUCUCAUAACUUUGAGAUAAAAGACCUGGGCGUGGCUGAUGUUAUCUUGAACAUCAAGCUACUGAGAAAUAUUGAGGGUGGAAUUACACUUUUGCAAUCCCACUAUGUUGAGAAGAUUUUGAACCGCUUGGGAUAUUCGGACUGCAAACCUUCUGCAACACCAUAUGAUCCUAGCGUGCGGAUUCAAAAGUUCGAAGGCACGGCUGUAGAUCAAUUGAGAUAUUCUCAAGUGGUUGGUUCACUCAUGUACCUAGCUUGUGCUACUCACCCUGACAUCUCAUUUGCUGUGUGCAAACUGAGCCGGUUUGUUUCCAAUCCGGGAGAUGUGCAUUGGCAUGCUAUUGAGCGAGUAAUGCGCUAUUUGCAAGGUACUGUGAACUACGGGAUUCACUAUUCUGGGUACCCGACGAUACUUGAGGGGUAUAGUGAUUCGAACUAGAUAUCUGAUGUUGAUGAGAUGAAAGCCACAAGUGGAUAUGUCUUCACACUUGGUGGUGGUGCUGUUUCCUGGAAGUCUUGCAAGCAGACGAUCUUAACCAGAUUGGCUAUGGAAGCAGAACUCACAGCAUUAGACACAUCAUGCAUCGAAGCAGAACGGCUUUGAGAGCUUUUGAUAGAUUUGCCGGUGGUUGAUAAACCAACCCCGGCUGUCCUUAUGAACUGUGACAAUCAAACUGUGAUUGCCAACGCUAAGAGUUCAAAGGACAAUAUGAAAUCCACAAAGCACAUAAGAAGAAGAUUGAAAUAUGUCAGAAAAUCAAGAAACUCCGGAGUGAUAGCAUUGGAUUAUAUCCAGAAGGCUAAGAAUCUGGCAGACCCUUUUACGAAAGGGCUAUCACGGAUUGUGAUAGAAAAUGCAUCAAGGGAGAUGGGUAUGAGACCCACGUAAGUUGCCAUGGGUGUAAUCCAACCUAUGUGAUCGUAGAUCCCGUGAAUUAGGACCUGGGAAAACAAUCCAGCGGUCAACUGAGGAGAGUAUCCUUAAUAAACCCACUCCGUUUGAGAUGCAGUAAUACUCUCAAUUCUGUAAGGUAGGCUGACUUUUGUCUUAAUGUGUUCCAAAGCUUGAGUAAGCAAGAUGCUAACCUAUAGAGCAUUCUUUGGAGGAACACACCUAUGUGAGCCCAACUGCUGGUCACAGUCUAUGAGAUUGGGUAAUCUCUAGUAAGCUCAUGAUAAGGUACGGAGUAUGACUAAUAAGCUCCACCGGUGGGGUUUAGCCUUCGCCAGCCACGUAUCAGCUGACAAUAGGCGAAACUUCUACACGCCAAACUGAAAUUCAAGGCAUAGUCCAUUGUUCAGUUGUGAAGAAGUAUAAUCCUGUUGCUCUAGGUGGAAGUUCAACUUAACAGUCUCCACUGAAAUUUCUGAUAUAUCAAACAAUGUUUGGAACAGUUGAAACACUUAUGUGCCUCGAGAUCUGGUGAGGGAUUGAUGGAUUAUGGAUGGGCUUAGGCCCAUAUAAGACACUAAUCCCUAGUUAAUCUUGAGGCUCAUGUAUGAGAUGGCAGGUGGUGGGAAGUUUAGUCCCACCUUGCCAGUUGAGGAGAGUUGAGACCCCUUUAUAAGGGCUGCUCUACCACUUGCCAUUGGGAGCUUGGGAAGAGGAGUGGUACAUGCGCGCUCCUCCUCCUCCGCCGCCCGCCUCGCAACGCCUCGUCACGACGCGCGAUGCCGUGGGUUGCGGGUUGCGGGAAUGAGCCGAGCCAAAGCUUACUUUUGCCGCUCAGGAACUAAUUAAUUAAUCAGGGAUUAAUUAACGAGUCGCUAACAGGUGGGCCACUGUAUGUUGGACUGUGGGCUGACUUGCGUUGCCGGGAUUCGUCGACUCCCUUGUCGGGAGUGCGACCCUUGCUAGGAACGACGACUCCCUUGCCGGGAGUGGGUCGACUCGGUCGUGGGCCUCCGCCAGGCCCACGACUUUCUCCCGAACAGACUAUAUAAGAAGGCUCUGCCCAGUGGAGUCACCUAGUUCGGUUUACUCUCUCCCUCUCGCGUAACCUAGCCGUCAUCUACUGUUCCUCACUCUGUGUUGUCUCCGGCGACCCCAUCCCGACGACCGCGUGCAUGGCUGAUCGGGAGAGCAGGUGCCUCCGGAACCCUGUCAUUCGAGAUCCUGCCCGGGAGAACGGCAAUAAGGUUUUUGGGGAGCGUCUCGACGCGACUGCUCCCGAUUCGUCCCCAACUCCGUCCGCCUCUGCUUCCACUACUUCCCCUGCAUCGACACCAUGGCCGCCGCCAAGAAGAAGGCCACGGACGACGCCGAGGCUGCUGCUGCCACCGCCGCGUUGGCCUGGCCAACCGGAGGGUAUGGUAUGUUCAUCCCUCGUUUACUCGUACUUGUACUAGCCGUAUAUGUGCUGCUCAUAGAUGGUUCAUUUCUAUGUUCUGUACGUGCCAGUAUGCUUUGGUAUAGCUAUGAGAUGCAUACCUUUUAUGCCAUGCUUAUUGUUUACUCGUGGAUUAGUCUAAUCGGAAAAAUGCUAAUAUUUCCAACAUGUAUGUAUACUAUAGUGAUAAAUAGAAGCAACACCUUCAGACUUUCACCAAGCCUAUGUCGUCGUUAACCAACCCACACUUCCCCUGCUUGUAUUGCCCUCCGCGUUCUCUAGCAGCACACCCAAAACCCUCAUGUUACUGUCCCCGGCCCCUGCCACAAUGUUCACGUUGAACGCCAUGAUGAAACCGACAACCACCUAUCUGGCUACAUAGAAAUCAUGAGCGCACACAGUGGUCCCUUCACCACAUUUUCCGUUGUACACUUCACAAAUCCCUACAAGACAUAUCCCAUUUGCAUCUUUAGCAUCUUCACUAAUCUUGAUGAUGAGCAUCAGCUAAUCUUGAUGAUGAGCAUCAUCAUCAAGAUUAGCUGAUGCUCAUCGUCAAGAUUAGUGAAGAUGCUAAAGAUGCAAAGGGGUUUUAUGCAAAAGAACAUGCACACCGCGCGCCACGUCAGCAACUGACAAGCGGGCCCUGCCCGUUAGUUUCGGUGUCAAAAUGUGUUUAAACACGGAUCACCUUGAUUUGUUGCAGCAUGCCUUAGACUAGGUACUGAUAUGCAAAAAACGUGAAGUGGUACCAAUUUUUUACCCGAGCCUCAAUUAUGGUACUUCCUUCGAUCCAUGUAUCUCAAUGUUAGAUAAGUCCGAUCUUAGGGAGUACCAAUCGUGCAAUUAACUAACUUAUAUAAGUUUGGAGUAAUCCCCCUGAAGAUGAAGUAGUUCUUUGUGAUCGAAAUUGCCUAGGAAAUAUGAAUAAUAAUGUCCAUGAGGAAAGGCAAAUGCAUCAAAUCUUUAAGGGAGCCAAGCUAAUCCUGAAUCUGAAUGUGCCUCUCGCCUGAGUACGGAAAUUCAUGUCGAAAUUGAACUUGUUCGCUGUGAAAUUUCUGGACAUGAACUGUGGCAAGCAGCACGACAUUUUUACUUUUUUCCAGUAAAAAAUAAUACAAUGAUCACACUCGUGCACUCUCGAUUUACUUUGCAGUACAAAAAUACUAAGCCGUCGUCGGCGUCGUCGUCUUGUCGCUCUCCUCCCUCGCGCGCAUUUCGUCGAGCAGAUGCCUCGCCGGCGGCGAGACCCUGGCCUCCCACUCGGCGAAGUCGGCCUCCACCUCCGCCGCCUCGGCCUCGAGCCCCAGCCGCUUCAUCCCCCGCGCCAUCACCCGGUACAUGUACUCGUCCACGUCGCAGCCUCCCCUCCUCACCGCCGCCUCGUACACCCGCCACGCCGCGCGCGCCCUGCCCUUGGCCACCAGCGCGCGCACCAGCCUCGUGAGCCUGUACACGUCCACCCCCACCCACGGCCCCUCCGACUCCGAGAGCCGCCCGCCGCGCCCCUCCUCCUUCUCCUCGAGGAACGCCUCCACGAGCGCGUCCACGGCGCCGGCGGCGGCCUCGGAGGGCGGCGAGGAGGAGACGAACGUGGCGUAGAGCUCCGGGUCGGGCCGGUACCAGGGCUCGGCGCGCGCCACGUGGAGCGCGGCGAGGGCGAGGGACCAGUGGCCCUGGCGCUGGAGCUCGGCCAUGGCGGCGAGGAGAUCGGCCCGGAGGAGGCGGCCGAGGGACGCGGAGGCCGCGCCGCGGGCGGCCGACGGGGAGCGGUCGGCGGCGGUGAGGCGCUUGAGGGACUGCACGGCGUGGAUGGCCUCGGUGGAGAGGGAGCGGCCGCGCUGGAGCGGGCCGCGGUUGUCGCGCGGGCCGCAGGUGAUGGCCCCGGCCCUGGGCCUGGCCGCGGCGCGCGGGGAGGCCGUGGGGGUCGUGUGCGGCAGGAAGAGGAGAGACGCCAUGGGAGGCGAGGGUGGGAGCUGAGCGGGGGAGAGUGGUCGUUUGGAGGCUGGGAGCACGAGGAGGAAGAAAGGGGAUGAUGCGUUUCGCUGCGGACUUUUACGGGUGGCUUGGGAACCGUCUGAUCCCUCGAAACUCUAGAUCCUUUCAUCCUAUCUGUACCGAAUUUUCUAAACGAAGAAGGAUGGAUAAUUGGCUAGUGUACAGAACAUCCCAAAAUGCAUCUUGCGGGCUGCGGCCUAUUGUUCCGAAGGAGCUCAAAGCUUCCUGUGGAAAUCAAACUAUGGGCCUACUUCUUAUGAAGUGAAUCUGCAUCAUAUAUGCCGCUGCCGACGACUUCUUUUUUGGUGUUGUUUGCAUGCUUUGAGACAUUAUCGAAGAUAUGCUAUGCACCUUACCUUGGAUCUGGAUAUUUUGAUUGAACUCGACUGGCUUUGAGAUGGCUAACAUGUGGGCUAACACAUGUUAGCCAUCCCAAAAUCAGAUAUUUUAAAUUGUAAAAUAUGCAUCCUUCUACCCUUAGGCAUCGUUUGCCAAGGCCAACUCAGACUAUGGGUUGUUUUUGUUGUGUCUUAGUUGGUUGUGUGAUGCUCCACUAGACUGAGAGGUGUUCCGCCGCUAAAGCUUUAUAAGGUUAUCCUUUGAUGAACUUUAAUGAACUACGUUAAUGGGUUUGAUCUAGUUUCCUCGUCAAUUCGGCCAGUCCUUUUUAAGAAUCAACAUGAGCUCCUCUCGACCCUUUCAUAGGCUAAAGUGACUGACUCUAAUCGAAGCAAUAGACAAAGAAAGGGAAUGACAUACCAAAAAAUAUGAACGCCCUUUAGAACCGNNNNNNNNNNNNNNNNNNNNNNNNNNNNNNNNNNNNNNNNNNNNNNNNNNNNNNNNNNNNNNNNNNNNNNNNNNNNNNNNNNNNNNNNNNNNNNNNNNNNNNNNNNNNNNNNNNNNNNNNNNNNNNNNNNNNNNNNNNNNNNNNNNNNNNNNNNNNNNNNNNNNNNNNNNNNNNNNNNNNNNNNNNNNNNNNNNNNNNNNNNNNNNNNNNNNNNNNNNNNNNNNNNNNNNNNNNNNNNNNNNNNNNNNNNNNNNNNNNNNNNNNNNNNNNNNNNNNNNNNNNNNNNNNNNNNNNNNNNNNNNGAUGUGAAUAUAAUAGAUUAUGAUUUACAGGCACUAUGAUGGGAGGGCAUGUAUGGCCAUACUUCAACAAUUAAUAUAAAGGUCUUAGGCAUGGGGACUUCUUAACACUCUUCUCUUUGACCUAGUAGUCGAUGCCCUAGCCCUAAUCAUGGAAAUGGCUAAGCAACAUGGGAUGGUGAAAGGGUGUUAGAAGAGACAAUUGAGCAGGGUGUCUAUAUGAUACAAUAUGUUGAUGACACCAUUUUUAUAAUGCGUGAUGAUAGAGUGCAAAUAAACUAAAAUUCAUUUUGGGUGCUUUGGAGAAAAUGUCAAGGCCGACCAUUAACUUUCAUAAGAGUGAGCUAUUCCUUUUUGGGAAAGCAACGAGCAAGUCUGAUUUUAUCAAGAAAUAUUUACUUGUCAACUUGGUGUGAUGUUUUUGAAAUAUCUAUUCUAGUGAUUCCCAUUUCUAAUGAUAGAAUCUGAACAAACGUGGGAAAAGAAUGUAAAGAAAAUCUUGCUACCAAGGCAAGUUGUUGAACAUUGUUGGUAGGCUAAUCCUUGUUCAAGCAUGCCUAAUUAGUAUCACCUUCUGCAUGAUGUCUGUUUAUCCCAUGCAUGUUGGAGUCUAGAAGAGGAGUAACUUUUUUACGGUUAGAUUUGCUUGUUAAGGGGAUGAGGUCAAAAAUAAAUACCACCUGGUACAUUAGGGCAACAUUUGUCAGCUAGAAGAACAAGGGGUUUUGGGUGUUCUUAAUAUGGAUAUCAUGAAUAGAGCCCUUGUAGCUAAGUGGUUUUGGAGAUUAGACAAUGAACAAGGAUUGUGGCAUCUGUCAUCCCCAAUAAGUAUGUUAAGAAUGCAUGGUUGUCUUGGUGCCAAAUGUAGACUUGGGGACUCCCAUUUUGUUCUCGUCUUAUGGUUGUGAAGAACAUUUUCUACCAACACUACAAAAAUAACUAGUCGGGAAUGCGGGCAAUACCAGGUUUUCGGAGGACUGGUGGAUAGAUCCUUGCCCUCUGAAACUAAGCUACCCUAGUUUGCAUUACAUGUACUUUGAUAACAAUAUUUCAAUAGACGAUGACUUCUCUAUAGGUUUUGAUAAUAUGAAGUUGAGAAAAACUUUGUGGGGAGGAUUCUUUGGAGCUCUGAAAUAACAUUAAAGAUCUUUGUGAUGAUGUUCUUUUGGAUAAAAAGGUUACUAUGAGAUGGAUGCUCAAUGUUGAUGGUGUAUUUAUCAUUAGAUCUUUAUACCAAAAAAAUUCAUUUCAAACUCUAUGGCUUGCCAGAAAUUUCUUGUGGCAGGUAAAGUUUUCAUCUAAAAUGAGGUUUUCCGCUGGCUAAUAAAAAGGGCAGCCCAAUGCAAGUAGCCCCCACUUGCGUAAGGUCCGGAGAAGGGUCCGACCACUUCGUCUAAUGUUUAAGACAAUAUUUUGAUCAGGAAUAACCAAUUCAUAACGAUGGCAAGGGGUAAAAUCUAUGUAUUUUGUGGACACAAUGAAAGACUUGAGCAUAUGCUUUUCACAUGUUAUAUGUUGCUAGGCUAGUGUGGAGUCUCCUCAAAUGUGCAUUCAAUUUGAUAUCCAUCCCUAGCAAUUUACAUGAUUUGUUUCACACUUGGUUGAAAUUAUUUAGUAAGAAUGAUAAGUUCAUGCAUAGUGUGUUGUAGGGCAAAGCCCCAAUUGUGCCCAAUCUUCACAAUUUGGAGAUGAAAAAGAGAAGAAACACAAGAACUGAAGGGGACGCAUGGGGUAAACUACUCAAAGAACAAGAUCCACAUCACACAUGUGCUCUCCAAGCAAGAUACACAUAGAUCCACAGUCAAAAAGGAGGUAAGUAGAUGGUUAUUCUCAAACCCUAAGGUGAGCUGAGGUCUUGAGAGAUAGAUCUUCCCCAAAUCUCUAGGAAAGAUGGAGGCCUUGGUAAUCCCUUGGAUUAUUCUCCACUUGGAGGUCUUGAUCUCCAGUGGAGAGGGUUGAUGAGCAAAGCUCUCUCAAGAUGUCUAAUUAUGCUUUGCUUAACCCUAGAGAGGAAGUAGUGGAGAGGUUAUAGUCUAGAGAAAAAUAGGGAGGGAGGGGAGGAUACAAAGCCACUUGGCCCAAAGUGCAUGUAGGUAGGGCCCGAACGCUUGGUUCAUGGCCAUAAGUCCAAGCUCAAGCUGGACUGUCACGAUUCCAAGCCAAACAUCAAGUGGAUGAAGCCCGGUUGAGUCAGAGCUUUCAUGUGGUGCGCUCCAGGGGUCAGGCGUCUGGGUAGCAGUCUGGACACCGGGGUUAACGACAAAGCUUCUGUAACCAUGCACCCUUCAUUCUUACUUCCUUGUCUUCUUGCUCCUCUUCUGCCAUGACUUGACAUCGUUCCCCUGCUUCUUGAUAGUUAAUUCCUUGUUACCUGGAUGAUUGCAUAUGGUCACCAUUUGAGAUAGUAGUCAUGUCUCAUAUGAAUGUAGAGGUAGUUCAAGGAGGAGCGAGUUCACCUUGGUUUUUAUUGCACAUGCACGUUCUCUCCUCAUCGGUCAACUUGGUGUGUUGGUGUAGGCCCCUUGGUGAUGUCCAUGGGGGUGCUCCGCACCAUAGUGGGUAUGGUCUCUCUGUUAUGGACAAUAUGGGUAUAUAGAAACAUUGUGUGCUUUGAGGAAGAAAACAUCAGGACCUUUUUGUGUUGCUUUCAUUUGAUUUGUCAUUCGUUGACCUCCUGGACAAUAUGGCUAGAAGAUCGCUUCGACGAAGGCUUGUUAUUUUGUAUUUGUUUUCCUACCACAUGCAUGUCCCCGAUGACUAUUUUUGGUCAUUAUAAUGAAGUCAUUGUCUAUUUAUUUUAAUACGUUUAUGUUCAAUUGUGGGGUGUUUGUAGGUCUAUAUCCUGCGAGGUGGAGUAUUCAAGCCUUCAUUAUCCCCAUGUGGCUCCUAUUUUUUUUUACUUUUGUAAUGUAUGAACCAUACGGUUUCUCUCAACAAAAAUCGAAGAUGGGUGCCUCCUUUUCGCUAGAAAAAAGCCAGAUAAAAAUACUCAAGAUUUAUUCACACAAGUCAUAAAUCCAUUCUAAGAAAAUGAAAUUAAGGACUUGCUUCAUCGACUAGUCUGUACUUUUCACUGGCUAUUGUAAAUAACUAUUUAGAAACUUUUAAAAGUAAAUGAUUGUUUAAUUAAUCAACAAAGCUCCCUUUUCUUCUCUUUUGGGCAAAUGCUCUUGCAGCUUAUCUUUCGCCUCUCCUCCAAGUGAGCAGGCGGCUAGGGCUUCUGUCUCCCGUCGGCGCCGCCUGUUUUUCUAUAGCCUUAGUGCCAUGGUGGUGAGGUGGAUCCUGGCAGUAGGAGGGCUCCGUUUUUACAUGUCCUUGCAUAACCUCUAUUCUAGUGGUGCAUCUAGCAUCGUUGGAGGGCGUGUGGACGUGUACAUCCGGUGGAUCUCGUAAGAUUCAAUCGAUGGUUAUCUUUAAUGGACCCGAUCUUUUUUCAUCUAUGUUAGUGUGUCUUCAAGUUGAAUCCUUCUGAUCUAUACUUUUCUUCAUCGGCGGCGGUUGUUAUUCUGUUGUGUUAGUCCUACAGGGCCUUAGCACGAUGACUUUUCGGCUGUCUACUAUAAUAAGUUUUGCCUGACUUGAGGGAUGGGUGAUGACGGUGGUGUGACUUUAACUUGUUUCAGUGCUUGCAGCUGUCUUCAGGUUGUCUACAGAUGGAUAUGAAUGUAAUUUUAAUAUUUUUACUGUUUGUUGUACUGUCAUGAUUGAUGCGGAAUAGAUAUGAAUUUUUUCAGAAAAAAAACUCUAUUGUUGGUGGAAAAAAAUAAAUUCAGGUGGCCCAUGGACAAUGAUGAGCUGACGAAUGACGAUGCAGUUGUCUACGCCACACGAUCCAAACAGGAAAUGUCCAAUUAAACCAAACCACCACUCCACGCCUUGCACGCCUUCCCCCACGCCUCUCACGAGUCGCCAUCGGCUCACUCCUCGCAGCACACAGUCCUGGUCCCCGUUGAGCCACCGCGAGCGCCAAUGGCGGCGGCCGUGCUGCUGGCCGCCAUCCUGGCGCUGUCCCCGCUCCCCCUCUCCCUCGCGUCCCCCUCUGCGGCGGCGGCGGCCGACCGCAUCACGCGCCUGCCGGGCCAGCCGCCGGUCAACUUCUCCAUGUACUCGGGCUACGUCACCGUCGACGCCGCCGCGGGCCGCGCCCUCUUCUACUGGCUCAUCGAGGCCGCCGUCGCGAAGCCCGAGUCCGCCCCGCUCGUGCUCUGGCUCAACGGCGGGCCCGGCUGCUCCUCCGUCGGCUACGGCGCCUCCGAGGAGCUCGGCGCCUUCCGGAUCAACGCCGACGGCAGGACGCUCUCCAUCAACCCCUACUCCUGGAACAAAAGUAUAUUCCUCUCUCCUUUCACCGUUCGAUCGCCCCGUCCGAUCGGCAAAUGUGUUGCGCUCUGACACGGGGUGGAUCGGUUCGUUGUGUCGCAGUGGCGAACGUGUUGUUCCUGGACGCCCCCGCCGGCGUCGGGUACUCCUACUCCAACUCCAGCUCCGAUCUGCUCGCCCCCGGCGACAACAAGACAGGUGAGUUGAGAUCAGACUACCUACUUGCCUCAUGCUAGCGCUGCACUAGCUCUAGUGGAUAUGUGUUGUGCUGAAUGAACACCAAUGCUGCUGUGCAGCUCAUGAUUCGUACACUUUCCUGGUGAAUUGGCUGGAGAGGUUUCCGCAGUACAAGUACCGUGAUUUCUACAUCGCUGGAGAGAGCUAUGGAGGUAAACUGCAACCAAAAUUGGUUCAUUCUAGCAUGGAGGCUCAGUUCUGAAUUCAGCAGGAAUCAUAUGUAUAUGGUUUAUGUGCCACAGUGCCUGCAUAGUUUACUCUUGCUGCCAUGGCUGCUUUUCAGGGCACUAUGUCCCUCAGUUGUCUCAGCUAGUGUACAGGAACAACAAGGGAGUGAGGAAGCCCAUCCUGAACUUCAAAGGCUUCAUGGUCAGAACUUCUUGAGCUCUUCUUUUGGUGCUCUCUUAAACUGUCUGGUCAUCUUGUUCUUACAUAUGGUCUGAUAUCUAGGUCGGAAAUGCGGUUAUUGACGAUUACCAUGAUUUCGUUGGAACAUUCGAGUAUUGGUGGACGCACGGGCUGAUCUCUGAUGACACCUAUCAGAAGCUGCAGUUGGCUUGUGAAUUCGAUUCAUCUGAGCACGCUUCCGAUGCAUGCAACAAAAUUUAUGAUGUUGCUGAAGCUGAGGAAGGCCCGAUCGACGCAUACAGCAUCUACACACCUACCUGUAAGAAGACCUCGCUUCAUAGGCGAAGGCAAAUCAAGGGCCGCAGGGUGAGCUUAUCUAUUACUGAAACUAUAGUUCUGCUGAUAACUAAGCUAGUACUGUAGCAGAAUGGUAUGUUGGUACAUUUGAUUACUAAUAAGUACUAUGCAGCUGUUUAAAGUACUGUUUAGACUCAUCUCCGAUUCCUAUAGAACAUAAUAACAUUUCAUAUUGUGCCUCCUAACAAUAUUUUUUGUUUAAAAUGUAGCCCUGGUUGCCAAGAGGAUAUGACCCCUGCACUGAACAGUACUCCACGAAGUACUAUAAUCUACCAGAAGUGCAGAAAGCUUUUCGUGCCAAUGUCACUGGAAUACCGUAUGCCUGGACCGGCUGCAGGUCUGUUCAACUGGUUUCAUCUUGUUUUACUCACAACUAGUUCACCGUGCCUGACCAUAAAGCCUGCUUGUUAAUGAAAGUUUGCACUAAACUUAUCCAUAUUUCACAGUGAUGUCUUGUUUGAAUAUUGGAAAGAUUCGCCGAGGUCCAUGCUUCCUAUUUACCGUGAACUGAUUGCAGCUGGUAUAAGAAUAUGGGUCUUCAGGUACACCAAAUUUAUAUUGAAAACAUGAUUUAUGCUGGAUCAUAAAUCCUUAACAAUGGUGCCAAUGUUGAUAUAUAUGAUCAUCAUUGACUGUAUGGCUCACUGUAUUAAGUAGCCCGCCUGUCCUUCUGAGGUGUUAAUUGUUUAAAUUGGAAAUUUGACAGUGGUGAUGCCGAUUCCGUAGUACCGCUCACUGGUACAAGAUACUCCAUUGAUGCACUAUAUCUUCCGACUGUCACUAAUUGGUAUCCGUGGUAUGAUGAGGAAGAGGUUAGUCAGAAACAGUACUAAAGCAACACCGCCAGUUUUAUUCCCCUGUUCACUUUGCUACAUCUAUGCUCACCAUUCUCUAAUGGUGUGGAUCUUGCUUAGGUUGCUGGUUGGUGCCAAGUGUACAAAGGUUUGACGUUGGUGACAAUCCGAGGUGCAGGACAUGAGGUUCCCCUCCAUCGUCCACGGCAAGCCUUGAAGCUUUUUGAGCAUUUCUUGCAAGAUAAGCCCAUGCCUCGGCCUGUACCUAGCAUUCAGUCAUUUUAGAGUUUUCUUCCACUUAAAAUGGAAGAUCAGUGCAUGAAGCCAUGCUGUACAAUUUCAAGUUCGGUUCCCACAUUUUCAGUUGAACAGAUUUUCUCUGUUCAUUUGAUAUUGGUUGAGAAAUCGGAACAGAAUCCCAUUAAAUUGGGACAAUUAGAGCUUUGUUUUCAGUUUCAUGAGCUCUGAGGUCACAAUGUAAUUUGAAUCAUACUUGCUUAUUUGACACAAUAAAAUGUGACCAUGCUACUGUUAUCUGUUAAGCAACUGUACCACCCUUGAUCAUGUUGCAAGCUUGAAUUCUCCUUGACCCUGUUGCUGGCAUGAUCCGACCAAUCAGACAAACAUGUCAAGGAACGUGUUAAGCUUGUAAUGUGUUAACCUAGCUGAGUGGUGAUUUAUAAGCUUUGUGCCUUCUCUAAGUCAGUCCUCUGUAGCGACUUGUAUUUAGAUAAAUAUUUGAGUAAUUUUGGGUCAGCUUGGCAUAUGUUACAGAAAGAACAGAAGUUAGUGCAGCACUAAAUAAAUGACAGUCUUUUCGUAGUCAGACAACCAAUACUCAGUGGUUUAUAUCAAGCAAGGAAACAUACUCAGUGAUGAGGAUCCCCCUCUUCCACUGCCCACCAUCAUACUCAAACCUGGAGAUCUCAGCCUCUCCCAUUCUGCCUCGUGUGGAUUAACCUCCCCAGCCUUGAGCUGCAGCCACUUCCCCUGGGCUUCUCAUGCAGGUUCUCCUUGUGCUGCUGGAUUGUGCCGUCGGCGUCGGGGAACUUGAGCCGGAGUUUAUGCCGGGUCGUUGGGCAUCACCUUGAAGAAAAGCUCAUAGGUUCCUCCUGGUGUGAGAUGGGACAACUCCAGCUUCCCUUGGACCUCGAGCCAGUUUUGCAGCACUACCGUCUUGAUUUCGGCUUCGGGGUUGCUGAUGGUACCAUCAUCAGGUUCAGAACGGCACGGUUAGUACAUAUAAUUCCUGAGGAAGAUGGUUGAACAACUGAAAAUAGUUAUGUUGUUACUGUUAAGUCUUAACUACCGUUCUUCUUUCAAUACUUGCCAAGUCCAGCAUUUGGGGUCUUCGCUCCAUGUGAUGGAUCUGUUUUAAGGCUGUAACCGAAGGAUCACAGCAGCUGUACAACCGUGAAGUGUAAUACCAUCAUCCCCUGUGCAUUAUUCUCUUCUCCUUCCGCCGUGCCAUAUAUCUACCAGGAGGAGAAGUCUUCCUCUCCGUUUCGUGUCCGUCCAUGAAUCCGGUCCUGACUAGAACCUGACUUUCCUUGUCCCUCUGAAUAAAUACUCAAUGGUCCUUCCUUGGAGGACGAUCGUCAAGGCCUGUGCGAGAUCCAGAUCCACCAUGUCGCUCAAAGGCUAUGACGAGGCCUCACUACGUCCGCCGGCGGCAGAUGAUGAUGCGGCGGCGAGCGACUCUGACUGGGACUGGGGGGAGGUCCUCCUGGACAGGGCCGCCUACAUGGCCGACAAGGAGAACCACACCACCGCCGACUGCCAGUUCACCCGGGACCUGGACGGCAAGCAGAUCAAUCUGCGGGUCACCCUUUGCCUCGCCCAGCCGCCCCGCGUCUCCCACUUCUGCUGCCUCGCCCACUGCCCCGCCGAUCACGGCAAAGAGGAAGAAGAAGAAGACACCCCCCGCUUGUUCGUCGGCGAGCCAUGGAUGAUCGCCACGGACGGCGAGCUCGCCCUCUUCACUCUCUGCCACGGAGACGACCGUUGCUCCCGCAUCCGCAUAGGCAACCACGACUACUUCGUCUACUACUCGGCACCCUCGCCGUCGGGGAAGCCGCGGCUCACCCGGCUCCCGCAGCUCAGCGACGGCAUGCUGCCAACCAUGGGAACUCUCUGCUUCUGCGCCAGUGAUAUUGGCAUCAUGCGUUACUGCCGCAGCAACAACGAGGAUGAUGCUGAUGCCUACAGGAUCGCGACGCUCGCCUACGACUACUUCUGCCCGGACCAUUCCGGAUACUACCUGUGCACCUACGACUCCGAGGCCAGUUUCUGGAGCCGCAGGCCGGCUGCUUCUCCGCAGCCGCCGCCGCCGGACGACUACAGCUGCGACAUGGUCAUCGCCAUUGAUGGUGUCAUGGGUUGGGUCGACCUGUGGAGGGGCAUGCUCCUCUGCGACGUGCUCGCCGACGACACCCCCUGCACCCCGCUUUGCUAUCUCCCCCUUCCCAAGCCAAGACAGCCGCGGAACCAUCUCCCUCUGGGCACCGACAUGGCGUACCAUUUCCGGGACAUCGUCUCAGUGAAAGACUCCGGCAUCAUCAGGUUCGUCGACCUUCAGGUCCACGCCGAGCCCGGCCGGCGCUCGCAAACCCCUAGUGGCUGGACGGUGGUCACAUGGACCUUGGAGGGGCUCGAUGGGGGCCUGGGAUUGGAUGACCUGCGUUUCAAGGAGGAGUACCAGCUCAGCUCUCGUGAAAUCUCCAACUAUCGCUUGCCCCAGUCUCUCUUUGUUUGCAAGCCCAUCCUCAGCUCCCACGAAGACGGCGUCCUGUACCUCCUGACCAAUGCCAGCAGCCAGGACGUCGAAGGUGAUUGCUGUUGACAUCAAGAAGAAUGAGCUGCUGAGGGUGGCGGAUUUCGACAUGCAGAGACCCAACGUCUACAUGCGCACCACCAUCUCCAGCCAUCUCAAGCCCCCCUACCAUUGCCUCCCAGGUGAUGAUAAUAAAACUGUUGCAGGCUUGAAUUCUCCCUGACCUUAUUGCUGACAUGAUCCAAUCAACAAACAUGAUCCAUUGCCUUUCCCAUGCUUGUUAACCUAGUUGUGGUGAUUUCUAAGCUUUGUGCCUUCUCUAAGUUGUCCUCUGUAGCAACUCGUAUUCAGAUAAAUAAAUGUUCGAGUAAUUUUUGGUAAGCUUGACAUAUGUUACAGAAAAACAAAUAUUAGUGUAGCAUUGAAUACAUGAUACUCCCCUCCGUUCUUUUUUAUAAGACGUUUCAGACAGCGACGUUGAACUGUUUUGGGCGCUGUCUGAAAUAUUUACAACGUCUUAUGAAAGUGAACAUUGGAAGUAGUAUUAUUUUAGUCAGAUAGCUAGUACUCAGAGGUUUAUAGUAACCAAGGAAAGUGAUAUAAGAAUCUUUCUAGUGCAACUUUUUCUUCAAGACAUAACAUUCAUUUAGAACUUUUGAUAUUUUGUAACAGUGAAAAUAUUAUUCCCAUGCAUCAAACUGAUCUUAUCAUAGUCAACAAACAACAGCAAAUGAUGGUUGGUAACAAAACAAAACCAUAUCCUUCAUUCUUUUGGGAUGAUCUUGAUGCCCUUGAUGAGGAGCCCCCUCUUCCACUGCCCACCAUCAUACUCAAACAUGGAGAUCUCUGCCUCUCCAUUCUGCCCCUUGUGCGGCUUAACCUCCCCAACCUUGACCUGCAGCCACUUCCCCCUGGGCUUCUCCUCCAGGUUCUCCUUGUGCUGCUGGAUCGUACCGUCGGGGAACUUGAGCCGGAGGUUCACCGGCGUCGACCAUCCGUAGGCUGGGUCAUUGAGCUUCACCUCGAAGAAGACCUCGUAGGUGACUCCUGGUGUGAGAAGGGACAGCUCCAGCUUCCCUUGGACCUCCAGCCAGCAGACGUUCUGCAGCGCCACCGUCUCGAUUCCGGCUUCGGCCUCGCUGAUUUGAACAUUUCAGGUUCAGAACAUCAGGUUAAGUAUGUAUAUAUACACAUUUUUUAGGGAUAAGUAUAUUUUUCAUCCCUCAACUCUUUCGGAAGUAUAGAAAUGGUCCCUCAACUCAAAAACCAACAAACUUUAGUCCCCCAACUUUCAAAACCGGAUAAAUUUAGUCCCUCAUACCGCUUUUGGAUUUUUUUUUGCUGACGUGGAGUGGUUUUUGAUUGAAACUGAAUGGGACCAACCUGUCAGUGACCGAAACUGGAACUAAGAAAAAAAUAGAAUGGCACGCAAAAGAACUCUUCUGGUGCGGUGUGACUCGAAUCGAACCGAUGAUCUACGACAGCGAAUAUACAGAUUUACUUUAUAUAUUAUUUAUGGAAACGCACCCGGCAUGAUAACAGCUAUAUUUUUAUAUAUUGUUAUAAUCUAACACCGAAUCUCCUGCUGGGUACGCAGAUGAGUUAGCUAUAUGAGUCCUGAAAAGAAUUACUAACAUAUAUGUAGAGAACUGAAACUGCAAAAAAAAGAAAAAUCGCUUUUAAAUGAAUUAAUAUCAACAUUAUUGUGAACAUGUUUACCAAAUACCAUGUUGGUGUAGUGGUUAGCUAGUGCAUUAUCUUGCUUAUGGUCUCAGGUUCGAAACUUGUGUAUGCAAUUUAUUUUUAUAAUAAGCUAUUAUUCUUUCUUCUUGACACUGACAAGUGGGCCCUGCACAUUUGCACGCUGACGUGGCAGCCUAGCCUGUAUGAUGUAUCUUGUUUUAGUCAAAACCACUUCAUGUCAGAAAAAAUCACGUGAAAGCGGUAUGAGGGACUAAAUUUAUCCGGUUUUGAAAGUUGAGGGACUAAGUUUUGAUGGUUUCGGAGUUGAAGGAUCAUUUGUAUACUUUCGAAAGAGUUGAGGGAUGUAAAACAUACUUAUCCCCAUUUUUUAUGAUUAUUAACUAACCUUCCUUCUUUCAGGGGGUGCCAAGUCCAGUAUUUGGGGUCUUCGCUCCAGGUGAUGUGCAGGCCUCUGGGGAACAGCAUGAAGCAGUUGUGCCUGGUCCUCUCAUCUACCCAGUACUUCUGCACCAUCGCAAAAAGUUUGAAGCGUGUUCAGAAAGCAAAAUCUUAUGAUAUUGUACACCAUAUAUCAGUUCAAUGUUGAGAAGAAGUAUACCUUUGUUUUCCCGGCCAAGAAGAUCCCGGUGGAGACCUGAUCUUCCAGCGCGGCUACGUCGGCGACAUUCUCCCCGGCGACGAUCUCCCGGAGCAUGUGAGGAGCCGGCGCCCUCUUGGACUGGGCCUGGUUGGCGGUGUCGGAAGUAGUAGAAGCGCUGAGCGCCGCCGGCAUGACACGGCCAUCGCCGGUGGGCGACGAGGCGGUGGACGCCUCCUGUCUCGACGGCGCCGCCCCCAUGGUUCGUCUGAAGUCUGAACUUCUCGUUGGGUGCAAGCAACAGUUCAAGCAGGUCGUGGCGUAUAUAUAGCUGCAGGUUGGCUAGAAGCCUAGAAGCAUUACGGUUUCGUCGUGGUAAAGGAGUGAAGACGGAAUUUGAUGACCUUUUCGCGCCUACGGUCGUGCGUCGGUCGGCAUGCGAGAGCUGUCCCAAGAUGAUAAUGUUGGCUAGGAAGAAGGCAUCGGGAUAACAUUAACAGCGGCCGAGAAAAUGCGGCGGAGAACAUCAGAUUCGGUAAACUCUGCCUUUUCCUCCCGCUCUGAGCUGAGCUCGGCAUCUGAUUCCAUGAUCCAGGGGAUGAAGCUUGUGCCACGCACGGAAGAAUCCGCCUUCUUUUUCGCAGCAUGCUGCUGUAGCAUUGAUGCUUCGGUCGAUGGUAUUGUCGCGACACACGGAGCGACGCGUCGUCAUGGCGGAUAGAACCAACUAUGUCCUGAUUGAAGUGUGAUUGGAGUUGCUCCGAGGACGCAAACCUGUACCCAUUUCUCUUUCAGUGUAGGCAGAAACUUCACGGAUGCGCUUGGUACCUUUUUAUUUUGUGGUUAAUGGGUGCCAUAUGGUUCUUGCGAUGAACCAGUCGACAAAAACGGACUUAGGUUUGCUUUUUGUUCGUUUGGGCGGCGCCCAAUCAGCCGACACAUUUCAUCCACGUGGCCUGUAUGCGGUCAUAUUAUAUGCUUCUCUGUAAAAUAAUAUAAGAGGGUUUUUAGUGAUCUAAACGCUUUUAUAUUAGUUUACAAUUCUAAGCAUUACCUAAAUUUUAAAUCACAUAGUUUUAUACAUCACAAUAUUAAUGGUUUAUAAUCAAAUGAAAAGGAAAAGGAUUGUGUUCAACCGAUGGAUCGGUGUAUUCCGUCUGCCUCCUUCUACUCGGGCCACGUGUCCUCUAAGCCCCACGCCCUACCUUAUCUCCAGAAAGGUCAACAUCAUCACACCUUAUCUUCUCGCUCUAUUGGUUUGUCUCCAUCCCUGGAUCUCGAGCGCCUGCCAUGCUUGUGCCGCCGUCCCACCAGUGAGAAGCCACGCCCCGCCUCCUCUUCUUUUUCAUCUCCUCCUCUUCCUCUUUCCUCCCUCUCCCUCUACUCGAACCUCGCAGCCCCUCAGUCCCUCUCCAAAUCGCAUGGCCGUGGGUUACUGUGCUCGAGCUCUUACGGGGAGGUCACGCGUUGCGGUCUCUCACCGGCCGGCGAGCACUUCUUUCCGCCCCCUUUUUUUUGGAACGAAGACGCUAGAAGCGUCCGGCUUUAACUUAAUAAAGCCCAUAAGGCAGCAGGUUCAAACGAUUACAAACUUAGUAAGCUAAAGAAAGUAUCAACGGUCCACGACCGGCACGGUGAAGGACAUAAGGUUCAUCGCGGCGUCAAUAUUACAGCCAUCCAAACAGAUCAGCGCGACGACCAAGCUAACAGACUUGCCACAAAAGUCAUUCCAAAAACAUCUUCAGCUCGCCGGAUCCUGUCUUGCUUGCGCCUGAAUCGCCUUGAUGCGUGCCAUGGCUUCUGACAUGCGCUCAGCGUCGCACUCCUUCCUCAGAGGGGUCCACAUCUGCAAAAAUAGAUGGCAUUUAAAGAUCACGUCUGCAGGAUGGUGAGGAAUUUUUUUCUCUAUCGUAAUCUUGUUACGCGUCGUCCAAAUAGCCCAUAGCAGCGCCCCUACGCAGCGCCAAGCUAUUCUACUUGUAGUCCCUUUUGUGGACUUGAGGAUGGAAACAAGUUGGUGCCCCGAGGCAGGAUUCCAGUCCGUAUGGAAGGCCUCCCGAGCCGCACUCCACGCGAACCUGGCCAAAUGACAUCUAAAAAAUACAUGGUUCGCAUCUUCGCCUAGUCCGCAGAUCGAGCAAGUACCGUCAGCCAGACCAUUUCAUUUGGCCACAUUAUCUGACGUAGGCAGCCUAUUCCUAAGCAUUUGCCACAUGAAGAUUUUUAUCUUCAAAGGCAGGCCUGCCAUCCACAGCCCCUUAGCUAUAUCAAGCGCUGGCCCUUCUGUGAGCUUGUUAUACAGGGACUUAAUCGAAAAUUUUCACGAAGCAGUCAGGCUCCACUCUACCGUGUCAACCGUCGUCCCUAGACGGUUGACACCGAUCUGCUGUAUCAGCCCAUCCCAAGACGCACACUCUUCGUUCGAAAGGGGCCGCAUAAAGUGGAUCGCUGGAGGAUCGGUUCGGAUUGCCUCCCCAACUAAGACGUUAGUGUUAGUGGCUAUCCGAUAUAGGUUGGGGUGGCUUUGCCAAAGGGGGAAUGCACCCAGCCAAUGGUCGAGCCAAAACCGGGCUGAUUGGCCAUUGUUAAUCUGAAAUUUGGCCCCUAUGUCAAAAGUCGGUCGCACCGCUUGGAGCCCUCUCCAAAACACGGAGCCGUUGGCCGAGGCAGUGAAGGGGUUCCCGUUCGGGAAGUACUUGGCCCUUAACAGUCUCGCCCAGAGCCCCGACUCAUCUUGGGCCAACCGCCACCACCAUUUGGCAAGGAGGGCGACGUUCAUCAGUUUGGAAUUGAGUAUUCCCAAUCCACCAUAUUUUUUGGCCUACACACAACCGCCCAUUUGACUAGGUGGUAUUUCCUCUUGAUUCCAGUUCCUUCCCAAAAGAACCGGGCUCUCGGAGUGUCUAGCUUAGCGUGAACGCCGUUAGCUAGUAGGAACAUCCCCAUUGUGAAAAGGGGAAGAGAAGAGAGGCUCGAGUUCGUCAGAAUAAGCCUUGCGGCAGAGGACAUGAAUCUCCCGCGCCACGGCCUUACCCUGUUGGCCACUUUCCCGUACAGGGGCUCCCACUCAAAAAUCAAAAGUUUCCGGUGAGAUAUAGGAAGCCCAAGGUACUUAAUUGGAAAGCUCCCCAGCUUGCAAUUAAGUAGGUUUGCGACACGUGUGCUGUGCUGGUCUUCCACCCCCAUGGUAAUGACCUCACUCUUAAGAAAGUUAAUCUUGAGUCCGGAGAGGAGCUCAAAAGCUAAAAGCAAGAGCUUUAUCGUAGCAAUACUAUGGUCGUCCGGGUUAAACAGCAGCAGAGUGUCGUCUGCAUAUUGGAGGUGUGUCACACCACCUGGAAUGAGGUGUGGGACAAGCCCCUUGAUGUGUCCCGCCUCCCUGGCUUUGGACAGCAGGGCAGCCAAAGCAUCCGCCACAAAGUUAAAGACGAGAGGGGAAACAGGGUCGCCUUGCCUAAGGCCUUUCCUAUUACGAAAGAACUUACCCAUAUCUCCAUUGACAAUAACCGAGGUGUUGCCACUCGAGAUCAGAUGCAUGAUCCGGUGGACGAACCCCGCCUCAAAACCCUUUUUGAGGAGGACCUCCCGUACAAACUCCCAGUUUACACGAUCGUACGCUUUUUCGAAAUCUAGUUUGAGGAUGACACCCUGGCCCCGCGAUCGUUUCAACUCAUGGAUUAUCUCUGUAAGGGCAAUAGGCCCUUCCAGGAUGUUCCUGCCUUUAAGGAAAGCGGUCUGACUAGUGCUAAUGACACGUUGAGCGACCGACGCUAACCUAGAAGCAUAGGCCUUGGCACAAAUCUUGAAAGGAACAUUUAUGAGCGUGAUCGACCGGAACUGCUUAAUUGAUUCUGCCCCUUUAACCUUGGGGAUCAAGCAAAUAGCCCCAUAAUUGAGACGCGACAGGUCCACCGAACCAAGGGCGAAACCGUUGAGAAUCGCUAGAAACAAGUCCAUAAGCGUCGGCCAAAACCGCUUGAAGAACUCCACUGGCCAUCCAUCUGGUCCAGGAGCCGUGCCGUUCUUCAUACCAGCUAGCGCAUGAUCGAGCUCUUGGGGCGAAAAGGUCACCAUCAAGGCAUCGUUUUCCUGCUGCGAAACACGCUCGUGCAGACCCCAAAAGUCUUCCCUGAGACUUAAACUCUUUGCUUCGGCUGUUCCCAAUAGCUCGACGAAGAAAUCAAAGAUGUGCUUAACUAUUUCGUUUUGGGUGACCAGGGUCCCGCCCUCCGACUAGAGCCUAAGAAUCGUGCUCUUGCGCUUACGGCCAUUAGCGUAAGCGUGAAAGUAGCCCGUGUUGGUGUCGCCUUUCACGACCCACUUGACGCCGCCCCUGCGGCGCCAAUACUCCUCCUCCGCCCUGAGAAUAGCCAGGACUUGGUGCUCUAAGGAGUAUCUAUACUCCCAUUUGUCCCCUGAGAAGGCUCUCACGUCCGCCUGCGCGUCGAGGAGAGCGAUUUCAUCCACGAUGCGCUCCCUAAACCUUUUAGAUUCGCUGCCAUGAUUGGCCCCCAAACCCCUGAGGAAAGCCCAUAAGGCGGCAGCCGCAGAGGACCAGAACUCUACUGGUCCUCUUUGGCGGCCAACCUGGUUACUAAUCAAGGAUCAACGAUCCGUGACAAGUUGGCAGAAACCUUCAUGCUCGAACCACGCAGUCUCAAAAAAGAAUCUACGGCUACGACGUACAUUUUCCUCCCCUGAGGAUAGGAUCAGAGGUACGUGGUCUGAUCCAAUGCGCGUUUCAGCCACUAAGGUACAGAGGGGAAACAAGACCUCCCAGUCACUUGAACAAAAAACGCGGUCAAGUACACAUCGCACUGGCUUCCGCUGUUUGUUCGUCCAAGUGUAUCUUGCCCCUGUACGCGCAAUCUCCCUAAGAGCAGCUGCCGCGAUGGCAUUAUUGAACAAGGCCACCCUAGCCCAGUCAAUGUUGUCGUUGCUCUUAUCCGCCCCCGAGCGGAUCAAGUUAAAAUCGCCUCCCACCAGAACUGGUAAGUUGGACGCUUGUUUGGCCCCAACCAGAGCUGUGAGUUCUCCCAAGAACUCAGCAGACCUCGCAUGAUUAGCCGGCCCGUACACACUUACGAUCACCCAAGAUGCAAGGGAAACCCGGUGACGAACAGUGGCAGCGAUAUAAAACGAACCAGAUUCCCACAGAAUUACGUCGCAAGCGUCUUUAUUACAGUCCAUCAAUUGACCACCAGAAAGGCCCGCAGAAGGAGUCCAGAACCAAUCAAAACGCUGGAGCGGAUCGUACGCCAAAAGAUCUCUAAACGAAAAAUCGGCCUUAAUCGUAUCCUGGAGCGCGACAAAGUCGAUACGUUCUUUGGACAUAUACUCUCGUAAUUGCGUACGCCGCCCCACAUGCCCGCAACCGCGGAUAUUCCAAAAGAUGUAUCGCAUCAAAUGAUCCGGUUGCGCAGGCGAACUCCACGGGAGCUAACCGCCUUGGCCACACGCUUCCUAGCCGGCGCCCGGCUGGAGGAGGGCAAGUCCGAGGCCAUCCCGGCCUCGUAUCCCUCGAUGGGAAGAGCGACAGCACUAGCCCCUACUGGUGGUGAAGACUGGCCGUCCACGGGCUGAACUGCCACGUCCCUGGCAGCAGCAGCCGCAAGGGCGGCCUGAGCUUCUUCACGCGCGCGCACUAACGGAAUAAUGUCCAAAGUCGAAGAAUCUAGCGCAACACCACUAUCGUGAAGAAUCUCAGCAAGAUGCUCGUCGGAAAACGCAUUCAGAAUCUUAAAAGAAGGGGUAGGGUUACCUGCAACAUCCAUGUUUUUGUCAGCAGCACGGAGCUUGGCACUUUCCAGAGAAGUCAUGUCCCCAAGCUUGGCCUUGGCGCGUGCGCUUGGAGCCCGAGACGCCACCGGGGUUGCCCUUGCACGCUUGGCCUUGGCUGCUGGCCCAGAAGCCACCAAAGCCGCCCCCAACUCGCCCCCCAACGCCGCCGCCGACCCCGUUGCAGCCGUGUCCACCGUCUUGCACCCAGCCUUCCGCCCAGCAUUCUUCUUGGCCUGGCGGCCGGAGCCGCUCGACAGACGCCUGUCCGAGGCCGGAGUGGGGACCGAGUCCAUGAGGACGCAGUCCAACCCCGAGCCCCCUCCGCCCUCUGGAGAGGCAGGCAAGGCCUCGGUCUCCCUGGCCACCAGCGACAGAGGCACUGUCGCAAUCCCAAGCCCUUCGAAGGACGGGUCCAGAGAGCGAGCAAGGGGAGGAAGGCUUACGGCCGUGUCUUGAGUCACGAUCACCCCCAGUUUCUCCCAAGUCUCAGUAUCUAUCGAAGUAUCUUGGAAGCUAUCUUCAUGCUCGUCAGCCAGCUCGCCCAUCACCGCAUCCGUAUCAACCACCCUCACUCCGGAGCCAGCCGUCUCCUUCUGUGGCACCACCGUCGGAGCAAUGGGCACAAUCGCACCAGUGGCAGCCACCUUGGAAGAAUUGCCCGUGUGUGGCCCAGGCUUGUGAGGCCCGCCCUUGCCAUGCUGGCUGUCAGGCGGGGGAGCGAAGUGGCCCGCCCCCGGAGCCCCUCCCCCAACCCCCAGCCGUCGCGGCAGCUGCUCCAGCUCAACCCUGAUCUGGUACCCUUCAUGGUUGAACCACACCUCCACUGUGCCAUUCAGCUUGGCCGGAGUCUUGCAAGACAGUUUCAUCCUCACCAGACCCAAUUUAAUGAUGGAGAGCUCGUCGACCACGAUAGGCCGCCCCAACAUCUUGAAAGCCUCCUUGAUUCGCUCGAUCUUGCGAUGUUUCUCAGGGAUCCCAUGGAGCCGCACCCAUGCUUCUGGCAUCACCAUUGGUGGGAUCACCUCGUGCACCACAUCUCGCACCCUAGCGGUGAUGUCGUUAAUUGAGAGGAACAACUUGCCACUUGUCCGAGCCAUAUGAAGGAGAUCUGCCGAGGGGAAAACCACCAUGAAAUCGUCUUCUCCCACUUGAGUGACUUGCCAGUCCCAAUCCCCCGUGACCAUGUGCUUGAGCUCCUGCUUGAGGACCCGCAGGUUCAGGUGGCCCAGCUCUGCAGAGAGAAUCACAGCAUUGCCGACCGAGAGCUGCCGAGGACCGUCGGACUCCGCCUCCUCUUCGAACUGCAGACAGAAGAAGCCCUCCCCUGAAAUUGCACUUCCCAUGAUCUGUAGGCUUGGCUGCCGCCCCCUCGUCGGACAGUGCGCAGAUGCGUGUCCCUCUUCCUUGCAAAGCACACAUAGGGGCUGAAAUUUGCACUUAGACUGAUAGUGACCUAGCCUGCCGCACUUGAAGCACUCCACAUCCAUCGCCUCCGACGCGUCCUCCACCAGAAUGGGCUCGCCCGUUGUGCCCUUCGCGCUUGGGGGAAGAGACACCGCCAGAGGUUCGGUCGCCGCCCUGGGCUUCUUGGCCAGAGGAUCCCCAUGGCCACCACCAUAGUUGGGGAGAUCCGCUGUCUUGCGCUCGAGCUCCCGACACCGAGCCAACUCCUUUUUCUUCUUUCUUCGCUCCUGCUACUGGAUCCACCAAGGGGGAGGAGGACCCCAAUCCCUCUCGCGCACCUCUUGCUCGUGGCUCCGCUUAGAUCUGUCGCUCGGUCUUGCACGCAUCUCUUUCUUCGCCUUCUCCCGCAGGUCGCGCUCAUGCCGCCGCUCCCCAUCCGAGACCGGAGGCUCCAUUGGCCUCUUCUCUGCACGCCGCCCGCUCAUCACCGCCGCUGCAAACGAAGUGGAGAGAGGAAGAGGUGGGGAGAUGGGAUGGAUGGAGCGAGCGAGGUGAGCCCAGCGCCGCACCUCUUUUCUGGAUGCAGGAAACCCUAGCGCGGGGUCGAGGCAUCCGCGGCGCAACCAUAAAUAGGCGCCAGUGCGGGGCCGAGGCCGAGGCAGGCCCGACGCGGGCCGGUCAGAACCAACAGGCCCACUUAGAGCCAGUCCCCCGGGCCCAGGAGGCACUCUGUCCCCCACUUGACUUGGGCCGCCGACCCCCACCAGCCUUGGUGAGUGGGCCGGCCCACGGUCCACCUGCCCCUCGACAGCCCCGGGCCCAGUGCCAGCAACCCUAGCCUCAAGGGAGACAGAUCCGACUGCCGCCGCCUGCGGCACGGCCGCCGUCGCCGCCAGCACCCUACCGACCGCCGCCGACGCCGGCAGGCACGACCACUCCACCUCCGAGUCCACCGGAGCCAGGAGUGCAGCCGCCGCCCUCUCCCGGAUGCCCCGCACGGCACCCCCGGAGACACCGAGCCCCUGCCCGGAGUCAAAGAGGGUCUCCAAGCACGGACUGUGACCUCACGCGACCCCCGUCCGCCCGGAGCGAAACGGCGGCACGCCCUCGCGGCGCCGCUCCCCUGCGCGUGCGCACAUGCCACAAAAUCACCAAGCGACGGCCUCGCCGGCGCCAGAGUCCUAGCCUCCGCCGCCGAAUCCACGACCUCCUUGUCCUCCGAAUCGAAAUCAGCCAGCGCCCAGAAGCGGCCUCCCACUGACGCCAGCACCGCGCCUGCCCCCAUGGCCGGCCCCGCCCUCGGCGGAGAGGAGCUAUCGCCUCGCCGGACCACCUCCCAGCCCUCGCUGGCCGGAGCCAAAGGCGACCGGGGCGGGGAGCCCGGGCCGUCGCCAGGAGGAGAGCCUAACGGUCCGCUCAUUUCGAAUCUCGUCGAGCCGCUGUUGGUCCUCUUUCCGCCCCCUUGACCCCCGCUUCAGCACUUCCUGUGUGUCGGGCCCGAGGCAUGGUGCCACAACAGUUGCUCCCGUGGCACGAAGGCGAUGCUGGCUCCUAUUUCUGCAACAGUGGCAUUGUUGCAAAUCUUGGCAUGAUUGACUACUAUGCCGGCACUGUUUUUGUAAAAAUAAUCCUGCAACAAGACCUCUGUUGCAGAAAAUAAAACUGCAACAGAAUGCCUAUUGCGAAAUAAUUGAAGCAAGGCCUCUGUUUCCAAAAAAAAACUAUAGUAAUAAAACUUUUGUUGCAAAAAUAAUUAAUUCGCAACAAAACUUUUGUUGCAAAAAAACUGUAAAAAAAAACUUGUUGCCAAAAAAAAGCUGCAACUUGACCUAUGUUUGCAAAAAUUUCUGCAACAUGACCCGUGUUGCAAAAAAUUUCUGCAACACAACCUAUGUUGUAAUGGUGGAGAGUGAAGUCCGGGCGCUCAAUCCAACAGAUCUCACGGCUCACACGGUGAUUGAUAUUUUAAAAGGGACAAGUAUAUUUUUUAUCCCUCUAUUCUUUCCAAGUAUAGAAAUGGUCCCUAAACUUCAAAACCGGUAAACCUUGGUCCCUUAUUAACUUCUCAAACCAGAUAAGUUUAGUCCCACAUACCAUUUUUGGUGGUUUUCAUCUCAUGUGGACAUGGUUUUGACUAAAAAUUUGACAUGUCAUUCGGAUUUGACUGCCACAUCACUUUCCACUUCAACACCAUACCGCCAUGACCCGUGUGGAGCAUGACCAGGACCGUCAUUGUCCGGCCGAUGUUCGCCGUCGUGUACCGCCUGGAGAAGGAGGCAUACCUAUGCAACGGCCACAGGAUGGUGGAACACCUUGUCCCCGAUGAUCAGAAGUCGGAGCUACGGAUGCUCGCCUGCAUGCACGGCACAAGCCCUCAUGCAUGUGCUGCACCUCUAUGCGUGCAAGAACGCCCGAGCAAGCACCGAGAGCGCCAUUCGUACGUGCUCUCGCUGCUGCUCGUUGCCUCUCACCGCUAGUCCGUGCAGACUCAUGGGGCCUUCAUUCUAACUCCUUCAACAAGUGUGUCGAGGGUCGCCACCGUGGCUCAAUCGCAACUCCGUGCACCAUGAACACGUGUAUUACUCGCAUGUUCUAGCCGGUACAAAUCAAAGGGAACAACGUCAAGUACGUGCGUCCACUGGCGGAGCUAUACAAGAUACUCAGGGGGGGCCAAACAUAAAACAUGGAUAUUUGAAGGGGGCAAAGGCUAUAAGUUUUCUAAUCUAAUCAGUUCCUAAUUUUUUUCUUCCUAAUNNNNNNNNNNNNNNNNNNNNNNNNNNNNNNNNNNNNNNNNNNNNNNNNNNNNNNNNNNNNNNNNNNNNNNNNNNNNNNNNNNNNNNNNNNNNNNNNNNNNNNNNNNNNNNNNNNNNNNNNNNNNNNNNNNNNNNNNNNNNNNNNNNNNNNNNNNNNNNNNNNNNNNNNNNNNNNNNNNNNNNNNNNNNNNNNNNNNNNNNNNNNNNNNNNNNNNNNNNNNNNNNNNNNNNNNNNNNNNNNNNNNNNNNNNNNNNNNNNNNNNNNNNNNNNNNNNNNNNNNNCGCCAUGACGCCUGCACGGCUGCACCCCUGCCGCUGCCGGCCGCAUGACUUGAACGGCGAGCAUGGCGAAAGUCCAGCAUCCCAUUAGCCAGCCCACCGUGCGCUGCAUGUAGUGCCACCAGAGCGGAGCACUUACACAGCGUGGGGUGCCAUCGAGCUGAUGCGACCGUUGACAGAAAAAUGAUGGCACGAAUAAUUUGCCCAAUCUUUCACGGUACGAUGUCCUUUGAAACAGCUGACGCUCGUGACUUUGUAGAUGCAAUCACCAGUUCACCACGAAAACAACACGCAUACCCAAAAAAGAAAGUGCAUGGACGAUUUUCAACAGAUCAGCAGAAAUUGAAACUCUAGAAUCAAUCUCAGACCAAAAUCACAAAGCCUCAAUAACCAUCAACAAAUAUUCAGCUGUGGCUUGGAGAAACCGCGAGUUGCCGAUCUAUCCAUCGACGGAAAAAUAACCUAGCCAAAAAACUGACUCUCGUACACGGCCGACCUGGCCUUUAAAAUAAUGCUGGCAGGCACGCGGGCUAGCCCGACUCGUUUCCUAAUUUUCAAGAUGACUUGGACUCUAACAACCACGUAACAAACUAGGUACGCUAAAAAAUCUAUAAUUUUUUUCUCAUCUAACUAAGCAAGAUUUAACUAAUUUAAUUAUCCGGCAAGCUGAUCAUAAACGUCCAAUCUUUCCUUGUAGCUUCUCAAGUAGAACUCAAACUUGGAUAUUAGUCGCCCCAAUCAUCAUAUCUGUGCAUGGUGUCCUGAAACAUGGCUUCACCUCAUCUUGUGGAAAAAUAUCAAACGCCAUUUUUCCAAACCGAAGCACGAAAGGAUUUUAAAACUGAUGCCCAAACGUAUUAAGGGUGUCAACCUCGUUUUCACUCUGUGUCGUUCCAUUCCAACGGACUCUCUGAUGAAUAUUUUGUGUCUUUUUUCGUUGGGGCAGUGCUGGAACAAUAUAUUUUGAUGUUUCAUAAGCAGCUUGCAAACGAUCAUUGCAAAAAAUAGACAAGGGCAUAUCAUCCUCCCUUCCUUGAAAAGAAACCGUCCUCGGUUUUGACUUAGGCCUUGCAGAUUUUUUCUUGAACACUUCUACAUUACACUUUAUAUUCUGUGCAUCCUUAGGAUUUCUUCUUGAACACUUCUACAGUACACUUUAUAUGCAGAGAGAGUCUUGGCUCAGUGGUUGGGUAUGUGGUUGUGCAAGCCAACGAUCCGAGUUCGAUUCCCAGAAUUGACAGGUGAUGCACAGGGGUUUUCUCCCGUUUAUUGAGGAUCAAGCUUGAUGUGUGGUGGAACCACUCAUCAAGAAAUAUCUUGAUACCCCCAUUUAUUGAGGAUCAAGCUUGAUGUGUGGUGGAACCACUCAUCAAGAAAUAUCUUGAUACUCAUUUAAAAAAUUCCGAGGACCAUGUUUAUCUUGGUACUCAUACUAAAAUGGCCGUAUGCAUCCUUAGUUGGUGCAGAGGCCGGGAAGUGAAAAAUCUCCCCAUAAAAAGAAGCCAGCCGGAAACAUCCGCCCGCGUCGUCCUCCCCCUAGGGCGACUCAGGCGGCCAGAAACCUAGCCGCCGCUGCAAACUCCCUCCUCCUCUCCCUCCUUCGCCGUCGAAAGACGCCGCUGGGCUAAGCCCGGGGGCCGACGGCGGUGGUGGGGGAUCUCCUCUCUUGCGCGUCUCCAGGGUAGGGCGGACCCCAAGGCGUGUGGUGGCGCGACCGAUCUGGGAUCUGCGGCGCCGUGGAUGGCUGCUGGUGGCGGGAGGCCGGCCCGUCCUCGGACGGCGAUGGCUUGGCGUGGCGGAGGCCAGGGCUACGGACGCUGCGGAUGGCCCCUUCGAGCGGCUGCGGUCGGCGGCGGCCGGAUUGGCUGCGGUGGCGUGCAUGCUGCCUUCAGAUCGGCGACGACGGCGUGGAGGGCUUGGUGGUUUCAUCCGUGGCACCUCCGAUCAGAUCUGUUUUGACCGGUGCAGCCGGCAGUGGUGGUCAUCUCUUCCGUCAGAGGUGGUCGGCCUGUGGCUGGGUGUUCGGAUCUCGGGAUCCGUCAUCUGGCACCAGCUGCGAGUCGGGAAGACGUAGUUGCCGGUGAAAACUGAGCCGACGGCGGGCGAUGGCGGCGUUCCACGUCGUUACCUUGAUGAAGGCAUCGUCAUGUGACUACCGUCGACCCACUCGUAUUGCUUUGGGGAAACCCUAGGAUCUGGUGUUCCAGACCGGACGAUGGCGGCACUGCGGUGUCGUUUCUCUCCUGGGAGCAUCGUUUUGUGGAGCAGCGCUGGAAGUCAGAGGCAGGAGGUGGAGUGUCACGGCCGGCUUUUCAAUAAAAAUAUUUACUGAUAAAACCGAUCUUUUAAACCCAGUAUAAGAAAAGUCAUCCUUUCUGGUAGACAAAAGCUUGAUAAACAGAGAACCAGUAGCAGCAAAUAUAUUACAGGGUUGAGCUGAGGCUGCUCAACAAUUUAUCACAAACUCGCCAAUAUCUUACAUAAGGGCGGUUAUAACACAGGGGUGUGGUGGCAUGCUACUAGCUCGAGGAAAUGUGGUGGUGCAUAACUUGACUUCUACUGGCAGCUCAUCGAGCGUCGAGGUGAGGCUCGAUGAAUUUAUUUCGGGUUUGCGAAAGAGGAUAAUACAAUGACCAAGACAGGAUCGCGCGGGACUGACUGGGACUCCUCUAGGCGUCGGACUCGCUAUCAAACUCUUCAUCCAUGAGAUCGCCUUCAUCAACAUCUGGCCAAAUCAACAAGCCAGGUGAGUACUUGAAAGUACUCGCAAGACAGUUCGGACAAAAGAUAUAAUCAAUGAAUGCAUGAAUGCGUCAUGAAUAAAGGAUGAUGCUCAUAUAACAACGGUAAGAUUUGCAGGACUUGAUAAAUAAAAUAAACAACUGAAAACCGAUCGGGUCUGGAGCGACACCUCGAAAGGUAAAUAAAUAAAAUGCAUGCCGCAGUCGGGCGUCUAAGCGACACCACAUAAAGGGAUUAAAAGAAAUGCCACAGUCGGACGUCUGGGCGACAUCACAUAAAGGGCUUUAAAAGAAAUGCCACAGUCGGAUGUCUGGGCGACAUCACAUAAAAGGCUUUAAAAGAAAUGCCACAGUCUGACGUCUGGGCGACAUCACAUAAAGGGCUUUAAAAGAAAUACCAUAGUCGGACGUCUGGGCAACAUCACAGACAGGGCUUUAAAAGAAACACCACAGUCGGACGUCUGAGCGACAUCACAGACAGGGCUUUAAAAGAAAUACCACAGUCGGACGUCUGAGCGACAUCACAGACAGGGCCUAUAAUAAAAGUAAAUAACAGGUCUGCCACCGUUGGAUGUCUGAGCGACAUCGCAGACAGGGCUUAUAACAAAAGUAAAUAACAGGUCUGCCACCGUCGGACGUCUGAGCGACAUCGCAGACAGGGCUUGUAAUAAAUGUAAACAACAAGAUUAGUCCAUGCACAAGAAUAAUCCUUUAACCGGAUUUAUCACACAUAAAUCCCACCGGAAUUUUGUCACUGAGGCUGAUACCUGACAAGAUAAGAUGAAUAUAGUACUUGAACCAAGUACAAGAUAAUUGAAAGAUUUAGGACUCUGCAGAGUUUGGAUGAACUGACCACAGCCAACGGAUUUCCGUAGUCACGAAGGACUAGUUCCGUUUACGGUAUUUCAGUAGAAACACAUUUAACUAUUACACACCCAUUUCACCUCACGAUGCCAGGAAUCACCCUGGACAACGUCCAAGAAAAACUUUGAGACGGGGAGGCCACAACCUCGAAUAGCAUGGGAUCAAAUUUCUAUACGCGCGCUCUAAGGGGUGCCCCCCUCUCGGUCCCAACCGGAAACACCCAUGCCCCCUGACCGGAUGACGGGCUUUAAUCCAGGGCCAUGGAACCCUCACCCCGGCCUCUCUAUUUGGUGUGUACCAGGAAAACGAUUUGCAACUUACUAUGCCAUAUUCCUUUCGGAAAACAUGUGACAGUAGGAAGGAAUGAAUGGAAUGUGAUUUGUUUCACGAUGACACGGAAGUCAAAUAAUCUGGCAUAAGACUGGCAUGUCACAACACUGCCAUCUUACCCAUCCUCAUGCCAACACAUGGCUCUGCAAAUAUGUAUCCAACAACAUAAUGCUUUCCGAAACUUACUUUCCGAUUAUGUGCAUGAAACAUAACAUUUAAAGUGAUGUUCCUAAACAUGCCAUGACCAUACUACAAUGCAAACAUGCAACAACACUCAUCAUAUCAAGAGUUCAAACAUGCUUGCUUGGUUCGGAGUAGUCGGAGUCUAACUGUGCGAAGUUUGCAGCUCCGUCACCUCCUCCAGUAUCUACGGUAUAAGAAAAAUACGUACGCAACGUAAAUACCGUGAGUGUACAGAAAAGUGUUCCAAAUAUUUUUCAAAUAAAUAUGAUAAAAAACUAGACAAAAAUUUGAAGAGGACGGGAAAAGAAACACUCAAACAUUCCUUUCUGUUAAAAAGUUAUAAGGGUUUUAACCCAAGGACCCAUCUGUAAUGAAACAGAAAACUUCGAGGGGGCUUUGCAGAGAAAUCCAGAAAAACGGUUCAGAGUGGAAGCGUAUUUGUCCGAGUACGCUUUCAGUAACUGAUUCAAAAAAAACAAAGGAGGGGCUGACGGGCGGGUCCCACCCGUCAGGUUUGAAAUUUCAAACGAGGGAGUCGGGGCUCGUCGGUGCCCGAGAGCCGCGGUGGUCGCCGGCGGCGAUCCACGGCGAGGCAGGGAGAUCGGAGAGUACCUCCGUGUUCAGGGUGCCAUUCCGCGUCUGUGGGAGGUGGUGGUGGUCGCCGGCGAGUACCACGUCGGCGGCGACGUUUGCUCCGGCGAACGUCGAUUCGGGUGGUCGUGGACCUCGUCGGAGAGAGCUGUGGAGGUGGAAUUGGGGAGGGGGUUAGACUCGCGAUAGCAUGAGAAGGUAUCUGACGAGGUUAGGGCGCCGGGGAUGACCUCACCGGAGUGGACGAUGCCGGAGCCCGAGGCAGACGAAGGUGGCCGGAGUUGAGGAGGAAAGGCCCCUCGAGGCUCGUUCAGUGGUUGGGCGGGGUCUGGUGAGGUGGUGGAGUCGUGCGGGGGCGAGAGCAAGCUCGGGGUGCUAUAUAUAGCCGCCCCGAGGCGGUUGCCGAGAACGGGGUUCUCCGGCGAGGUGAUUACGGCGGUGCUGCGGUUGCACGGGAGGGUUCAGAGGUUGAGCGUCGUUGUGGGUGUCCCCUGGUUCCGUUUUGGUGCUAACCGCGUCGGGAUUUGGUUGCUUAGGGAGAGCUCGACGGAACGGGGCGGUGCGGGCCCAUCGGUGGCAGGGAGCACGCUCUGUGCGUGCCGCACCACGGCGACGGUGCUGCAUGCGUGCGCUGGCGAGGAAAUGGCCACGCGGAGCCACCAGGGGGUUUGGGCGGCGCCGAACGGCGUUAUGCCGCCGUUCUGCUCCCUGUCGGCCGCUACGGUGAUUCGGCCGCCGCAAAGCACGCCGGCGCAGGCGGGCCAGGGCGCCACCGAUACCAGGAAGGCGCCAAGCGCGCGUGUGAGGCUCCGGACAAGCAAGCUAGGCCGUGAGCAAUGUGCCAAGUGCACUGUGAGCAUGUGACUGAAAUUCUAACGAAAAUCGACACUGAACUCUGAACUUAACUGAAGAUGAACAGAAACAGUGCAUGCAAGGUGUUCGACAGAAUGAUCUAGGCAUGUAGGGAUUUUUCACUGAGCUGGUUUUUGGUGGAGGGGCCUCUCAUUGCAUCUAGAGGAUGCGUGAGUAUUUGUGGAAUUUUUGGAGAGGUGUAGAUAUGAAUUUCACCAAAUUUGGCAAAUCUGGUCCAAACUUGCAGUGGGUGAAAAUUGAAAUAUUUGAACUGGAGAAGAGUGGAUCAAGAUGGUUCUGGGUUCUGGGUACAAAGGACUAUCCAGGGGUGUUGAGUUGAGGUCAAAAGUCAAAAGCAUUAGGGUACUUGCUUUGCAAUCCACCUAGGCUCAAAAGAAAAGACAGAAUUAUUUUGGGAGGAGAAAUAAUUGGAAUAAAAUCCAAAAAAUGAUUUUAUUAGUUUGGACAGAAUGUUUGGGUUGUACCAAAGUGGGAGGAGAGGUUUUGGGAAAAUUUCACCAUAGGAGGCAUGGUAAAAUUUAGAAGGGCUCAAAACCAAAUUAAAAGCCCAAAAACUAAAAGGGUUUUCUUUUUAAAAGAAACUAAAUCCAAGAAAAGGAUUUUUGAGAGGGCAAACUUAGAAGAUGGUUUUUAGGAAGGGUUUAAGUGACCUUCUUUCAAACCAAGCAAGGUUUUUCUGAAAACAAAAAAUCACAAAAUUUUUGGAGUGUCACAGCACCUACCCCCUUAGGAAAAAUCUCGUCCCCAAGAUUUCAGCUGAUCCUUAAACAGGUGUGGGUGCUCUGUCCGAAGAAAAUCCUCGCUCUCCCAAGUUGCUUCACCCUCGGUGUGAUUACUCCAUUGAACUCUGAAAAACUUGAUGGUUUUCCGCCGGGUCCUCCUCUCAGACUCCUCUAACAUUUUUAAUGGGUGCUCCCGGUAAGUGAGGUCCGGUUGCACAUCAAUAUACUCAUGUGAAACUUGCUUCUCUGGGUUGCUCAUGUAUUUUCUCAACUGCGAGAUGUGAAACACGUUGUGGAUAUCGGAUAAGUCUCCGGGUAGGUCUAGCUGGUAGGCUACCUUGCCUCGUCGGGCCAUUAUAUGGAAUGGUCCGAUGAAUCUUGGUGCUAGUUUCCCCUUAAUCCCGAAUCGUUGCAGACCCUUCAUAGGAGAAACUCUCAGGUAUACCAAUUCUCCGGGUUCAAAACUGAUUUCCCGAUGCUUUCGGUUGUAAUAACUCUUUUGCCGACUUUGAGCAGUUUUGAGUUGUUCUCUAAUUGUCUUAACUUUCUCCUCGGCCUCCUUGAGCAUAUCUGGGCCAAAAAUAUGGCUGUCUCCGGUCUCUGACCAAUUUAGCGGGGUACGGCAUCUUCUCCCAUAUAGAGCUUCAAAGGGUGCCAUUUACAAGCUGGCUUGAUAGCUGUUGUUGUAUGUGAACUCUGCAUAUGGCAAACUUUCUUCCCAACUGUUCCCAUAGGUGAGGACACAGGCUCUUAGCAUGUCUUCUAGGAUUUGGUUUACGCGUUUCAUCUGCCCAUCAGUCUGGGGAUGGUAUGCGGUACUGAAGGCUAGUUGGGUUCCCAGUGCCUGUUGUAGGUGAUCCCAGAAUGUAGAGAUGAACUGUGUGCCUCCGUCGGAGAUGAUAGUCUUAGGGACUCCAUGCAGGCAGACGAUACGGGCAAGAUAAAGUCGGGCUAGUCUCUGAGUGGUGUAAGUUGUUUUUACCGGAAUAAAAUGUGCCACCUUGGUUAAUCUGUCGGUUAUGACCCAUAUGGCAUCGUUUCCAUAUCGUGACCGUGGCAGUCCAACGAUAAAGUCCAUUCCAAUCUUGUCCCAUUUCCACUCGGGUAUCUUAUUUGGCUGUAACAGUCCGGCCGGUUUCUGGUGCUCGGCCUUGAUACGUUGACAAGAGUCACAGCAUGCAAUGAACGUGGCUAUAUCUCUCUUCAUACCGUGCCACCAAAAAUUUUCCUGAAGGUCUUUGUACAUUUUUGUCCCCCCAGGAUGGAUUGAAUACGGAGUUGUGUGACUUUCAGUCAAUAUCUGCUGUUUGAGGUCCUUGACAUUUGGUACGCAUAGCCUCUCUCCGUACCACAAUAUUCCUUGCUCAUCUACGUUGAAUUCUGGGGUUCUUCCCAAACUCACUUUUCUUUUUAUGCCCUCAAUGCUGGGGUGUCCGUGCUGGGCUUCCUUGAUCCUUUCCAUCAGGGUAGGCUGUAUUUCUUUAUUCGACACACUGCCUUCGGUAACCAUUAUUAGAUUGAGUCGGGCAAAUUCCUGCUGAAAUUCUGGCCUCAACUUUGGUAUACUGUCGUCGUCCGUGCUGGGAUUUCGACUAAGUGCAUCUGCCACAACAUUUGCUUUUCCAGGAUGAUAGUGGAUUCCAACAUCAUAAUCCUUCACCAACUCUAACCAGCGUCGUUGCCGUAAAUUUAACUCUGGUUGUGUGAAAAUAUACUUAAGACUCUUAUGGUCUGUGUAUAUCUCACAACGAUUCCCAAGUAGGAAGUGUCUCCAUUCCUUGAGUGCAUGAAUGACCGCUGCUAAUUCCAAGUCAUGUGUGGGGUAAUCUUCCUCAUGCUUGCGUAGUUGUCUAGAGACAUACGCCACUACCUUGCCUUCUUGCAUCAAUACGCAUCCGAGGCCUUUCUGGGAUGCGUCACAAUAUACCUCAAAAUUCUUGUGUAUAUCCGGCACAGUUAGUACCGGUGUCGUUGUUAAUUUGCUUUUUAGCUCUUGGAAGCUUUUCUCACAUGCUUCUGUCCAUUCAAACUUCUUGCCUUUCUUGAGCAAUUGUGUCAUGGGCUUUGCUAUAGUAGAGAAUCCUUCAAUAAAUCUCCGAUAAUAGCCUGCCAUUCCCAAGAAACUCCGUACGUCCGUUACGUUAGCUGGUGGUUUCCAUCCAAGUACGGCCUUGACUUUUUUCGGGUCUACUGCAAUACCUUCUUGGGUUAGCACGUGGCCCAGAAAACCCACCUGUUUUAGCCAAAAUUCACAUUUGCUGAAUUUGGCGUAUAGUUGAUGUUUCCUGAGUUCUCCUAGUACAAUCCUGAGAUGUUCGGCGUGCUCUUCUGGUGUUUUGGAAUAUAUCAGAAUAUCAUCGAUGAAUACCACAACAAACUUGUCCAUAUACUUCAUAAAUACUUUGUUCAUGAGAUGAACAAAAUAUGCGGGGGCGUUGGUUAGUCCGAAUGGCAUCACUGUGAACUCAUACAACCCAUAUCUGGAGGUGAAUGCGGUCUUGGGAAUAUCCUCUGUUCGUACUUUUAAUUGGUGGUAUCCUGAUCUCAAGUCAAUUUUUGAGAAGACUUUGGCCUGUGCGAGCUGAUCGAAUAAAUCAUUUAUUCGGGGCAUUGGGUAUUUGUUCUUGAUUGUGACUAUGUUGAGAGCUCGAUAAUCAAUACACAACCUCAUUGUUCCAUCAUUUUUCUUGGCAAAUAAAAUUGGAGAACCCCAAGGUGAGGAGCUGGCUUGUAUGUAUCCUUUCUCUAAUAAUUCUUUUAUUUGCUUCUUCAACUCUACCAAUUCGGAUGGUGCCAUUCUGUAAGGUUUCUUGUAAAUAGGAGCGGUUCCGGGUGCUAGCUCAAUGCUGAAUUCUAUCUCUCGGUCUGGUGGCAUGCCUGGUAGUUCUUCUGGAAAUACGUCUGAAAAUUCACAUACUAAUGGAACCUUGUUUAGCUCAGAAACGUCCACCUUGUUUAAUCUAGGUUGCCGAGGUAUUUGUCUCUCUUUGGCUGAAACUUUUAUUUUCUUCCCAUGAUGGUGUGUGAGAAUCACGGUACGGUUGAAGCAGUCAAUAAAACCUUUGUUGGUGGUUAACCAAUCCAUUCCUAGAAUGACAUCCAGUCCUUUGCUUUCCAGUACAAUAAGGUUGGCGUAAAACUUCAAUCCUUCAAAUUCAAUAACCACACCUUGACAGUAACUCUGGGUCAUUUGCUUAAUUCCAGGGGACUUGAUGAUCAUUGAUUUUUCCAAGGGAAGCAUCGAAAAAUUAUUUUGCAAAGCAAAACUUUUCAAAACAAAUGUGUGAGAAGCUCCAGAAUCAAACAAAACCAUGGCAGGUAUUGUGUUGACGGGGUACGUAUCGAGUACGAUAUCUGGGGCGUUCUGUGCUUCCUCUCGGGUCACGUGGUUCAAGUGACCUUUCCAGUGGUUGUUGUUGGGGUUGAAAUUUCUUCUCUUUGGUGCUGAAUUAUUUCCACCGUUAUUGAGCUUCGGGGUUGAGCUCCUUGGCUUGGGGCACUGCUUGGCAUAGUGCCCUUCUUCUCCACAAGCAUAACAGGUAACGCCUGGGCGAUAGGUGAACUCUUUGUCUCUUGCAUGGAAGUUCUUGAUUGGACGUGAAUUAUUCGUCGGGGUUUUGUGUGAAUCCCCCUUCUGAAUUCCUUCUUGCUUCUAUGAUUGCGAGCAAAAGUAGUCUGAUCCCUUUUUCGUUUGCGGAAAUCUUCCAGGAUACGUCGCUCAUUUUCCAGGGUAAUGGCCUUAUCCACCAGUGUUUUAAAAUCUGGAAAGGUAUGCACAACUAGCUGGCACUUAAGGGCGGGUGCCAGGCCUUCCAAGAAUUUUUUCAUCUUCUUGCUCUCGGUCAUGCGUUCUUCAUUGGCGUAGCGAGACAGCAGAGUGAAUUGGCUGUUGUAUUCUGACACUAUCAUGGCCCUUUGCUUGAGUUCAUCAAAUUCUUUUUUCUUGAUUUUCAUGACGCUCUUAGGAAUAUGUGCCCCAUGAAAACCUUCUUUGAAAUUUUCCCAGGUGACUUCAUUUUCGUUGGGGUGCAUGUGCAGGAAGUUUUCCCACCAUGAUGCAGCUGCUCCUGUGAGAUAGUGUGGUGCAUACAAUACUUUUUCACGGUCUAAACACUGUGCGAUAAUUAAUUUUCUCUCCAUGUCCCGAAGCCAGUCAUCGGCCUCAAGAGGCUUGCCGGUAUGAGAAAAUGUUGGGGGACGCGUCUUUUGUAACUCAGAUAAUUUGGAUUGCGGUUGAUACUGACCACGGUUACUUCCCAUAUUGAUGAAUUGGUUCAUCAUUUCCUGGUGUUGCUGCUGACUCUGUUCAUACAAACGACAAACUUGUGUAAAAACUGUUUCACUGUCCUGUUGACUUGUCUGACCCUGAGUGAAAUUGUGGUUCUGCAAUGUGCCAUAAUUUUCUUCUGGCUGAGUUGGCAUGGAGCGCGUCCAAGGACGAGACAUCUUUCACUCUGGGGAUAUAUUUUGUGAACUCGUAAGAUAAGAAAGAGAGUCGCAAAAGUCAAUAAAAUCACACACAAAGAACAUUUUUAAACUCCAGGAUAUUUUUGGGAACACACGACUUCGCGCGGAGAAGGACUAGUGCAUAUCUUACACGCGGGCAUAAUUAUACAUUACAUCACUCAGGAUAUGCGUACAUAAUCCUGACAUGUUAUUUAAACUAGUGCACUCCUCCAAAUCCUACAUGAUGCGCAAACAGGCUACUUCUCACAACCUAUGUACAUAUAAACAUAUUACACAAGUCGAUACAUCGCAUGGCGUCUAUGCGUACUUAGUCGGAGAUGGUGAGGAUCUCCCUUGGCCUGCCGAGGGUGAGACGCAGAGACGCUGGGGAAUCAACCUCCUCCUCGCUAAUAGGUUCCAGACGAGAAACGUUGUGCUGAGCUGAUGGAGCAGGUGCCGUAGGCGGAAUAACACGAAUAGAGUGGGUGGAACAGGUGGGGUAGCACGUAUGGGAGUAGGUGCAACAAGUGGUGCAGAGCGGACGGGAGUGGGUGCAAUAGCCUGGUUAAACUCCUCUGUGAUAGGCAGACGACGAGCAGAGGCGUGUAUGGUAGGUGAGUGAGAGGCUGCGGAUGACACAAAAGUCAGUGGUGGAGCGGUGUGCAGGAGUUCCCUCCUGUUAGCAGCACAGUCAUGAACUGAUGUAAGUGCAUCUAGUGCCCCUUAGUGAUUUUGGUGUAUUGAAGACUUAUAGGUUAAGGGACUAAUGCGUUUGUGAGUGUACACAGGUCUAUAAGUCUAUGAGGAGUUUGAUAUUUACAAAGAAAGUCGACCCCUAAAAAUGAAGUUCUUCAAUUGAAGACUUUGAUAUUCUGAAGACUUUCUGAAGACUUUGAAAGUGAAGAAAUUGGUGUGACCUUGAAGACUUGGUAUUCAUUUGUGGAACAUGAAGCGUGAAGACUUUUGUUUUUGUAGUUUCAUUUUCACCUUCUUGAGUCAUAGGAAACACCGUACUGUUAAAGGGGGUCGAGGAAAUACUAAGGAAAAAUUUCCAUGUGAUGCUCAACUCAAAUCCUACACCUACCAAUCCCUUCGAGUGAAGCCUUUGGAACUCUCAUACAGUUCAGUAACUUUCUUCAGUGACAGAGACGAAGUUCUCCUGGUUGCUGAUGAAUUUGUUCUGACUGAGGAGUUAGGAAUUCGUCAGUGCGAAUUACCUACACAGUGAGGAACAUGCUAGCCCUGAGGAAUUUGAGAGUCAAAUUUCCGACCGUUGCUGUGCUGCGCGCCAGCUGUCCCAAAAUAUCUUAUCCACCUAACGGUCAUAUCAUUGAGGGGCAUUUAUGUCUUAUCAUGUCGGGCUGCUCCCUAGGUUAUAAAUAGCCGCCCCCUACAACCACUAGCUGGUUGGCUGCUCCGAGAGAACUUGACACUUGUCAUUUGAGAGCAACCCAUCCUCCGAGGACUUUGAGCUAAAAUCAUCGAGUGAGGAAAACCCGAAACCAAACCCCUACAAACCCAAAGUGAUUGAGCAUCACUGAAGAAAUUGAUCCUGCGUGGAUCCGACGCUUGUUACCUUUGAAGAUUGUGCUUCUUCCAGACGGUUAGGCGUCAAGGUCUAGAGCAUCCAAGAGGAAUUGUGGAUCGCCGAGUGACCAAGUCUGUGAAGGUUUGGAAGUCGCCUGAAGACUUACCAUGAGUGAUUGGACGAGGUCUGCGUGACCUUAGUUCAAGGAGAUUACGGUGAGGACUGGGUGUCCUGAGCUGCGUGCUCAGCGACUGGGUGUCCGGGACUGCGUGUCCUCGAGUUUAAAUACUCAGCCGCUCCAACCAGACGUACAACUGAGACAGCAGUUGGAACUGGUCUACCAAAUCAUUGUCUUCGCCAACCUAACUGGUUCUAUUUCCUCAACCCUUUCAUUUCCUCAUUACUGUGUUGAGUGUUUGUUCAUAUCUGUGUUUGAAGACUUUGACUGAAGACUCUCUCAAUUUCCUUAGUUCAAUUUCUUCAGUCUGUUUGUCUUCAUCUUGUGUUAUCCUGUGAUUACGCUUUCUGUACUCUGUGCUAGUCUUCAUUUCAUCAUGAUGACCAUGCUUGUAUUCUGUUAUGCUUACUUAUGAGUACUUAUUCCGCUGCUAAUAGUUCUUCACUAAGGAAUUUCCUCACCGGCAAAUUCCUCAGUGAAGAAUUCAUAAAAAUCGCCUAUUCACCCCCCCUCUAGUCGACAUAACGCACUUUCAAUUGGUAUCAGAGCAAGGUACUCCCUUGUUCUGUGUGAUUUUGGUUUAAUCGCCUGGAGUUUUAGUUAUGUCGACCGCAGGUAUGAAGAAAGUGACAUGCCCUAUCUUUGACGGUCAUGAUUAUCCCAAGUGGAAGGCCAUGAUGAGGAAGCGCCUCAUGGCGAGGGACAGCGAGCUGUGGACCGUCAUUGAGAUUGGUCUUACUGAUCUAUGCAAGUCGGCGAAUGCAGAUGAUAUUCACAAAUACACUCGACUUGACUGCAUGGCGAAGGAUAUCAUCUGUUCCUGCCUAUCCAGAGAUCAAUUCAGGCACAUUAUGCAUCUUUGCAAUGCAAAGCUUAUCUGGGACCGAAUCUUCGACAUUUAUGAAGGUCAUCGAACUCGUCAUGAUCCCUGGUUUGAGGACUUCAAGGAAUCUCUCAAAACGAUGACUUUCGAGCCAGAAUCAUCAUCGUCUGCAUCAUGUCUCAUGGCAAAGGGUGACGAGGUAACCAAAUGUUCCUCGUCUGAAUUUAGUGACUGUGAAUCUGAUGAUGAUGAAUCUAAUGAUGAUAUUGAACCUAGCUAUACCAAACUUGUUUGCAUUGCCACCAAACAACAACAUGCCUUGGAAAAGGUUCAAAACAUGCUAGACAAAAGUGAUGAUAUGUUGGGUGAAGAAAUGGAUCGCACUAAAGCCCUGACUGAAAAUCUUCAGAGACUUCAGUCUAGGUUUGAUAACCUUCAAAGUCAUCAUAACACUCUCUUAUCUGAUCAUGAGAAACUUUCUUAUGAAUUUCUUCAAAGAAAGCAAGAUCUUGAGAAGCUAAGAGUGAGUUAUGAAGAUCUUCAGAAGGAGCGCGAUUCAUUACUUGCUCAACAAAUCAGCACUUCUCAGGAAGAAUUUGUUCCUCCAUGCUUAAAGUGCAUUGAACGUGAAUCUGCUAAUUCUUCACCUGAAUGUUCAAAUGCUUCAACUGUUACAAAUUCUUCACCUGCCUCUGCUAUCACUAAUUCCUCAUCUGAGGACAUUGCUAGUAUCACUGACGAUACAGGGCUGAAGGAACUGUACACUACAUGCAUGUACAAAAGCCUCAAAGGGCAUCAGAUUCUUUGUGAUGUGCUGAAAAAGCAGAUCCUCAACAGAAACCCUAGGAAAGAGGGUAUUGCCUUUGAGAGGAAACUUAAUGCUGAUGGAACAUAUUGGAAACCUGAGCAGUACCCCAAAACCUCAUGGGUUGCUGCAAAGGGACCUCCAGUUGAUCCAUCCAACUUAUCAGGCUUUACAUGUGAAUUUCCUCAUUCUUCUGAUGAGUCAUUUGACUCCAACUAUAAACUGUUCAAAAAUCAGAAUGGUGAAGUAUUUGCUAGAUAUGUUGGGACUAACUGCAGGAACGGUUCCCCUAUGAAGAAAAUCUGGGUUCCCAAAAGUUAUGUUGAAAGUCUUCAGGUGAAUGUCCUCAUGACACCACCUGUGAAGAAUAGGAACCCCAGAUCAAACUCUUCAUAUGGACCAAAUUCUUCAUAUGGAUCCAAAUCCUCAUACGGACCAAAUUCCUCAUAUGGAUCGAAUUCCUCAAAUGGAUUAAAGUCCUCACAUGAUUAUCAUCAUGCUAACAACUCUGUUUCGCAGGGUAGAGCUAAGGGCUACGAAUAUGCACAUUAUUCUUCAAAUCAUUAUGUUCAUAAGUCCUCGAAGAAUUUCUCUGCUUAUUCAUAUGCUUACUCUAACCCCUCUUAUGUGAAACGAAAUGGUUUGGCUUCUAUGCCACCAUUCUCAUAUGGUGCUCGUAGAGUGAUGAACUCUUUACCACCCCUUCAGAUGUGGGUGGUGAAGAAAAAGAACUAAUCUCUUCUGCAGGGUCAGGUCUCCAGACGUGCCUUAACGUCUGAAGAAUUUGCUGGGGACCUGACAAAAUUGCCUGAAAGGACGCAGUCUAACCAUGAUGAAAUUAAUUUUCAUUUCACACGUCCUCCUACUGCUAUAUCUGUUUACCGCUUGAUGAAAUUCAUUUGAUGAACUUGAUAUCAUAUUCUUCACUGAUGAAGCAUAUGAGAUUGUAAGUUACACUAAUUCAUCUGCAGGAUGAUCAACCCAAAACCACUGAAUGGGUCCUCGAUAGGAUGUACAAAUCACAUGACUGGUGACAAGAAUCUUUUGAUGGAUGCUCCCUUAUCACCGUCACAUCUGAAGCAUAUCAUCUUUGCUGACAAAGGCAAAAGUCAGGUAUUGGGUCUUGGUAAGGUUGCGAUCUCUAAGGAUAAACACAUGGACAAAGUCAUGCUUGUUGAGUCCUUAGGAUACAACCUCAUGUCAGUCUCAAUGCUUUGUGAUCUUGAUAUGGUUGUUGUCUUUGGCAAGUAUCGCCGUGUUGUGAUUAUGGAAGCUGACAAUUCCAAAGUCUUCGAAGGCUUUAGGAGAGGAGAUUUGUAUAUUGUUGAUUUCUCUACAGGACCACAACCAGCCGUGUGUCUACUUGCAAAAGCUUCAGAAGGCUGGCUAUGGCAUCGACGACUUGGUCACGCAGGCAUGAGGAAUUUGCACACGCUUGCAAAGAAGAAGCAUGUCAUUGGCAUUGAAAAUGUAAAAUUCCUCAAGGAUCACUUAUGCGGAGCCUGUGAAGCUGGAAAAAUGACCAAGGCCAAGCAUCCAACGAAGACUAUCAUGACCACUACUCGUCCAUUCGAAUUGCUUCACAUGGACCUCUUCGGACCAAAUCAUUACUCAGCAUUCUCAAAUGAUGCAUCUCUAUAUGGUUUUGUCAUUGUUGAUGAUUACUCUCGAUAUACAUGGGUACACAUUGUUACUUACAAACAUGAAGUGCAGGAAGUCUUCAAACGAUUUUCCUCGAGGGCUUCAACCAACUUUGGUGUGAAGAUCAAGCACAUCAGAAGUGACAAUGGAACUGAGUUCAAGAAUUCUGGUCUUGAUGACUAUCUUGAUGAACUUGGUAUUACUCAUGAGUUAUCUGCUCCUUAUACUCCUCAGCAAAAUGGCGUCGUGGAGCGCAAGAACAAAACUCUUGUUGAGAUGGCUCGCACUAUGCUUGAUGAAUACAAAACGCCUCAUCGUUUUUGGAUUGAUGCAAUUGAGACUGCGUGCCACAUCAUCAACAGAGUAUAUCUUCACAAAUUCUUCAAGAAGACGGCCUAUGAACUCCUCACUGACAAGAAACCCAAUGUGAGUUAUUUCAAAGUCUUCGGUGCUAAAUGUUGGAUUAGAGAUCCUCACCACAAUUCUAAAUUUGCACCGAAAGCACAUGAAGGUUUUAUGCUUGGUUACGGAAAGGACUCGCACACCUAUAGAGUCUUCAACAUCGCUCUUCACAAGAUUGUUGAAACUAUAGAUGUGCGGUUCGAUGAAACUAAUGGCUCACAAAGAGAGCACCUACCUUCUGUGUUAGAUGAACCAGCACCUGAGGAUUCUAUCAAGUUCAAGGCAACUGAGGAUGUCAUUCCUACUGAAGAACUUGCUGAAGAAUUCAUUCCAGUACGCGAAGAACGUCGAGCUGACGCACCUGAAGAUAAUGAUGAAGACAAUGGUGCUGAGGAAAAUGAUCAAAUACCUCGACGACAACCAGCUCAUCCUCGCGUUGCAAAAGAAGUACAAGUUGACAAGAUCAUCGAUGACACUGAAGCGCCAGGUCCUCUCACACGCUCAAAAGCUUCACAUUUAUCUAACUUUUGUGGGCACUAUGCUUUUGUCUCUAUCACAGAGCCCACUAAGGUAGAUGAAGCAUUUUUGGAGCCGGAGUGGAUUCAGGCUAUGCAAGAAGAAUUACAUCAGUUCGAGCUCAACAAUGUCUGGGAACUGGUCAAACGUCCAGAUCCUCGCAAGCAUAAUAUCAUUGGCACAAAGUGGAUCUACCACAACAAGCAAGAUGAAAAUGGUCUUGUGGUAAGGAAUAAGGCACGACUGGUAGCUCAAGGCUACACACAGGUUGAAGGAAUUGAUUUUGAUGAAACUUUUGCACCUGUUGCUAGACUUGAGGCUAUUCGCAUAUUACUUGCUUAUGCUAAUCAUCAUGAUAUCAUCUUAUAUCAAAUGGAUGUGAAAAGUGCAUUCCUCAAUGGUAAGCUUGAGGAAGAAGUAUAUGUUGCUCAACCCCCAGGUUUUGAAGAUCCAAAGAAUCCUGACAAAGUCUUCAGACUUAAUAAGGCACUCUAUGGCCUCAAGCAAGCCCCUCGGGCGUGGUAUGAUACAUUGAAGGAAUUCUUCGUGAAGAAUGGCUUCACACCCGGUUCACUCGACCCUACUCUCUUUACUAAAUCUUAUGAUGGUGAACUGUUUGUGUGCCAAAUAUAUGUUGAUGAUAUUAUCUUUGGCUGUACUGACCAACGUUAUAGUGAUGAAUUUGCCUAUAUGAUGAGUGAAGAAUAUCAAAUGUCUAUGAUGGGAGAGUUGAAAUUCUUCUUAGGUCUUCAAAUUCGUCAAUAGCGCAAUGGCAUAUUCAUAUCUCAGGAGAAAUACCUCAAAGAUGUACUGAGGAAAUUUGGCAUGCAAGAUUGCAAAGGCGUCAAAAUUCCUAUGCCCACAAAAGGUCAUCUAUGCACUGAUGAAAAUGGUAUUGACUUCGAUCACAAGGUAUACCGCUCCAUGAUUGGUUCUUUGUUGUACUUAUGUGCAUCUAGGCCAGAUAUAAUGCUUAGUGUUUGCAUGUGUGCCCGAUUUCAAGCUGCACCGAAGGAAUCACACCAUAAGGCUGUGAAGCAUAUUCUUCGAUAUCUAGCUCACACACCAACACUAGGAUUAUGGUACCCCAAGGGCUAUGCUUUUGAUCUCAUUGGAUAUUCUGACUCUGACUAUGCUGGUGAUCGUGUGGACCGCAAGUCAACUUCUGGCACUUGUCAUUUCCUCGGACGAUCUUUGGUCUGUUGGUCCUCGAAGAAACAGAACUGCGUAUCACUAUCUACUGCGGAAGCUGAAUACAUUGUUGCUGGCUCUUGCUGUGCUCAACUGCUUUGGAUGAAGCAAACACUCAAGGACUAUGGCAUCAACGUGAAGAAUGUGCCUCUCCUCUGUGACAAUGAGAGUGCCAUCAAGAUUGCUCACAACCCAGUUCAGCACUCGAAGACAAAGCACAUUCAGAUUCGUCAUCAUUUUCUUCGUGAUCAUGUGUUGAAGGGCGACAUCUCUAUCGAGCACGUGAACACUGAAGAACAGCUAGCUGAUAUCUUCACUAAGCCCUUGGAUGAGAAGAGAUUUAGCAAGUUGCCGUGUGAGCUAAAUAUCUUAGAAUCUUCGAAUGUUCUUUGAAAUAGACACACAUCCUAACACUUAUGCAAAAUUGAUGACUUAGAUGUGCAACACAUGAAGAAACGUUUUUCUUCAAUCAAUGAAGAAUAACACUCUAAGUGUGAAGAAAUUAAUGAAGAAUUUGAUUCUCAGAACCCUACGAUAAUUGUACACGGUGUCUGAAAUCAUCAUUCUUAUACGGUGGGUCACGCCACCACAAAAAGUUGAAAAAUCUUCAAUUUAAGUUUUUCCUCAGUUUUGAAAUUUUUCAGUUUUUCAAAUUCUUCAACUUUUCAAAAUCUUCACUGGUUCCUUCGUUUUUCUUCAUUGGCUAUAUAUAUAUGAGUUUAUGUCCUCUACAGCAUUCACUUAUAGUUAUUUCUUCAAGCUGCUUUUUUUUCUGCUAAGUGAAUGUGAUCAGACCCUUCCCCCUCUAUGCUAUACUCAACCCAAUCUAUUCACAAAUUCUUCAUGUGCGUUCUAUUUGAAACUCGUUCAAAAUCUUCACUGUGUCAGCUGAAGAAAUUGCGAACAAAACUUUAAAACAAAUCUUAUCCAAAUUUUCGGUUUUGCCGCUCAAAUCGUUCCGCAUCCCACGAUGCAUUAUUUUACUCACCCACGAUCGUACACGAUCUCCACUACACAGUACGUGGGUGACACAUGUCGCGUGAAGGAGAAAGGGCAGGGGCACGUUCAUCCCAAAUCUUCGAGCAAACAGUUUUUCGCCGUGUCUAUAAAUACCCCUCUCCCUUUCCUCACUUCAUUUACUCCGCUCGAUCGCUUCUCUCCCGCUCGAGCUCCUCAAACCCUAGCGUCGCCGUUACUCCAUCGUCGCCGGUGAGGAAGAGCUUCACUACCUCGACCUCGUCGCCGUCGUACUCACGCCGACCGCGGAAAUCUUCACUCCGCCGCCGCCGUAGCUAUCUUCCUCCGCCGAGUUAGGGCAAGGAAGAUCUAACCUGACGAACUUCCCAUUCGUUCUUCUCAGUUCGUCGUGUUCUUCAUUUCGGGUAAUUAAAAGAUACUUUUAUUACUCGCUUUGAUUCUCAAGCUUUCCUGAAAAUCUUCAAAGGUGUUUAUUCCUCAAAUCUUCACACAUAUGAACACCACACACAUCAUAUGAACUUGAACUGUUUUUCUAAGCAAUCAUUUUCUUCAAGAUUCCCUAAUUGUGUGGAUCUUCGAUCUGUACAACUCUGGAACCUAAGACAAGAACGCUUAGUGAAAUUCUUCAAGGCACAUCUGGUCAAAUUCCUCAAAACUUGUUCUUUUCGAAAAACCUUCUCAGAACGCAUAUGACCUCUCCAAAUUCCUCGCACCUGAACUCUGUUCACAGGUACUCAUGUCUGCUGCUGAAUCACUAGGUUCUCAUCAACUUAACUCAUUUGCAGCGUUCCUCGAAGAAAAACUGCAUACUUCUUCAGAGAACUCAAUUGUUCAAAUUCCUCAACUGAAGAAUAUGGCAGAUGGUAAGAAGCCGCAGAAGGGAGGAAAGAAACCCGAGGUUAUGACUGUGUUUGAGAUCCCUGAGGAAAUUUAUGCUGACUAUUGCACACCAGAUGAAGCAAAAUUUGGCAAAGAAAACAAAAAUCAGCGUGAGGUGCGCAUUCAGAAGAUUGAACGGAGAUGGGCAAGGGAAUGGAGGGAAUACAGAUAUGUGACUCCAAAGUACAUGAAGAAAUUCGCCCUCAACCCUCCAUGCCCAAGAGCUCCAUUGGCACCUGGCCAAGUAGCUGAUCCCACAAGCAUCAAACGUGGUGAGGACUUUCCUGAAGAAUGGGCUAAGCGCCAAGCUAAAUUGGCAAGACAAGCCAAGGAGGAAGUGAAGAAAUUCAAUGAGGAUUCUGCCAAUGCUACUACUACUGAGGCCUCGGUCAAACCGAGGAAAUCCAUGCCAAAGAAGCCUGCUCGUAAGCCAAGUGCUUCACCAUCAGCGCCCUCACGGCCAAGUUCCUCAGCAGCGCCCUCAAGGCAAAUUCCUCACACUGCUACAGCUCCUUCAAAGUCCUCAGCUCCUGUGCAUCUGGCUACAUGUCAAAGGACUGCUGGUUUCUCGAUUGCCUCUGGUGUUUCAGCAAGUUCCUCAGCUGCACCAAUUUCAUCAUCUGGCCCGACUCUGCUGAAGACCAAAGCAACAGCUGGACGAGGUCCUCGGCCAAGUCCAAAGAAGAAACAGGUCGCAUUCCAUGUGCCUUCUGAUGAUGAAGCUUCUGAUGAUGAACUUGCGGAAAUCAUCAAAGACAGACAGGUGAAGGCCGCUAGAGCCAAAGGCACAUCUGUGCCACUGCUGUUAGAUCCGAGGAAAAUCCUCGAUUAUAUUGAUCUCUGGCACAAGGAUCCUAACCCCCCUAUGCCUGAUUUUCAUCUGACCCCUGGACAAAGUCAUAUGUUGACCCAUUUCAUCACUGAAGAGAAAUGGAAGUUUGAAAAGGCAAGAGAGAUUAAGAAAUCUCAAUACAGAAAGGAGAAGCUCCUGAAGAAAAACGUUGUCAGAAUGACACCUGAGGAACUUCUCCAGGCUCAGUCUGAAAUUCAAGCCCUCAGCAAGGACUUUGAUGCCUACUAUGCUGAUUGGCAAGGAGCCAGAGUUAGAUUCGUCAAUCUGACGAAGAAAUUCACCAAUGUUGCUGCCCCAACGCAACAUGAAAUUCCUCAGGCUGAAGCCUCAGCUCAGCCGACUGAAGAACAUGCCAGCACCGCUGAUGAAGUUCAGGCUGCUGAUGAAAAUGCUAGUUCCAGGGCUGAUGAUCCCAUUCCAGCCACUGAAGAAAUUGCCAGGGCAUCCACUAGUGGUGCGGCUGAAGAAACUAAAGAAGUCAGGGCAACUGCAUCAGUUGCGCCUGAAGAAAUUCAACCAGAUUCUUCAGCUCCAUAUGAACCUACACCAACACCAAUUCUUCCAUGUGCAUUUGAUGUGAAGAAAACCAAGGCUGCAGAGCGAGCUGCAGUGAAGAAAAGGAAGGCAUCAGCUGUGUCAAAUUCUUCGGUUGCGAAGAAAAUGAAGCCAAUGACCAGCUCACUCAAAAAUCCAAUUGAUGUUGUUCUGAUUUCCUCCAUGCCGUCAAAGGACCUUGUUCCUUUUGGAGAAGACUAUGAGAUCCCCAUCGGAUCUGAUGAAGAACAUCAUUCUGCUGCUUCGUCAGAGCAGAUUGAUGAAGAAAUUGAAGUGGACGCAAUCCCUUCAACGCCAGUCAUUUCCUCACCUAUGCCUCAGCUCACAGCUGAAGAGGCUGGUGUUGAGGAAAUUGAAGAAGAAGAUGUGGAUAUAGGGUGCACCACACCUGUGAUGAAUGAUGACUUUUGGGAAAGUCAACAUCCCAAUACUCCUCUCUUCACCCCGCUCCAACAGAUUCCUCAGUCCCCUGCACCAACAGUUCAAAUGGGCUCUGAAAAAACUCAACCCACUCGCUCUGUGCAUGAAGAAAUUCCAGCCACUAGUGCUGAUGAACCUGCUGCUGCUGAUCCUCAGACUGCACCUGUUGAGGAACAAGAAAUUCCUCAGCCUGAAGAACCUGAGCUCGCGAUUCCUGAGGUGGUGAUGCAACUCACUGACACCCCUCUGCCAAAGCAAAAGAAUCCGUUCUCAAGCAAACAGAAGUUCAAGGCUGAAGAUUUCUUUGCCGAGCACGUAUUCUUCACUGAUUAUAAUCCAUAUGAUUCUGCUCGCAUAAGGAAGAGGCGUUUCUGGACUGCCAGCCAAGCCAAUUUCUAUUCCUCAGUGCUCUUCAACAAAGACAAAGUCUUCGAUCAUGCACAUAUUCCUCAUGUGGACAUGGAGUCUCUGCCCGGCUUUGAGCCAGUCCUCACGACGCAGGACUUCUGAAUUUCUGCAUUGAUAUCUAUGACUGGAAUGAAGAACUCAUUCUUCAAUUCUAUGCAACUCUGCACAUCACCGGAGAUGCUGAAGACGUGAACUCAUGGGUAUUAGACUGGAUGUCUGAAAAUACUCACUACAAGGCACCAGCAACUGAAUUGCUUCAUGCCCUACCACUCAGUCCUCCACUUGAUGAUGCUCGUUGUAUCUACAACGAACCAGAACUUUCAACUCACUAUAUGCAAGUGCUGAUGAAGCCUUUGAAGCCAAGGCAGGCCCCACGAACCAAAUUCCUCGUCAAGGAAUUACUCUAUGUGCCUCGGACUGUCUAUCGAAUUCUGACGAAGACAAUGAGUCCCAUCAAAGGCCACGACUCAAAUGAUGAAGAAGUCGUUGGCAUCAUGAAGAAUAUGAUUUUCAACAUCAUUCAUGGCGUUCCCGUCAACUUCCAUGAUUUCUUCAUGAGGACUCUGGCCAAUAUUGCUAUGUCACCAUUCGAGCUGAAGCCCUAUGCUCCUUGGAUUAUGAGAUUCAUCAGGGCAAGAUCUUCACUGAAUUACAAAGCUGACACUCUGAACCACGGUAGCUACUUGCCUCCCAUUGAAGUCCUCAAACGGACAGUUUCAUCAGCUGAUGAUAAAGGCAAGGCCGCUGCUGUGAUCGAUGAAGGCAUUCAUCCAUUGGAUGGUCAAUUUCGCAAGGCUGCAUCUUACUCUACCAAUGACGAUUCCGCCACACAUGACUCUGCCGCAAAUACCUCAGCCAAGCAAACUCCUCAAGCCACAGCACCCAGGGUGAUGAUUGAUCGUGAGUUACUCCUCAGUCUUCAUCAGAAGGUUGAUCGCAAUCAUAAAUGGGUCAAGCGUCAGUUUGGUUCAAUUCUUCACAACAUGACCUUAACACACAAUGCAGUGAAGAAAAACCAAUACUACCUCCAUGAAACCUUCAACCGCACCUGGGCUGUUCUCUCUCAUGUCUACAGCGUUGCAGAUCUGAAGAAUAUGGGUCUCAAGGAAGAAUUUGACUGGUCUGCACCUCCACCGAAGAAAUUCAAGAAGGUCAAAGUUCCUUCCUUGGUGGCCAGCUCUUAUUCUUCAUCGUGGGACACUGAUGAGUAUGAAGAUUUGGACGACACUGCGGCAGGCCCUGCUACAACAAACAACCCCGACAACGCUGGCGCUCCUCCAUCGACUUGAAAUUCUUCAGGGGCGUUAGUCCUUAGUUUCAAUCCUUUUGGUCAUUUGAUUACAAAGGGGGAGAAAUCUGAGUUAGUCUUCAAACGGGUCUAUAUUAAGGGCAUUUUUUUAAGUUACAACUCUCGUUCUUCUGAAACUUUUAUUUGGAUCGAGUUGUAAUCUUAAACCCGAUGGUGCGCUGAUACUUUUGUUGCAUUAUGCUCUGCAUGCUUAUUCCUCGUUAAUGACAUUGCACGCAUGCUGAAUCUCAUCAGGCACCAUAUUUCAUCAUGCAUUUAAAAUUCUUCAUAUUAUAUAUCAAAUGCGUGUAUGAAUUACAAGAUAUAGGGGGAGAUCUCCAUGAUUCAACUCUUCAAAUGUGCAUUGCCUCAAAAGCAAAUUCCUCACUAUGCACAUCUUCAGGGGAAGUUCUACUAUAUCUUGUAAUCAAAUUCCUCAAAUCAGUGUAUACACUUCAUAUGUUUAUCCCCGUUGAAAACUUAACCUAUGUUGUCAUCAAUCACCAAAAAGGGGGAGAUUGUAAGUGCAUCUAGUGCCCCUUAGUGAUUUUGGUGUAUUGAAGACUUAUAGGUUAAGGGACUAAUGCGUUUGUGAGUGUACACAGGUCUAUAAGUCUAUGAGGAGUUUGAUAUUUACAAAGAAAGUCGACCCCUAAAAAUAAAGUUCUUCAAUUGAAGACUUUGAUAUUCUGAAGACUUUCUGAAGACUUUGAAAGUGAAGAAAUUGGUGUGACCUUGAAGACUUGGUAUUCAUUUGUGGAGCAUGAAGCGUGAAGACUUUUGUUUUCGUAGUUUCAUUUUCACCUUCUUGAGUCAUAGGAAACACCGUACUGUUAAAGGGGGUCGAGGAAAUACUAAGGAAAAAUUUCCAUGUGAUGCUCAACUCAAAUCCUACACCUACCAAUCCCUUCGAGUGAAGCCUUUGGAACUCUCAUACAGUUCAGUCACUUUCUUCAGUGACAGAGACGAGGUUCUCCUGGUCGCUGAUGAAUUUGUUCUGACUGGGGAGUUAGGAAUUCGUCAGUGCGAAUUACCUACAUAGUGAGGAACAUGAUAGCCCUGAGGAAUUUGAGAGUCAAAUUUCCGACCGUUGCUGUGCUGCGCGCCAGCUGUCCCAAAAUAUCUUAUCCACCUAACGGUCAUAUCAUUGACGGGCAUUUAUGUCUUAUCAUGUUGGGCUGCUCCCUAGGCUAUAAAUAGCCGCCCCCUACAACCACUAGCUGGUUGGCUGCUCCGAGAGAACUUGACACUUGUCAUUUGAGAGCAACCCAUCCUCCGAGGACUUUGAGCUAAAAUCAUCGAGUAAGGAAAACCCAAAACCAAACCCCUACAAACCCAAAGUGAUUGAGCAUCACUGAAGAAAUUGAUCCUGCGUGGAUCCGACGCUUGUUACCUUUGAAGACUGUGCUUCUUCUAGACGGUUAGGCGUCAAGGUCUAGAGCAUCCAAGAGGAAUUGUGGAUCGCCGAGUGACCAAGUCUGUGAAGGUUUGGAAGUCGCCUGAAGACUUACCACGAGUGAUUGGACGAGGUCUGUGUGACCUUAGUUCAAGGAGAAUACGGUGAGGACUGGGUGUCCUGAGCUGCGUGCUCAGCGACUGGGUGUCCGGGACUGCGUGUCCUCGAGUUUAAAUACUCAGCCGCUCCAACCAGACGUACAACUGAGACAACAGUUGGAACUGGUCUACCAAAUCAUUGUCUUCGCCAACCUAACUGGUUCUAUUUCCUCAACCCUUUCAUUUCCUCAUUACUGUGUUGAGUGUUUGUUCAUAUCUGUGUUUGAAGACUUUGACUGAAGACUCUCUCAAUUUCCUCAGUUCAAUUUCUUCAGUCUGUUUGUCUUCAUCUUGUGUUAUCCUGUGAUUACGCUUUCUGUACUCUGUGCUAGUCUUCAUUUCAUCAUGAUGACCAUGCUUGUAUUCUGUUAUGCUUACUUCUGAGUACUUAUUCCGCUACUAAUAGUUCUUCACUAAGGAAUUUCCUCACCGGCAAAUUCCUCAGUGAAGAAUUCAUAAAAAUCGCCUAUUCACCCCCCCUCUAGUCGACAUAACGCACUUUCAACUGAGUCCAUGCGUGCAGCUAUGAGGUCAUCCACCAUGCAGUCGAAUGCUAGGGCUCGGAGGUACUCGACAAGCAUCUCAAAGGCUUCGUCUUUCUCUCCUCUGGGGCAAGAGAAAGAGUAGUGACAGGUGUAAGGCACAUGGCAUGGAAGGUAGCGGUAGCGACGGGUCUUCAUUGCAGGAAGAACAUCCCGAAGACGGGCUAUCGUCUCGCGGGCAGCCAUCUGCAUAGCAUUGCCUUUCUGUAGGCAUGGCUCUCCCCACGAAUCGGAGGCGGUGUAUUUCAGCAUGGCCUCCCCUGAACUGCACCGCGGCCUGGUGCAUAGUCAGACUGUCGUUGAUCUUGUGUGGAUAAAGCAUGAAGACUGGGCGCACGGAUGGCCCCAUCGCGACCUGAACGAUGAAGGAGAGGAGUUUGACGAACCCCUCAGGCACGUUGGCGAACAUUUGAGACUCGCAGUCGUUGCCGGCCAUCUACAAAAGUAGGCAAAAAUUCUGAAUGAUCAGAUCAUAAAUUUUAUGCUGACUGUCAGAAAAAUGACUACAUUUGUAAAAACAUGAAUAACUCUAUCAUGCUAAUAACCAAUUAGCGAUCGCACCUAGUGGCUUCCUACAGUCAGCCUGGCUCUGGUACCAAGUCUGUCACGACCGGCUUUUCAAUAAAAAUAUUUAUUGAUAAAACCGAUCUUUUAAACCCAGUAUAGGAAAAGUCAUCCUUUCUGGUAGACAAAAGCUUGAUAAACAAAGAACCAGUAGCAGCAAAUAUAUUACAGGGUUGAGCUGAGGCUGCUCAACAAUUUAUCACAAACUCGCCAAUAUCUUACAUAAGGGCGGUUAUGACACAGGGGUGUGGUGGCAUGCUACUAGCUCGAGGAAAUGUGGUGGUGGAUAACUUGACUUCUACUGGCAGCUCAUCGAGCGUCGAGGUGAGGCUCGAUGAAUUUAUUUCGGGGUUGCGGAAGCAGAUAAUACAAUGACCAAGACAGGAUCGCACAGGACUGACUGGGACUCCUCUAGGCGUCGGACUCGCUAUCAAACUCGUCAUCCAUGAGAUCGCCUUCAUCAAUAUCUGGCCAAAUCAACAAGCCAGGUGAGUACUUGAAAGUACUCGCAAGACAGUUCGGCCAAAAGAUAUAAUCAAUGAAUGCAUAAAUGUGUCAUGAAUAAAGGAUGAUGCUCAUAUAACAACAGUAAGAUUUGCAGGACUUGAUAAAUAAAAUAAACAACUGAAAACCGAUCGGAUGUCUGGAGCGACGCCUCGAAAGGUAAAUAAAUAAAAUGCAUGCCGCAGUCGGGCGUCUAAGCGACACCACAUAAAGGGAUUAAAAGAAAUGCCACAGUCGGACGUCUGGGCGACAUCGCAUAAAGGGCUUUAAAAGAAAUGCCACAGUCGGACGUCUGGACGACAUCACAUAAAGGGCUUUAAAAUAAAUGCCAUAGUCGGACGUCUGGGCGACAUCACAUAAAAAGCUUUAAAAGAAAUACCACAGUCGGACGUCUGGGCGACAUCACAGAUAGGGCUUUAAAAGAAAUACCACAGUCGGACGUCUGAGCGACAUCACAGACAGGGCUUUAAAAGAAAUACCACAAUCGGACGUCUGAGCGACAUCACAGACAGGGCCUAUAAUAAAAGUAAAUAACAGGUCUGCCACCGUCGGACGUCUGAGCGACAUCGCAGACAGGGCUUAUAACAAAAGUAAAUAACAGGUCUGCCACCAUCAGACGUCUGAGCGACAUCGCAGACAGGGCUUGUAAUAAAUGUAAACAACAAGAUUAGUCCAUCCACAAGAAUAAUCCUUUAACCGGAUUUAUCACACAUAAAUCCCACCGGAGUUUUGUCACUGAGGCUGAUACCUGACAAGAUAAGAUGAAUAUAGUACUUGAACUAAGUACAAUAUAAUUGAAAGAUUUAGGACUCUGCAGAGUUUGGAUGAACUGACCACAGCCAACGGAUUUCCCUAGUCACGAAGGACUAGUUCCGUGUACGGUAUUUCAGUAGAAAGACAUUUAACUAGUACACACCCAUUUCACCUCACGAUGCCAGGAAUCACCCUGGACAACGUCCAAGAAAAACUUUGAGACGGGGAGGCCACAACCUCGAAUAGCAUGGGAUCAAAUUUCUAUACGCGCGCUCUAAGGGGUGCCCCCCUCUCGGUCCCAACCGGAAACACCCAUGCCCACUGACCGGAUGACGGGCUUUAAUCCAGGGCCAUGGAACCCCCACCCCGGCCUCUCUAUUUGGUGUGUACCAGGAAAAUAAUUUGCAACUUACUAUGCCAUAUUCCUUUCGGAAAACAUGUGACGGUAGGAAGGAAUGAAUGGAAUGUGAUUUGUUUCACGAUGACACGGAAGUCAAAUAAUCUGGCAUAAGACUGGCAAUGUCACAACACUGCCAUCUUACCCAUCCUCAUGCCAACACAUGGCUCUGCAAAUAUGUAUCCAACAACAUAAUGCUUUCUGAAACUUACUUUCCGAUUAUGUGCAUGAAACAUAACAUUUAAAGUGAUGUUCCUAAACAUGCCAUGACCAUACUACAAUGCAAACAUGCAACAACACUCAUCAUAUCAAGAGUUCAAAUAUGCUUGCCUGGUUCGGAGUAGUCGGAGUCUAACCGUGCGAAGUUUGCAGCUCAGUCACCUCCUCCGGUAUCUACGGUAUAAGAAAAAUACAUACGCAACGUAAAUACCGUGAGUGUACAGAAAAGUGUUCCAAAUAUUUUUCAAAUAAAUAUGAUAAAAACUAUACAAAAAUUUGAAGAGGACAGAAAAAGAAACACUCAAAAAUUCCUUUCUGUUAAAAAGUUAUAAGGGUUUUAACCCAAGGACCCAUCUGUAAUGAAACAGAAAACUUCCAGGGGGCUUUGCAGAAAAAUCCAGAAAAACGGUUCAGAGUGGAAGCGUAUUUGUCCGAGUACGCUUUCAGUAACUGAUUCAAAAAAACAAAGGAGAGGCUGACGGGCGGGUCCCACCCGUCAGGUUUGAAAUUUCAAACGAGGGAGUCGGGGCUCGUCGGCGCCCGAGAGCGGCGGUGGUCGCCGGCGGCGGUCCACGGCGAGGCAGGGAGAUCGGAGAGUACCUCCAUGUUCAGGGCACCAUUCCGCGUCUGUGGGAGGUGGUGGUGGUCGCCGGCGAGUACCACGUCGGCGGCGACGUUUGCUCCGGCGGACGGCGAUUCGGGUGGUCGUGGACCUCGUCGGAGAGAGCUGCGGAGGUGGAAUUGGGGAGGGGGUUAGACUCGCGAUAGCAUGAGAAGGUAUCUGACGAGGUUAGGGCGCCGGGAUGACCUCACCGGAGUGGACGAUGCCGGAGCCCGAGGCGGACGGAGGUGGCCGGAGUCGAGGAGGAAAGGCCCCUCGAGGCUCAUUCAAUGGCUGGGCGGGGUCUGGUGAGGUGGUGGAGUCGUGCAGGGGAGAGAGCAAGCUCGGGGUGCUAUAUAUAGCCGCCCCGAGGCGGUUGUCGAGAACGGGGUUCUCCGGCGAGGUGAUUACGGCAGCGCUGCGGUUGCACGGGAGGGUUCAGAGGUUGAGCGUCGUCGUGGGUGUCCCCUGGUUCCGUUUUGGUGCUAACCGCGUCGGGAUUUGGUUGCUUAGGGGGAGCUCGACGGAACGGGGCGGUGCGGCCCGUCAGCGGCAGGGAGCACGCUCUGUGCGUGCCGCGCCACGGCGACGGUGCUGCAUGCGUGCGCUGGCGAGGAAAUGGCCACGCGGAGCCACCAGGGGGUUUGGGCGGCGCCGAACGGCGUUAUGCCGCCGUUCUGCUCCCUGUCGGCCGCUACGGUGAUUCGGCCGCCGCAAAGCACGCCGGCGCAGGCGGGCCAGGGCGCCACCGAUACCAGGAAGGCGCCAAGCGCGCGUGUGAGGCUCCGGACAAGCAAGCUAGGCCGUGAGCAACGUGCCAAGUGCACUGUGAGCAUGUGACUGAAAUUCUGACGAAAAUCGACACUGAACUCUGAACUUAACUGAAGAUGAACAGAAACAGUGCAUGCAAGGUGUUCGACAGAAUGAUCUAGGCAUGUAGGGAUUUUUGCCUGAGCUGGUUUUUGGUGGAGGGGCCUCUCAUUGCAUCUAUAGGCUGCAUGAAUAUUUGUGGAAUUUUUGGAGAGGUGUACAUAUGAAUUUCACCAAAUUUGGCAAAUCUGGUCCAAACUUGCAGUGGGUGAAAAUUGAAAUAUUUGAACUGGAGAAGAGUGGAUCAAGAUGGUUCUGGGUUUUGGGUACAAAGGACUAUCCAGGGGUGUUGAGUUGAGGUCAAAAGUCAAAAGCAUUAGGGUACUUGCUUUGCAAUCCACCUAGGCUCAAAAGAAAAGACAGAAUUAUUUUGGGAGGAGAAAUAAUUGGAAUAAAAUCCAAAAAUUGAUUUUAUUAGUUUGGACAGAAUGUUUGGGUUGUACCAAAGUGGGAGGAGAGGUUUUGGGAAAAUUUCACCAUAGGAGGCAUGGUAAAAUUUAGAAGGGAUCAAAACCAAAUUAAAAGCCCAAAAACUAAAAGGGUUUUCUUUUUAAAAGAAACUAAAUCCAAGAAAAGGAUUUUUGAGAGGGCAAACUUAGAAGAUGGUUUUUAGGAAGGGUUUAAGUGACCUUCUUUCAAACCAAGCAAGGUUUUUCUGAAAACAAAAAAAUCACAAAUUUUUUGGAGUGUCACAUGGAGCGGCUUCGUCUUGCACGGAGCUUCGGUGGAGAUGUCAAGUCAUGCGUGACCGACAGGUGCUACGCUUGGUCAUGCUUGGUCGGCAGGUGCUACGCACGACAGAUCCUCCAAGGGCUUCAAGCUAUGUCGACUGGUGGUACUUGACAGCAUGGCGCUGAGAUGCAUCAGUGGCGACCGCGACGUGUUCAGCUGUUUGCGCAGGGAGGAGGUGCCGUUGGGCACCGUGGUGGCGUCGACGAUAGCUGGACCGAGCAAGGUUGAUGCAUCAGUAUAGUUCUGAAGAUGGAGCGGUGGCAGUUGGCGGCGGCGGCCUCUGAGAGCACGCCGGACCAGUGUGUGCCCCAGACCCGGCAAGUAGCUAGGUUGGGGCCUCAGGUCUUAAAUGUUAGGCUUGGCUGCGAUGUUUGUUUGGUAUUAGGCCCAGGCUAUCUGCGCCCCUUCAUCAACUGGAUAGGUGUAGCGACAAUUUGUUGCUUAGAUGACGGCUUUGUAAGGUCUUAUGGGAAUAAUUAAUAAAAUGGUCGUAUGCAUCACCCGGAUGCAGAGGCCGGGGGUCAUCCUCCUUUUCUAUAAAAAAAGGAAGAAUCACAUAGAACUCACCCUUAUGCAUAAAAGUGUACCUGUUUGUUCGCCUUGAUGAAGAGCGUUAACAUCAUGUUAUCACGGACGCCCCAAAAUAAGGUGACAAACAUGUAGUGGCAUAACGUCGCAUUCCACCUUAUCAACAUAGUCAUCAAUAGAAAAAGGAACCUUCAUCCUGUGAGUUACCUUCACUUUGCCAAUAUCAUUUAUCCACUUCAUAUAGUAUGGCCUUGGGUGCUCCCAUGUUGGCAACACAAGAGACUCCAUCACAUCCUUGCUAAUCAUGUUGUUAGCACUGCCACCAUCAAUUAUCAGUUUGCAAACUUCUCCCUUGAUGGUACAUGCAGUUUGAAAAAUACUCCAUCAUUGUCCUAGUUCAACAAUGGUCUUGUCAUCUCGCUGGACCUUAUGUGCUAGCAUACUCUCCAUAUCAGGAUCAUCUUGAGGAUAACACAAUAUGGUAUCAUCAUGAGCUUUCAAUUCCAUCCUCUAACUUAGACUUCUCAUCUUCAGAUUCUGAAAUAUAUUCCGCAUCAACUAGUAGAACCCUUUGUUGAUUGGAACAUUCAUGCUUCAUGUGUCCACGUCCUCCACACUUGUGGCAAAUAAUAUUACGAUGAUGAGAUGACGUUGCAUUAGAUGAAACCUAAGAAACCUCCUUUGACGCAGCCGCCACUUUGCUUUGUUCAAUGCUUCCCGUCUUAUAAGAAGUAGUCGGUUUAGCACUAAACCCACCAUCAAUAGGAGAAGAAACACGUCGCCCACUGUUGUAAGUUGGACGAGUCUCUGAAGCAUGCUUCUCCAAUAGCCAACAUUCAGCAUGCUCCACUUGAUAAAGCAACUCAUGAAUAUCAUUAUAUUGCAUUAAAUCAAUACGGUCACGAAUCUUUUCUUCUAACCCCUCAAAGAAACAUACCAUGGUCGCCUCCGCAGACUCACGUACAGCUGUACGGAUCAUCAAAACUUGCAUCUCUUUAUAGUACCCAUCAACUGAUUUUGUACCUUGCACUAGACGACGCAGUCUACUGUGAAGCUGGCGAGUGUAAUAAGCAGGCACAAAACGUUCCCUCAUGAUUCACUUCAUGUCAGCCAUGUCGCUGGUCGCUCGUGAGUACGGUUCUUAUUAUCCCACCAUACAAGAGCGUACUCCGUACAUUCCAUUGAUGCAACACGAACCUUCUUCUCUUUGGAGUAGUUGUGACCAUCAAAAACCUGAUUUACGCGCAUCUCCCAAUUCAAAUAUUUCUCCGGGUCAGCACAAUGUCCAGAGAAUUCAGGUAUGGUUAUCUUGAUUCGACCCAAACCAUCAUCCUCGUGGGCACCAUUGUCGCCAUAGUCACGGCGCCGCCCAGCAUGGCAGUGAGCCCCAACAUCAUGUCGUGGUCGGUGAGGUAAGCCUCCACGGGCAUCAGAAUUAUCAGAAAAAUCACCAUCGUCGUCAUUGUCACGGUCACAACGUCGUCGUGGUGAGCGGGACUGUCGGGGUGCCACAUCUCUCGCCUGAAGGCACUGAACUACUGCGGUGAGCCGAUUAAGACUCUCAGUCACCACCUGUAGACUAUGAGUGUGUCGUCGGUCGCUGGCUGUCAAACGCUCGUUCAACUUGUCCUCGACGCUGACAAUAUUUGUAGACAAUUUCUCAACCCUUGUCCCAAGCUUCUUGUUGGCUCUCUUGAUCGACAUCAGAUGGAUACACAAAUCAUCACUUAUCUCUAGUCCCUCCGGAAGCUCAUCGACCUCCUCAUGAUUAGAUUUCUCAUGUUGCGAGUUCACCAUCUUUCAAACAAUUGACUCAAAUUAUAGGAAAAAAAUUAUACCGUGAUCAACCUUGCUCUGAAUAUCACUUGAUGCGACCGUUGAUAGAAAAACAAUGGCGCGAAUAAUUUGCCCAAUCUUUCACGGUAUGAUGUCACCUGAAACAGCGUGGCGCUCGCGAUCUUGUAGAUGCAAUCACCACGAAAACAACACGCACAUCCGAGAGAGGAAGUAGGUGGACGAUCUUCAGCAAAUCAGCAGAAAUUGAAACUCUAGAAUCAAUCUCAGACCUAAAUCACAAAGCCUCAAUAGCUAUCAACAAAUAUUCAGCGACGGCUUGAAGAUACCCCGAGUUGCCGAUCUGUCCAUCGAUGGAAAAAUAACCUAGCCAAAAAAGCUGACUCUCGUACACGGCCGACCUGGCCUUUAAAAUAGUGCUCGCAGGCACGUCAGGCUAGCCCGACUCGUUUCCUAAUUUCCAAGAUGACUUGGACUCUAACAACCACGUAACAAACUAGGUACGCUAAGGAAAACUAUAGUCUUUUUCGUUUUUCCUAUCUAACUAAACAAGAUUUAACUAAUUUAAUUAUCCGGCAAGCUGAUCACAAACAUCCAAUCUUUCCUUGUAGCUUCUCAUGUAGAACUCAAACUUGGACAUUAGUCGCCCCAAUCAUCAUUGUUCAGUAUCGUGAUUAUUAGGAAAGACGAGAUCGACUAAAAUUUGUUCUCAUUUGUCUUAUACUUCAAGUAGAUCAUUGUACAUUUAUAUAUAUGCCCACGAGGCUUAAACAAUACAACGAACUAUUCCAUCAAACCUCUUUCUCCUUUCUAACAUGGUAUUAGUUUCCGGGUUCUAAACCAAGCCGCCGCUUCCUCACCCGCGCGCCGCCCCUCGGGCGGCCGGCCUCCAUGACCGCCGUCGGGGGCCGCGCCGCCCAUACCUAGGGUUCGUCCGCCGGUCGUGUUGACCGACUGCCCUAGAGAGUCUUUUCCCCGAGCCCUUGCUCCGGGGUUUUCUCUCUCCCGCCGGUCAUCUUGAUCGGCGGUUUUCUUUUUGGUUUUCCGAUCUAAUCUUGAUCGGUUUGCAUCGCCCACCGCCGUCGUCGAUCUCGUGCGCCUCUACUCCAACCCCGGCGCGAUCGGCCGGCUUCUUCACCGACCAGGCGGCCCCGCGGGUCGUCCGCGCGUCUGCCCACCGGUCGCCCCGACCCAGCGGCCUCGCGCGUCGUCCGCACGUCCACCCUGUGGUUGCCCCGACCCGGCGGCCUCGCGUCAUGCGGCGGCCCUUCACCGCCACCGUUCGCGCGGCGGCCUACCCGUCGAUCUACGCCGGCCGUCACCGCCCUGCUCCGAUCGGGACUCCUGCAUCACCCCGACCUGGCGGCCUCGCGCCAUGCGGCGGCCAAUCAUAGUCGUCUUGCCGCCCGCCGUCGCCGGCUUCAUCUCGGACUCCGUCGCCGGAUUGAUCACCCGCCCGCCACCGCGAUCUGCCUCAUCUACGCCGUGCGACCGACCUGGCCCGUCGGUUACGCGCGCCUCCGCAGGUCCCGUGAAGAUCGUCCCCGAGUUCAGCGCGCUUCUCCAUCGAUCGAGCAUUGAGCUACCACUGCGUCGCCCCGUCGGGCCGCAGAACCGCCGCCCCGUGGUUCUCCUCGCGGCUGCAUCGACCCGUGCGUCGCCGUUGCGUCGCCCCUUCGGGCCGUAGUGUCGCGAUACGCGGUCCCCGCCGCCGCCCCGAGGUCUUCCCGCCGUCGCCCCGACCCUCCUGCCGCCGCUGCGUCGCCCCUUCGGACCGUAGCACCGCGGCCCGCGAUCCACUCCGCCAUCACCGCGCGUCGACCUCCCGUGGUAUGCGCCGCGCCGUCUCCCUUGGCACCGGAACGCCACCGUCCGCGCCGAUCUUCGUCAUGCUGUCAGGGUUCUUCGCCUACUUCGAGCACCACCGCCGCACUCCUAACCUAGCCGCUGCCGCCGCCGUCAGGCCGCCACCGCCGCUCUUCUUUGGCCGCCGCCACCGCUACCUUCGUAGCCGCCGCACUGCCCGUCCACCCCCUUCGGUCUUCGUCCAAGCACCAGCCCGUCGCCAGCGUCGCCGUCAUAUCCCGACCACUUCGUCUACUCCGACCACCGUUGGGACAUCGGUCCCGCACCGAUGGGCGUCGCAAUCGUCGUCGAGUUCUUCUCUGCUGGCCCCUCCGACUUCUCCGACAUGGCGUACAGCUCGUGCAAGUCCCUCAUCUACGCAUGCCCGGUGCUGGCAACACCGAUGCGUGCCUUCAUCCGCGACGUGUCCCCGGGCCUGGCAAGCUUGGUCGGCGCUUUGUCAACUUCGUCUUCGUCCGUCUACGCAUGCCCGGUGCUGGCAAUACCGAUGCGUGCAUUUGUCCAUGAUGUGUCCCCGGGCUUGGCAAACCCGUCGCAACGCGUCGUCAACACCAUCAUCCUUCCGGCGCACCACUACCUCGUCACCAUUGCACCCAUGACUAACUCGGCGCCCUCUUGCGUCUGCGGCUCCAUGAAGACUUCCUCGACACCGACUACCCCGACUCGACAAUGACCACGACAUUCUUCGCACGACUACCUCGACCACGGCUCCACCACCCACGCUCUUGGCUACCUCGACAAACGGCACAAAGGGCUAUCGCCUGNNNNNNNNNNNNNNNNNNNNNNNNNNNNNNNNNNNNNNNNNNNNNNNNNNNNNNNNNNNNNNNNNNNNNNNNNNNNNNNNNNNNNNNNNNNNNNNNNNNNNNNNNNNNNNNNNNNNNNNNNNNNNNNNNNNNNNNNNNNNNNNNNNNNNNNNNNNNNNNNNNNNNNNNNNNNNNNNNNNNNNNNNNNNNNNNNNNNNNNNNNNNNNNNNNNNNNNNNNNNNNNNNNNNNNNNNNNNNNNNNNNNNNNNNNNNNNNNNNNNNNNNNNNNNNNNNNNNNNNNNNNNNNNNNNNNNNNNNNNNNNNNNNNNNNNNNNNNNNNNNNNNNNNNNNNNNNNNNNNNNNNNNNNNNNNNNNNNNNNNNNNNNNNNNNGGUGUGUCCGUCGUCUUGCCUUCGGAUUCUUCUCCAGUCUCACCGUCUGCGUCGCUACCGUUGUGACUGGGGGGGAUGUUGAGUAUCGUGAGUAUCGUGAUUAUUAGGAAAGACGAGAUAGACUAGGAUUUAUUCUGGCUUGUCUUGUACUUCAAAUAAAUCAUUGUACUCCUUUAUAUAUGCCCACGAGGCUCAAGCAAUACAACGAACUAUUCCACCAAACCUCUCUCUCCCUUCUAACAAUCAUAUAUGUACAUGGUGUCCUGAAACAUGGCUUCACCUCAUCUUGUGGAAAAAUAUCAAACGCCAUUUUUCCAAACCGAAGCACGAAAGGAUUUUUAAACCGGCGCCCAAACGUAUUAAGGGUGUUAACCUCGUUUUCACUCUGUGUCGUUCCAUUCCAACGGACUCUCUGGUGAAUAUUUUGUGUCUCUUUUUGUUGGCGCAGUGCUGGAACAAUAUAUUUUGAUGUUUCAUAAACAGCUUGCAAACGAUCAUUGCGAAAAUUAGACAAGGGCAUAUCAGCAGCUCCGUAAUGUGGCAUUCAUACCCCAAUGACUUGUCAAGUUUUAGUCAAAACAGUAUCCAUUAGGAUGAAAACCAUAAAAAGCGGUAUGAGGAACUAAACUUAUCUGGUUUGAGAAGUUGAGGGACCUAGAUUUGCUGGUUUUGGAGUUGAGGGAUCAUUUCUAUACUAUCGAGAGAGUUGAGAGAUGAAAAAUAUACUUUUCCCUUCCCUGGCAGUCAAACCCCAAUGACUUGUCAAGUUUUAGUCAAAACCGUGUCCAUUAGGAUGAAAACCACAAAAAGCGGCGUGAGGAACUAAACUUAUCUGGUUUGAGAAGUUGAGGGACCUAGAUUUGCUGGUUUUGAAGUUGAGGGAUCAUUUCUAUACUAUCGAAAAAGUUGAGUGAUGGAAAAUAUACUUUUCCCUUCCCUUAUAACAGAGCCCGAAUGAGAAUACCAUAGUCUAGAAACCAAAUAAAAUUUAAUUUAUCACAAAUAUAUUGCCGAUACAUCAAAGCUGGCUCACGUGAAGUAAAUAUAUACGGGCUGGACUGGUGGCGGGCAGUGACGUCCACGUCUCUACUCAAUCCUCACCUCUCGUCCAGCUGGCAGGCAUGCAUGCAUGCGGCCACUGGUACGGCGACACGUGUGCUGGCACGUGUCGGGACGCCGCAGCGUGGCGCUCACAGCUCAGCGAGGCUGCCGUGUUGUUUGGCCGAUCGAUCUUAUCGGAACCAGCGAGCAGCAAACGGCGGCGACGACGAUGCACCGUCGCUAUAAAUAUGUACGUAUUACCUCCAACCAAAUAUAGAGAUCCACGUAUGAUCGAUGGGUGAUCUGGGGCGGCUGGUGUACGGGGUGGCGUUCGUCGCCGUCGCCGGCGUCUUCUUCCUCACCCUUCACCUCUACCUCGCGCCCCUCCUCUACCUCUGCUCCAGCUAGCGACGGACGCCAUGAUGUUGUCCUGGCUGUGGCUCUGUCGUGGUUGUUAGGCGGCGGUUUGUGGUUGGCCGAUUCGUGCUUGUCUCCGGAAGAAAUCCUCUUUCUGGUCUUAAGCCGGAUCCGGCGAAGGCGACGGCGACACGCGCGGGCGUCGUACUCUUUCCUGGAAGCAUCGUCCGGAAGCUGUGCUCCUUCCCUCUCCUCACGUCCAUGUCUUCGGAAGUUGUGCUCCUUCCCUCUCCCAUGGCCGCCACAGCUUCGGAGGGGAACUUAGAUCCGUUGUAUCGUCUCGAAGCAGCGGCCUCUUGCCCGCGUGCUUUGCUGAGGUGUUGGCUUCUUUUGGCGACGAUGAUGGCGUCAGGAGGAGUUAGGGUCGAGGCUCGGCUUCGAUAGCCGGAUUAGCGUGUUUGAUGUGCUUUUACGUGGUUUGCUUUAUUGUUGCCAAAUCGGAAAUGCGGUUGGGCAAGUCCAGGUAGAGGUAGUGACGAUGACAUUUGAUCGUCUGCGGAGGGCUUGCUUGCUCUGAACCCUGCAUAUUUCCCUUGUGAUUUGUGAUACUCGUCGUUAAAGUUGUAGUGGUUUUUUUGCCAUGGCCCAUAAGCCGAGAGUCCCUGUCGGACGCCCAUGUGCGUCAAGAAGCUCUGGCUUCACACAGGGUCCAUCCAACUGGGCCGGCCCAAUUACAGUUCCAAUAAAAAACAAUGCUUGAACACUGUAGUGGGACGGUUCUGUACCAUCCGCUUCACUGUAGCGCCACGUUUUAUUUUCGAAUAUCUUGAACAUAUGAAUAUAUACGCUGAAAAAAAUUCAAUACACAUCGAACAUCUUUUAAUGUGUGUCGAACAAUUUUCAAAUAUGCAUUGAACAUUUUGUAAUGUAUGUCGAACAAUUUCAAAUACGCAUUGAACAUUCAUGUAAUGUACAAUGAAUAAUUUUCAAACACACAUUGAACAAUUUUUUUGUAAUAUGUGCUGACAAUAAUUCAAAUACACAGUGAAUAUUUGUAGUAUCCGUUCAACAAACUCUUAAUAUACGAUGAACAUUCUAUAAUACACGAUGAACCUUUUUGUAUUAUACGUGAAUAUUUUCUUUGUAUAUGAUGAACAUUUGUAAUAGAAAAUUGAUUUUUCAUAAUACACAAAAAAAGAAAGAAAAUAAAGUAAAUAGAAACAGAAAAAGGUAAAAAAAAACAUAAAAAAGAAAAAAAAAGAACAAAAUCACUAACUAAGGAGUACUCAUUCACUCUUACCUACUCAGGUAGCGAUAAGUAACGUACUGCAUGCGAUCCUGGAGUUUUUCUUUUUUCAUAUAUCCGUUUAUUCAAAAUGUCUUAUCUUUUAAACCGCGCGUUUAAAUUUUGAACCGUUUUCACUGUUGGAUUUCUCGCGUCGAGAUCUUGAAAACUAAAUCCUAUGUUGAUAAAAUUCAAUGUACUUUUUUCAAAAAAAAUAACCGAACUGAAAGUACAUAUUUUUUCUUUCCGAAAAAGGCACGACCGUACCUUUCACGGAAGAAAAAACAGAAAAUACGUUUUUUCGUUUUCAAUGAGCACGGUCGUGCCUCUCACAGAAGCAAUACCGUACCUACCGUAGAAGAAGAAAAAAACAC